GGAGCGGCAUUUACCAAGACCCACUGAUCAUUGUGCUUGACUUCAAGGCCACACAUAUCAUUCUGAAUCAGGAGCGUCACCAGUCCAUGAUCUGUAUGAGGAGGAAUACCGAUUGCCAGGUCGGGCUGUGGGCAAGCCGGGUAGUAGUUCGCUGCAAGAAUUUGGCAGCCCCGAUCCCAGUUCAUGGCCUUGGUAAUGUAAUCGGCCUCCAGUCCCAAACUCUCCGAUAUUCCAUUCAAUAUUUCGGUUGCCACUGCACGGGUUCUUUUGCUGAACUCCAAUGAAACUUCACUGUACCCAGCAGGUUUGUAGAGUGAGUUGAAUUUAGGGUGUGCGAUGACCUUGAGAUAAUCCCUCCAGAGACGAACUUUGUCAAUUGCGACGUUGAAGCUGGUGCCGCACUUGAUUGGAUCCAACAGGUUCUUUGUAUGGAACUCCUUCUUCUCCUCUUCCGGCAGUUCAAAAAAUCGUCGGCACGCGUCGAUCAUUUCUUUCAUUAGGCUCUCUGGUACACCAUGGUUGAUCACCUAAAAGGCAUCAAGCACAUGAAAAUAUUAAUUCAUGUUUCAUUUUUAAGUUAAAAUUUGAAAACUUAUAACUAUUUCAAUUUUCAAUUUAUAUAUAUAUAUAUUUUAAAUAAAAAUUUGAAACGAAAUAGUUAUCAAACUAAUAAAAUAUUAGUUAAUUUUAUACAUGUUCAAGCAGACAUAAUUGAUAACAAGUGUGAAUAUACCUGAAAGAAGCCCCAUUCUUGGCAAGCUUUUCCUAGCUUCUGGAUCAUUUGUGCCCGUUCAUCUGGGGAGGCAGAGGUGAGAAGAGCAAAAUCAAUGAUGGGGAUUGAGUGUUCAGGGUCGUUUGCAUCUCCCUUAUCGUUGGGAUCCAUGAUGUAGGCGUACUCGGAAGGUACAGAAGUGAGAGCAUCUGAGUCGGCUAAGGUUUUGAUGCUUGCUACCUUGGGUUCAGAUGCAUCCACUGAAGUCACGGUAGGUGCCAUUGGUGGAGGGAGCGAGAAAGAAGCUGAGAAUUCUGGUCUUUGAUUUGUAUAUCCUGAAGGAAGGACGUGAGGGAGAGGAAAGUUGAUUGUUUGAGAGUUGUGGAGAAAUAUGAAAAAAGGAGUUGCUAUUUUAUAGAGCAAGAUAACUUAUGACUCUACCCCCACAAGCUGGUGGUUUUUGAAUAAGUUCGGCCAAAGCUGACCUAGAUUUCAAAUCUGUUGUCCUGCAACAAUAAAAUAUAUAUUAAUUAGUUGUUAACCUACAUGUAUAUGCAAUAGAUUAAUUCUUGGAAAACCAUAUUAUGUAAAUCAUAUUUAAAUUAUUUCUCUAAUAGAGAUGAGACAUACUUGUAUGAUUCGAUAGAUGGUUUAUUAUCGUCUACAUAGGAAAAUGUCAAAGGAACAUUUAAAUCAUGUGCUAUGUUACUAAUAGAAAUAAGUUCGUUAAUCAAGCACUUAAGUAACAAAAUAAUCAUUGACAAUCACGUCAUGUUUAUAUAUAUGGUCUCACUAGCAUUACUCGAUCUACAAAAUAUGAUUUUUUAGCAUUACCCUCUCUAAAAGAAGUAGAGUCCACCAUACAUGUAGGUCGCACUAUUUCAAAGAUUUCGAAGUGGUCUCCAAAAUAUUAGUGUAAGCACAAAAAUUCCUGCCACAAAUGAGAUAUUUACAUGCCUACAAUUAGCUCCCCAACAUUUUUCUAUGCAAUAAUCAUACUACUACUAGAUAUAGGAAAACCAAAAUUUGAGGGGAUUGCCUAUGAAUAUGUUAUAUAAUACAUUCAUUAUCUAAUAGUAUGAUAUGCAACUAAAAAGACAUGGUAUCAUAUUUAACCGUUAAAUGGUGAAAAUACUAAAUAAAUAUACAUGCUGUAAGUAAACUAAUGAAAUAGUGAAAAAAAAUGCUUUACUUUGUUUUAUAUUCCCAAAUGGAGGAGAGAUGGGAAGAGUAUAUGCAUGAAUGAAUAGUUGAUGAGAAAAUUAGAAAAAUGUAGGAAUGCGUUUGGCAUGGGGUUUAAAGAAAAUCCAAAGUCGCGUCCAGUUUGAGACUUUGACUACGGCAGACAAAGCCACUGAAGCAAGCACAACAAGCCGCCCACCACAGCCAAGUAAAAGAAUAUGACACGAAAUAUGGCACAAAAAAAUCAAAUACAAUCAUGCAUCGGCAUCUGUACGCAUCUACAAUUCCAAAUCUAAAUUUACCCCUUGGCCUUGGGAGUUUCUGCCGUUUGGAUGCCCACCGGUAGGUAACAGAUUCUUCAUGUCCCAAGCCUAAUAUUGGAAUCCCGUUUUAUGAAACCUCGUUAAUUGGGUGCAAUUAUUGACACACCAAAAAUUGAGAAUUUUAACGAAACGCUUCCGGUAUUGUUUAUUUUAACGAAAAAUCAUAUUUUUACACUAAAAAGUUAAUCCUGGUACUAUUCACUUUACCCUUUAUUUUGUCCUUAUCGUUAAAACUCAAAGUUUUCAAAUAAUUUUCAUUAGUUUUCCUUUAAAAAAUUUAUUGUGCUCUUUUUAUAAGUGUUUGUUUUACAAAUAAUAUUUUACAGUAUCCAUAUUAAAAGAAAAAGUUUGAACCUUGAACGAAAUUAGUUGAGGGGGAAGACCUAACUAUUAAGACAAUUCACUAUUUGCAAGUAUUUUUUUUUUCUAAAUAAGACAAUAAUUUUUUCUAAGAUGCCAAUAACAACGCCCAAUCAACUUUGAUGAUUCAAUUAGUCAACCAUUAAUUCAUGUUAGUUGGCUUGGUUUUCGAGAAGGUGACGUAUAUCCAAAUUCCAACUAUAUUAUACUUCUCCAUUUUGUUUUUAUUUUGAGUAAUGUUAAGGAGGUUACACGUUUAUAUUAUAUUUAGUAUAUCAUCUCAUAUAACAAGUGAUGCAUACAAUUAAUAUCCAAUGAGAUAAUUUUAUAUUGACUUGACGUGUACACAUCACUUGUCAUGGCACGAGAGAUUUUACAUAUUUUACUUUCUCGAACAUUAAACUUAGAACGAGAAUGAUGCAAUCCAUAUUUCUAUGAAACCUCUCUUUUGUUUGGUGAACCACAUAUAUGGCUAAAACCUUUUGAAUGUGAAUAUGCUUGAAAUUUCAUUUCUCAGAAUAAAACAAUACCUUAAAAUAAUAUUCUGGAGAGUAGGCUUUCAUAGUUUGAAAAACACAUGCGAAAAUACUACAAAUUAGUUCAAAAUGCACGCAAGACACUUUUGUAUAAAUUAAAUGUAACCCUAAGUUUAUAUUUCGUUCAAAGGACCUAUCCCUUCCAGAAUGUAAACCCCACACGAGUCAAAGUGACAUCAUUUGCACCCAUUUCAUCCUACCUUUUAACUAGAACUCUUGCUUUAAGUCUCUAUGGGAAUUGACUGGAGUAGGUUCUCUGGCGAAACAGACAAAAUGACCUUGUCAAAAUCUACCGUAGAAAAGCAGAGUAGAAUUUUCUCUACUUCUAGUCUUCUAUUCUCUUCCAUUUCCCUUACCCCCACUCAUACUUUCAUUUUUUUCUUUAUACCUCUAUAAAAAAUAUUCUGAGCUGCUGACGUGAUUGAAUCUCAACCUUUCAAAUACGAGAGGAGAGAAGGGGAAAUAAUCCUAGAAAAAGUGACUCCACCGGUGCUCCAAUCAUGUGAGUUGACUUGGCGCCAAUUCAAAAAAUCAUCUCCAUUGGUAGAAAAAUAUUAAGGCAAUUGGAACAAGUGUAGCAACCCCACCUGAGCUUGCACUUGCAAGCAAUUAGAGCAACUCCAGCGUUGCAAAGGCCCUUAGGGCAACUCACUAUUAAAUAACCUCCAGUAAAUAAUAACUUUCAUUAAUGAACAAUAACUAUCUUUUGCAUCUCCAAUCCUAAACUAAAUAGUCAUGGCAAUAGGCAAUAAAAUAUUAGUAUUUUUUAUUUUAUAAAAUAAUACAAAAUAAUUUUAUUUGUAAUUUCGAAUAAGAUUUUUAAUUGUUUUCGUUGCGCUACGUGUCAUUAUCCGAGAAGACAAUUUUUGGUGAUAGAUUUCGAUAAGAUAUCUAUUCAAUGUCGUCGUGCCACGUGUUGUUAUCUUUUCAGAAUCGUUGAGGAUAUAUUUUCAAUAAGAUUUUUAACCAAUCACGUCGCGCCACGUGUCACAAUUUGUUUACAAUCUUUGAGGAUAGACUUCAAUCAGAUUUUUAACGAAUGAUGGCAUGCCACGUGACAUUAUCUACAACCUAAUAUGAAAUUGUGGUGUAAGAUAGAAGAUAAUGAGUAGGUAUUUAUAGAAAAGUAAAAUAAUUUUUUUUUCGGAUUUUUCAUUAAUUUUAACAUUUUUAUUAACUUAAUUAAUCUCUGCAGUUGGACUAAAAAAAAUUUGAAAUCCAACCUUCCAGAUUGUGCCAUGUGGCACAACAGUAACAUUUCAAAAUUUAUUAAUGUGAAUUCUUUUUUUAUUUAUUUUUAAAGGCGAAUAAUGUGGAUCGUUGAUCUCAAAUCCAACGGCUGAUACUGUGGAAGGUUUCAAAUUUUUUUUACCAUUGGAAAUCCAACGGUGUAGAUAAAGUAAUCGUUGAAAUCCAACAGACAAGAAAAAGCCACGUGGCCACCAACAGGUAACAUUUCUGCCGUCUACGCCGUGGGCCCCAGUGCUUGAUGCAAAAAUAAUUAAAUAAUGGCUGACGCCACCCUGACGUCAGCGUUGCAUCACAUGACCCUCAAGCUCUCGGGCCACCAAUUCGCAUUGGGCCUUUCACUCAGGCCCCCCUCCCCAAUCGCACGCAUGGGCUGGAGGUUGUUGCUGGGGCUAUUAGGUCUUCAAAGUUGUCGGUCCAUCGGGCUUCAGCUCCUGCUGGAGUUGCUCUUAGAGCAAGGGCAGCAGCCCGUUGGGCUGUCCUACUUGUUCAAGCAUGGGCUUGGGCCUGUAGGCAACUGAAACUAACGUCUGUGCAGGUCCACCACGUGCAAUCCACUAAGGCAAAAACCUCGCACUCACCCGUUAGAUUUUUAAUGGUCUUCUCAUCGACCGUUGGAUUUUCAACAAUAAAAAAACUUGAAAAUUAUAGUUUGUGCCACGUCGCACAAUUUGGUGCAUCUAAUUUUUUUUUUUUGGAAAUCAACGACUAGGAUUAAUCCAAAGGUAAAAAUUCCACAAAAUGUCAAAAAAAAAAAAAAUACAAAAUUUUGUUUAGUAACACAUUAACACUUAAACAAACUCCAAAGUUCAACCAUCUUCUUUAUUCACCUUUUACCUUUAAUUAAUUAUGCUUGUUUGUACUACUAUGUUUUGCUUGGUUUUCGAGAUGCCAAAAUUCCAACUGUACUAUGAUUCUCCAAUUUGUAUUCAUUUUGAGUAAUGCUGAGGAGAUUACACAUUUUUACUACAUUUAAUGUAUUAUCUCAUAUGACAAAUAAUGCAUACAAACAAAAAUAAUGCAGUCCAUAUCUCUAUUAGGGCUGGGUUAGGUUUGAAACGGUUCGGUUUUUAGUCAAAAUCGAAACCGAACCGAAAUUUCGGUUCAGUUCGGUUCGGUUCAAAUUUUUUCGGUUCGGUUUUUUUCGAUUUUGAUUUUUUUCGGUUCGGUUUCAGUCCGGUUCGGUUUUUUCCAUGAUAUUUUUUUUUUAAUUUGGAACAAAUCUGCAACGAUUAAUUGCGAGCACUGAAGAUGCAGAAACUUAUUGGGUAUUGGUGCAAAUGAAUAUGAACUGGAACAAAUCUGCAAAUCUGCACUGGAAGAAAUCUGCAAAUGAAUACGAACUGGAACAAAUCUGCAAAUGAAUACGAAAAUUACAAUAUAAAAUCCCAAAUCCCAACAAAUCUGCAAAGAUUAUAACAUGCAAAAUCCCAACUAAUAAUUAAAAGAAAAACCCAUUUUAAUUCAGUAAAUCACAAUAUAAAAUCCCAACAAAUCUGCAAAUGAAUACGAAAAUUACAAUAUAAAAUCCCAACAAAUCUGCAAAGAUUAUAACAUGCAAAUCCCAACAAAUAAUGAAAAGAAAAACUCAUUUUAAUUCAGUAAAUCACAAUAUAAAAUUAUAAAUCAUAUUAGUUUUGAUUCGAAAAUUACCUAUGAGAGAUCGGAAAACCCGGAUUCGAAUCUUCUAAUUUAGAGGGGGUUUUGAUUCGAAAGGGGCGAGGGAAAAUCAUGGUUUGGAAGAAGGAAUCCGUGAGGAGGACAUGAGAAGACUGGAGAGAGAGUGAUUUGGAGGAAGAGAGGAAGGAGAGAGAGAGAGAGAGAGAGAGAGAGAGAGAGAGAGAGGCUGAGGAAGCAAAGGCAGAGAGAGGAAGCAGCGGAGGGGAGUGUUUGAAAUCUGAAAUGGGAAGUGAGACAAAGUGUGAGACGGCUAGGGUUUGUAAAGUUAAGAAAUUUUAUAAAGCAUUAAAUACAAGAAACCUAUAAAUAUUGUACUGGUACAAUUAUAACAACUCAAAGCCUACAGUCAAGUUGGCUUGCAGCAACUAAUCCUAAGCUGUAGGGAAGGGGUUCAAACCCCGGCGCCAACAUGUUUUUUUAGAAUUUAUAUAUGAUUUUUUUUUCGGUUCGGUUCGGUUUCCGAACCUCAAAAACCGAAACCGAACCAACCAGAUUCGGUUCGGUUCGGUUUGGCAGUUUCGGUUCGGUUUUUUCGACUUCGGUUCGGUUUGGUUUUCGGUUUUUUGAACCCACCCCUAAUCUCUAUAAAACCUCUCUUUUGUUUGGUGAACCAUGUACCUAACACCUUUUGAACGGGAAUGCGUACGUACUAAUUGAAUUCUUGAAAUUUCAUUUCGCGCAAUAAACAAAUGUAAUCCCACUGACAUCAUUUGCACCCAUUUCUCUAUGUUGGAACGUCAUCAUACCCUUUAAUUUUAACUCCUCUUAGUCUGUGUGAGUUGACAAGGGAAAGGUCCUCAGGAUAAUAAGGCAAAAUGAUCGUAUCAAAAUCGGCUAUAGAAUCCUUUUGACAAAAAAAAAAAAUAAAAAAAAAUAAAAAAAAAAAUUAAAAAAUAAAAAAUAAAAAUAAAAAUCUGCUAUAGAAUCAAUCGGCACUGACCUUCUUGGGAAAACACAUCCGCUACAUGUUCACACAGCAUUCAGCCUCACGCACCAGCUGCUUGAGGACGCGAAGGAUAGGCCGUUGGAUUUUCCACGUUAAAAAAAUGAAAAAUUAUAAGUUGUGCUAAGUUGCAUAAUGUGGUGUAUUUAAAAAUUAACCGCCAUAAUUAAUUCAAAGCAAAAAAUUUAGAAGAAAAUGCAAAAAAUUCCUAAAAGAUACAAAACUCUGUUCUAGAACACACUUAAAAUUAAACACACUAAAACAAACUGAUAAAAGUUCAACCAUCUUCUUCAUUCACAUUUGAUCUUUAAUUAAUGGGUAAAUUACAUUUUACCACCCCAGAUUUAAGGUUUAUUACAACCUCAUACAACAUCUUCAAAAAAUUUCACUUUCAUAUCUCAUGUACUAUUUUAUUUCAAUAUAAUGCAUCUGAUACAUUUUUCAUCAAUUGGACCGUUAAGAGUUGAUGUGGCUGUCACAUUUAUGCCACGUGACUGCCACAUUUAUGCCAUGUGGCUGACCAAUUAAUAAAAAUAUUAAAAUAAUUAAUUAAAAAACAAUAGAAACCCCCAUUUGUCUUCCUCGAGCACCCUCUUCUCCCAUCCCUCGUCACCAUGGUCUAAAAUAUCCAUAAUAUCCCGAUAUUUCCAUCGAAAUUUCCGUGUUUUUGGACUACCGAUAUUUUUUUGGACUAUCGAUAUUUCCGAUAUCAUCGAUAUUUUAGACCUUGCUAAGUCACUCAUGUAUCUUACCAUGCAAUGUAUAAAGUGUAAAAUAUUGUACUAAUUCAUUAUAUAUAAAUGAUUAUGGUGUGUUUAAACUUCUUUCAUUAAUUACUACAUAUUUUCUACACUCACAAUGUUUGCCAGCUCGCUAUAUAAUCAACUUAAAUCAGUUAUAUCUAUCAUGCAAUGCAUUUCCUUCCAAUUUUUUUGUAAUAAACUAAUAGAUAAUUGACUAAAUAAACAUCCUGUAAAGUUUCAAUAAAAUUUCCAAGUUUUUCUUACAAUUUCCGUGGUUUUUAUUCAAUUUUUAUCGAUAUCGAUAAUAUCCCGAUAUUUCGAUCGAAAUUUCCGUGUUUUUGGAUUAUCGAUAUUUCCGAUAUUAUCGAUAUUUAAUACCUUGCUCGUCACCAACCCUGUCCCCUAAUUUUUUCCCCCAAACAAAGCCCAUCACCUCCUCCUCUCCUCCCGUUGCAACAUUUCCUCCGUUAGCCCGAGGAGGUAUCUCAUCACUAGACCCUGAAUCGCUUAAGACCAACCUAGACCUCUUCUUGUCCUUCGGUUCAAAAACCUUCCGAGCACUCGAAGAACCAACAACACCACUCAACCCCUUAGGUUUCUUCCUCACAAUUAAGCAACCUGAAGAAUUUUUCUUCACCAAAACCCCAGAAGGGCCAACAGAUCUCACACCUUCGUCCAUCUACAUCAACCGCUAGAAACCAAAAAACCCUAAUUUUUCAAAACCCGCCCCUAAUUUUUCAAAACCCGCAGUCCAAUUGAAAGGGCAAAGGAAUAUUUCACAAAAAUCUUACCUCGCAGGAGAGUCUGGAACUCUGCCUAUUGAAGAUAUCUGAUCGCUGUCGCAAUUCUCCAAAUCAGAGAGAAAGGGGAAGGUUCAGACGGAGAAAGAGAGGGAGAGACAUAGAGAGAAGGGCUGGGUUUGGAUUGUAAAUAUAUGCAAUUGCAGGGCAGAUCAGAGAAGGGGUGGCUCGGGUGGGUGAUGGGGGAUGGGAGAAGGAGGUGCUCGAGGAAGACGAAUGGGGGUUUCUGUUUUGUUUUUUGUUUUUUGUUUUUUUUUGUUUUUUAGUUUUCUUUAAUUAAUUAUUUAAAAUGACAUGACUGCCACAUUUGCGCCAUAUGGCUAAACAAUUAAUUAAAAAAAAUUAAUUUUUUUUAUUAAUUGUUUAGGCACGUGGCUCAAAUGUGGCAGUCAUGUCAGCUCUUAACGAAUUAAUGGAUGGAAAAUAUAACAGAUGUAUUAUAUUGAAAUAAAAUAGUACAUGAGGUAUGAUAGUGAAAUUUUUUGAAGAUAUUGUAUGAGGUUGCAAUAGACCUCAAACUUGAGGUGGUAAAGUGUAAUUUACCCUCAAUUAAUUAUGCUUGUGUUGUAAUGUUAUGCUUUACUUUGUGUUUAAUUAAAUUAUUUGAGUUAAAUAGGGAAUUUUAUUUUUAAAGAACAAACUUGUUAAGUACAUACUCACAAGACGUUGGCGGGCCCUACAUCUGUUAGAGAAAUGUAGGUCCUGGCAAACAGGUUGUGUUUACCGUGUUCGUGGUGUUUUCGUGUAACACCUGUUAUCUUAACGAGUCGGGUCGUGUCGUAUCACACCAAUAUCUUAACAUGUUCUUAACAGGUCGGGCUAUUUAACCAGCAGGUAAAAUGACCCGUUAAGAUUUUUUUUUCUUUUAAAUUUGACAUACCACAUUGCCACAUAAAAUAUUACUUCGAAAACUAAUUCGAAACGAAAAACCCCAAAUUGAAGAAAUGAAACCAAUCUAAUUCGAAAACUAAUUCACAGCAAAACCUUAUCUUUUGAAAGUGAUUCGAAAUAAUCAACAAUUACCUUGAUUAGGGCUCCAGAUUCGCUCAAUCCAGAGAGAGAAUAGAGACAAAAGUAGUAGAUCGACUGGUGGUGGGUUACUAGGUCGUAUGUGGUGAGGGUGGUGUUGUGGAGGGAGACUAGAGAGGAUGGUCGUGGACUCGUAGCUAGGUGGAGUUGAGGUUCGAGACUGAGAUUCGAGAGUUUAGUUUGAAAAAGAAAGAGUCUCUGCUUCGAUUCGAGCAUUCGAGAAUAAGAGAGGAGUCUGAUUUAAGGCUGAGAAAAACAUUGGACGGCUGAGAUUUAAUCUUAGCCGAUCCAAUGGUCAUCAAUUUUCUAAUUUUUUUAAAUAUAUAGGAAAACUAAUGAAAAUGGCUUGAAAAUUUUGAAUUUUAAUCAAAAGGACAAAAAUGUGUUGUAAGUGAAUAGUACUAUGAGUGACUUUUUAGAGUAAAAUUGUCAUUUUUCGUUAAAGUGAACAGUACCAGGAGUGUUUUGUUAAAACUCCCUAUAUAUAUAUAUAUUAACUUUCAAUUCAGUUUAGGAUUAAAUCCUUUUGUUGUUAAUCUUAAUAUUUCUUUCUAGUGGUAUGAAAAUUUUAAAUUAAUAUUUUUCCUAUUAUGUAACGGGUUACCCACGUGUGUACCGACCCGUUAUUUAACAGAUGCUUAUCAGGUUACCGGAUAAUGACUCGAUUUGUUAUUGUGUCAACCUGAAAACCUGUUGAUUUCGUGUCGUGUAAAAAAUUGCUAGGCCUCGAGAAAUGUUAUAAAUAGAUGGUAAAUAUAUCAUUAUUUUUUUUUUGUUUUAUUUUGUCUUGUUGCGUGUUACACUUGGGACCCACGUCCCACUUUGAUAUCCUAUUCCCCUCGGACUUGGCUUCUCUGCCCUCCCAAUUCCCAGACACUCUCAUCCCCUCCUAUUUGUGCUGUCAUGGUUAAACCAUGUCAACAUUUUAUAUUACUAUUGCUUUUUGUCUUAUUAUUUCUAUAAAAAAAAUCAAUAUAAAAUGUUGACGUGGCUUAACCGUGACCGUACAAAAUAGGAAGGGAUGAGAAUGUAUGGAAACUGGGAGGGGCAGAGAAGCCGGGUCCAUUCCCCUCUCAUUUUUGUCUCACUUCAGUCAUCCCCCUCUCUAGUUUUGACUUUUCUUUUUUGUCUCCUACUUUCUCUCAUAUUUUGUCAUUGAGUCUCUCUCCUUAGUCUCAGUCUCUCUUAACGAGUUCGAUAUGUGAUGAGAAGGUCCCACUGUUUUACACAUUAAUAUUACUGUGAUGAUAUGUGUGCAAGAAACAUUGGACAACAACUCUACAAGCUGCUCUCAUAGAGAAAUUAGGCUCUUACAUGAGCAUAUAUUAUUUGAUGGAGAAAUUAGGCUCCCGUCCUUAAUUAUUGAUCUUCUUUGAUUAAAACCUUGUUAUUUUUUACUUUUUGAUCAAGGUCCUUGAAGUUUGUACACAUCAGCAUUUUAUUAUCAGCAUAUUUCCAUGUCAGCUUUUUAUUUUUAUUUUUAUUUGAAAUAGUUAAUUAGUGCUUUUUUUUUUAUCUGAGGCUGCAUUUUUAUUCUACGACUAUUAUGCCUCAAAUGCCUCCUAUGCUUACCAAAUUGAAUAUGACGCAUCAAUUCCACCAAAUAAUCCCGCUCACUUGAUUUCUUCUCUUUUUGAUUUUCGUAACUGCAAAUUCCACAAUAAUCUCACUAAGUUUUUCAAAUCCAUCAUUAUUAUCUUUGAUAUGAUGCUUCGAAUUCAAGUUUGGCCAAGAUUUGAAUCGAAGUCAUACUUUAUCUGCGAGCAUUCGAGCGAGCACAAUUUUUUGCAGAGUAACUUGAAGAAUCAAUGACAAUUCCGAGCUAAAAUUCGAGGUUUUUUUUUCUUUUAUAUUUUUUGAAUUUGCACCCAUAGUUCAUUUAUACUGAUUUGUCCGCAAUGGUGGAUUCUUGGUGUUAUAAUUUUCGAACCCAUAUUUACAAGUAGUGUAGUAUUGAUUUCACAAUUGGUUUUGCAUAUGUAAAAUGAUUAUUUUUCAAUAUUUUUUUGGCAUAUAUUGGGGAACUUCAAUGAGUUCAGCAUGUAUCUUGUGGUUUUGCAGUGUUUUUCUGGUGCAUACCAAGUGUUUGUCGAAAUGUUUGAAAGAGAAUUUCGUAUACGAAAAUUUUGUAUGCAUAGAAACUAUUUAUAAAAAUUCUUGAAUAUGUCUUUUUCUCUAUUGUGGUGGGCAUGGGUACAAUUCAAUUUCAUUGGAUACAUUUUUUAACAAUGGAUCAUGUGUUGAUGUGGUGGAAACUACUGAUGUUGUGGAAGUAUAGGUAGGGGUACAACAGAAAUAUAGACCAGAUAAGUCAAGGGAGGACCGGCUAUGGCCGAGAGUUUUUGUCAUCUAUUUUUCUGUUUGACAUAUACCGUAUUUGAGAGGUGGGGGGGGGGGUGGGGAAUUGGCUGUACAAACAGCAAAUAAUAAUGUUCGGUGGAAACUACUGAUGUUGUAGAAGUAUAGGUAGGGGUACAACAGAAAAACAGAGCAGAUAAGUCAAGGGAGGACCAGCUAAGGCCGAGAGUUUUUGCUAUCUAUUUUUCUGUUUAACAUAUACCGUAUUUGAGGGGUGGGGGGCGAGGUGGGGAAUUGGCGGUACAAACAACAAAUAAUAAUGUCCGGUGGAAAUUACUGAUGUUGUAGAAGAAUAGGUAGGGGUACAACAAAAAAACAAAGCAGAUAAGUCAAGGGAGGACCAGCUAAGGCCAAGAGUUUUUGCCAUUAUUUUUCUGUUUGACAUAUACCGUAUUUGAGAGGGGGGUGUGAGGGGAAUUGGCGGUACAAAUAACAAAUAAUAAUUGGACAUGGUUUCAUUCAUCUUUCUAGUUUUCCUUUUGGAAAUUUAUUGCACUUUUCAUGUCAAGCUAGAAUGCUUUGGGUUAAUGUUGUGUCCACUUUCUUUUAUCUUUUCAGAUGGAAGGUGCUAUAGUGGGGAGAUGCACUCAUCAGGGUACCAUUAUAUCUAUCCCAAUUUUUUGCCACAUUACAUUCUCUGAAGUGUACAAUGAGGUUUGCUCAAGGCUCAAUUUGACUCAUGGUUUAUUCGACUUUACAUAUGCUUUACCUAGAUAUUCUACUUGUCUAUUGCAAUAUAAUAUGGACGUGCGGAUGUUGUAUAUGUCGGUUGUCAACGAGAAAUAUUAUUGUGUUGAUAUAGUUAUCAACCAAAAGUCGUGCCGUGACAAUGAUCAUGUCAGCCGAAAUACCAAUGUUUCGCAAACAUUUAUAAUUGAAGGAAAUAUUCACAGCGAUGGGAAUGAGUAUUUAGGAAAUAUGCAACACCAGGAGGCAAGGUAUCUAUGUCAAACUCUUGGAAGACCUACAUUAAUCAUGUAAAUCAAGGAUUUGAAGGUGGAGUGGAAGAAUUCAGAGACAAAAAGAGAAGAAUUGGCAUAAGAAGACUUGAAUAUGUUGGACAAAAAGAGAAGAAUCAGCAUAAGAAGACUUGAAUCCCUAAGAAAGCAAGAACUUGGAAAACCUCUCAUUCCAAGCUCUAGGUGCUUGUUUGAGUCCAUAUAAAGAACUUUCCAAUUUACACACAUACUUAGGAUGUACAGGAUCCAAAAAACCUUGUGGUUGAGCCAUAUAAACUUCUUCAUCAAGAAAACUGUCGCACUCCGGACCCGGAGUCGGUAAUAAAAACUCGAACCCGAAUCUGAAACGUGAGUUAAAAGCUAAAUAAAUAAAAGGAAAUUGACACGAGUUGGAAAAAUAAACUCCUCUUAUUAAAAUAACUCCAAAAUCCUUACAGGAUGUACAAAAGUAAUAAAUUAAAAUCCUUAAAACUCUUAUCCAACACAGCUUCAGCUCGUCUAUCACCUGUCUUGCUAAAUAACAUCUAUCUUGCCAAAUAACUCAUCUAUAAAAUAAUAGGUGAGGGGUGAGCAACAACCACCGUCACUCAGUAAGUAGAAUAUGUAGUAUGCAAGUCAAGCAAUGCCUUUUUAUACACUAAAAAAAAUAGAAUAAUAAUAUCAAAGCCUUAACCACGUAAUUUCAUAUCACAUCAUCCCUUUACAUGUUCAUUACAUCCUUCAUAAAUUGUAACUCACCACGUGACCCCUACUGGCCUUUCCGCCCUAAUGUCCCCGUGUGCAGUUUACAUUUAUCCCUCGGAUUAAUGCAACACUAAAGUUCUCAUGCUCCAUGAACAUAUCCAAAUAAUCCACAUAUCACCAUAUUAAUAAUUCCAAAGGGAUUUCAACAAAUCCAACAUGCUUGACUUAAAAUAGAUAGAGAUUUAUAAAUAUAUAAAACCCACAAUAGUUUGUGGUUUUUAUUUAUCAGAAAAUAAGAAUAUUUUGAAACACAUUACAUAAACCACUCACCUCGAUAAUCCAAGCUUUGGCAAGACAACCUAACUAACAAUCUCCACACAACUAGCAUACUAACCUAAACUCUCUUUCUUGUCUCUCUGUAACCCGAUCUCUCUCCACACACACACACAUAUACACGGACAUACAUGCAUGGCUUCCUAGCAGCCAACAUAUGUUUCCUAAAGUGGUGAAUAAAAGAAUGAAAUGCAACCUCUAUUUAUAGUAGAAAGGGUCGGCUCCCUACAAUGUAAAAUAUAUUAUACGUAGGGAUAGAAAUGUAACUGACGAAUGGCCAGUUGACAAGUGGGUUUCAAGGUGUCGUUGUGCAUGGGGUAGAUGACUUAGGAUUAACACAUGUGGCUUUGCCAACAAUGGUGGAAGCUGGUGGUGUCAAUGGAAUCCCUCAAAACCUCACACCUCAUUGUAAAUAUAACAGUUGUCAAGAAAAUGAAGUGCUACGUGUUGGACUAUGAAGGAAGCCAUCUAAUUGUUGGACACCUCAAAGCAAAAUGGGAUAGACUUCAAUUGCAAGACUACACCUUGCUAAUUGUAAGAAACUAUCGACUAGAAGUUGACAGCAAAAUGCAAAAACUAAUAUGUAAUAUAUAUAUAUAUAUAUAUAUAUAUAUAUAUAUAUAUAUAUAUAUGGAAAAGAAAUACACAAUAUCAUAGUAGUUUCAAAAUACCAUACGUUCCAUAUUUUAAAAAUACGGGUUCUCACAAAAACCAUGAAGAAAUGCAUUUUUCACAUCCAAUUGGUUGAGUUUCCAGCCAUUUGUAGUAGCCAAGGACAAAACCAAUCGUACAGUUGUAAGCUUAACCACUGGACUAAAGGUUUCAUAAUAGUCGAGCCCAGCUUCCUGUGAAAACCCCUUAGCAACUAACCUAGCUUUAUACCGAGCUACAGAACCAUCGGCAUUCUUUUUGAUUUUGUAAAUCCACUUGCAGCCUACAAGGUUCUUGUUUGGAGGAAGAGGAACCAGUUUCUAGGUCUGUUGUUGAACCAAAGCUUGCAUUUCUUCCUUCAUAGCAGCCUGCCAUUCCACAGACUUGGAAGCUGCGGAAAAAGUUUGAGGUUCUGUGCUAGAGAGAUCACCACCAACUUUAGCCGAAAAAACUUUCUUUUUCACAAUACCAGAUUUCGAUCUGGUUUGCAUAGGAUGACUAUUAAGUGUGGACACUAGUACGAACUGUAAUGUAUCAACUUGAGAUGUAGAAGUGUUAGGAUGUAAUUCUGUAUGACUGAGAGACUGUGCAUCAGGUCCAGAAUGAGACACUUGUGUAGUUGAUCUGGGAGGAAGAGAUGCUUGAGGAGAGACAAGGUCACCCGUGUUAUUUGUUGAUGCUGAACUGGACUGAGUAACAGUAGGUGUUGAAUCUCUAGAACCCAUUAAUUGUGACAUUUGAGGUAAAGGUAUAGGUAUAACCAGAGGAUGUUCAAAAGUGUUAAGAUGUACAACAGCACUAGGAGUAGGAGAUGAUGCAUGACUGGAAGAAGAAUGUAAUAAUUUUGUACUAGGAAAUGAUGCAUGACUGGAAGAAGAAUGUAAUAAUUUUGUACUAGGAAAACUAUGUUCAUCAAACAAAACAUGUCUUGACACAAGAAGUUUAUGAGUGCUGAGAGAAAAACAAAUAUAACCCUUGUACUGUGAAACACACCCAACAAAUAUACAUUCUGUAGUUUUUGGAUCUAACUUAUUGCUCCUAUAAGGUCUCAUGGAAGGAUAGCAAGCACACCCAAAGACUCUCAAGUGUUCAAGUGUAGGUGGAGACUUAAACAGACAUUCAAAAGGAGAUUUCAUGUGAAUAAUAGGUGUAGGCAUCCUAUUGAUUAGAUAGGCAGUAGUGGCACAAGCAUGAAACCAAAAAUAAGAAGGCAUGGAUGCUUUUUGAAAUAAAGUAAUAGCAGUUUCCAACAGAUGCCUAUUUUCCUCUCAGCCAACCCAUUUUGUUCUGGGGUAUAAGGACAAGACAUUUGAUGAACAAUACCCUUAUCCCUAAGAAAUGCUUUGAAAGCUAAACCCACAUAUUCACCCCCACCAUCACUUUGAAGUGUUUUAAUAGUUGUAUGAAACUGAAUUUUAACAUAGGCAACAAACUGAGCAAAAACAGAUAGAACUGCAGCUUUAUUGAUAAUAAGGAAAACCCAUGUAUAUCUCGUAAUUUCAUCCACAAAGGACACAUAAUACCUAAACCCUUCUGAAGAUAUAAUUGGAGCAGGACCCCAUACAUUAGAAUGUAUUUCUUCAAAAGGAAGAACAUAUUUUGAAGCAACACUAGGGAAAGGUAAUUUGGAAAACUUGCCUUGCAAGCAAGAGAUACAUGUGGUUGAAUCUUUAUUACAGGGAAUAGAAAUGGAGGAAUUCCUAGGUGCUGCAGUAGUAAUAGCAUUCGAAUGAUGCCCUAACCUACAAUGCCAAAAUUCAAAGGACACAUUUUGACCCAAAAAUGCAGCUGGAGUAGGCAUUUGUGAUUUGGAAGACUUGAGAAUUGGAAUUGGGUAGACUGCGUUGUUACUCAGUCCGUGAUAUAACACUUUCCUGGUGACCUUGUCCUGUAUACAAAUAGAGAACUCAUCAACAAUACAGCGACAUGUGUUGUCUUUACACAAUUGGUACAUAGAAAGCAAAUCUUGAGACAAUUUAGGAACAUGUAAUACAGAAUUAAGCUGAAAUGUAUGCAAUUUGGUGGGGAAAACAGUGUUGCUAAUAUGAGUAAUACUUAAACCUUCACCACCAGCACCAAUGAUUGUCUCAGUUGAUGGAUAAGGAACUGCAGAUUGAAGAUUAGCAAUAUCUGAAGUCAUAUGGUUGGUUGCACCAGAAUCAACCAGCCAAAAAUCUUGGUGAGGUGCACUUGGAGACAAAUUGGCCCAGGCUUGCAUAUCAACAGGCUGAAAUGAGUGAUAUUGAAGAGGUUGCUGCACUAGUGAUCUAGAGGAAUAAUAACCAGAUGGAACUCCAAUAGAGGAAGAUGGAUGUACAUGAAACUAUUGAGAGGAAGAACUAGCCAUAGGAAACUGUGAGGAAGUGACUGAAAAAUGUUGUGAAGAAGAAACAUUCUUGUCAAAACAAGUAGCUGCAGCAUGUCCUUUUCUGUGACAGAUUUGACACCUAUUCUGAAAACAGUUGAGAGCCGAAUGACCUUUCUUGUCACAAAUUUGACAAAUUUGAAAAGGAUUAUAGGCUGAACCAGAGUGAGAUUGAAUAGGAAAGAAACUCUGAGAAUUAUUUGCACCAUACAGAGACUGUGGUGCAGAUUGAGAACUUGAGUAAAACCGUUUGCCCUUGCCUUUAGACUUGAAAUUAUUAUUACCUCUGAAGUUGUUAAAUAAACAAGAGGCAUAUUGAGAAGGGAAAACACACGGUGGAUUAUCAGGCAUAGUUAUCUGAAUAGGUACUGGAUGUGGAAAUCCAGGCAUUGACAAAGUUGAAAAUCCUGACAUAGACAUCUGGGAAUGAGGCAAAGAAGUCCCAAUGUGCAUUCCAGCAUGUCCCGAAGACUGACCUUGAUCAUAUGUAACUCGACCCUGAGCAUACAUAGCAGACAUUAAAGGAAUUUGCUUGUGAACUUCAUCUAGUGUAGAUUCUUCAGCCUUCAAUUGAGAUAUGAGUUCUUUCAAGGACACCAAACUUUCCCUGCCACGAAUUACAACUUUGAUGGUGUGGUAUUUAGAUGGUAAACCCCGUAAAGCCAUAAUAACAAUAUCUUCAUCAGAAAUAGUCACUCCAAUAGCAACCAAUUGAUCUUUAGAAUCCUUGAUCCGCUAAAGAUAUUGAUCAAUUGACUCAUGCCCUUUUUUAAUAUUUUGUAAGUCAAUUUUCAUCUGCACAAUGCUAGUACGAGUGACACUAGCAAAUCGUUCAUGAAGAUUAUCCCACAUUUCCUUGGAACUCUAGCAGCCAAUGAUGCAGGACAAUGCAGAAGUGGAUAAAGUAGCAGCAAUAAGAGUCAUGAGAGCUUUAUCAUGAAUCUUCCAUAUUUUAUAUGCAUCAGAGAUGACUGGAGUAAUGUCAACAGUACCAGCCACAUAAUUAUUAUCCUCAAAUUUCUUAGGACAAGAAAUUGAGCCAUCAACAAAACCAAUUAUACCAUUUCCUUCCAGAAGAAGAUCCAUUUGGAAAUUCCAGGUAACAUAGUUAGAGUUAUCUAAUUUCACUGUCACAAUGUUGCCUACACUCAUAAUUAAUGAGGAAAUUGGCAAUUGAGUAAGAGCCAACUGAUUAGGGUUCACCAUUGUGUAUAGCCAAGAUUACUUCACUACACAUAACACUUCAAAAUCGCCAAAUAAAAAAAACACAUAAAGCAUCACUAGGAUUCAAAAACCACAACCACCAGAUUGAAGGGAAAAAUAAUGAGAUUCUAGAAUGGGAUUUCAAAUAGACUAUCAUGCAUAUACAAAUCAAAUUGAAUAUACGAAAGCAGCAGAAGCAUUUAUAACAUAUUAUCAAAGCUAUAGUCAUGCAAAUCCCCUUCAAGGUUCAUAGGUUUAUAUAGACAAAAGAAACCUAGUCAACACUUGACUAAAUAUCUCACCCUUUCCACCUUAAAGUGGCCGGCCUCAAAACAUUUUAAAGAAUCAAGAACAAAGUGAAGGUUAGUCUUAUACCUCUUGAUCUAGACUUGAGACCAAGGAUGGACCACCUCCAAGCCCUUUGCUCCUUGAAAUCCUUGAGCCUAGCUUCCCUCCUUGCCUCCUCCACUUUGAUAAAAUGAGUGCUCCUAGGUUCUCUUCAAGUUUCCAAAGUAGGAAACCUCUAAAGAUCCUCACCCAUUAGUGUAGUGAGAAGGAUGAAGGAAUAACCAAAAGGGUGUAAGAGAUGUUAGUAAAAACCCCCUUUGGUGGCCGGCCUUUGUGUAGUUUAGAGAGCUAUUUUUCUUUUGCCUCUUUGUUGUUUUUAACACACAAAAACCCUAAUGAACAAUAUCUUAUAAAGUUCCUUAUAUAGACAAAAGAAACCUAGUCAACACUUGACUAAAUAUCUCACCCUUUCCACCUUAAAGUGGCCGGCCUCUUUGUUGUUUGUUUGGGCUUUGGGCUUUUAUUAUUUCAAGUCAUCCAAUGCUUGAAUAAAAGCCCAAUGGAUUUAGGCCCAAUGGGCCCAAUUAAACCCGAACGUUUCUUAAGCCCAAAACGAUCUUUAUCGCUUUUAUGAUUUCUUUAGACUUUCUAAAUUAAUCACAACAAUCAAUUAAUCCAAUUAAUUAUUUCCAUCAUCCAUUAGUUACUCACUACAAUAGUGUUGUGGCGAACAAUCUUUUAGGUUCUAAUUAGCAAGGCAGUGAGGUGAUUGGCAUCAAUCCAAUUGCUUAUAUUUAAUUCAAUCACUUAGUGAAUUAAAACUUCAUUUUAAUUCACCUUUCUUCUUUGACGACUACAUUUAAUCAUCUAGAAGAACUCACAAGCUAUGAGUGACAUCUAACCAUAUGUCAUAGCUACCCAAACUAAUGUAGAAGUUUAUUCGAAGAACCUAGUCAGUUGGAAUUAUAAUGUAAUUCAAUCCUUCUCUAAUUCAAUACUCUCAAUCACAUCAUUAGGGUAUGGAUAUAUCAUGUCAAACCCCUAAUGUGAUUAUUCCUUCUUAUAUGAUCCAAUUGAGUCGUAUAGGAACGCUUUCCUUUAUUACGCUCGAUACUUCGGCCGAAGAUUCCCGAAUCAUAUCUUAGAGUAUUCUUCCUCUCUUAUCGAGGAUUAGAGAUUCCUUGUUGCGCAUACACUUGCCUUCAUGACUAAGUGGCUUAACCACAACUAUGCCGUUGACAUUCUGAUAGAGUGACGUUGACAUAAUCAAAGAUUAAGUACUUAACCACAAGACAACGGCGAUGCCUCAGGUCAAAGGACUACUUACAUUAUUCCAACCAUUAGAGUUACUUGCUUGACAUGUGAGUAGACCUCCAUGCAAGUACUCUCUUUCGAUUGUGUUCAGUGAACUCAUUCCCUUAAUGAGCACCUACAUACUUGUCUUAGUGUCACAACACGAAUGGGAUGAGACUUUCCAUCCUUCCAAUUGAAGCGGACACAGUAUGUACCGGUCUAAGCAUUGUCAGUAUCCCUCCGACAAUCCAACGACCAGGAACCUUUUGGACAUAAUGGUUAUGUGAAGAAGGUCUCUGUAGUCUAACUUCAUUAGAUUACUUCUUCAAUCGAUCCAUUGUCCAUGGAUUCACUAUUCAGGACAUAUAUUGUUUAUUGAGAUAGUCCUAAUUAGUUUCUUUGCCAUUUGAUGUAUAAGAAUCAUCCAUACAUCGAUUCAUUUGUCCUGAAAGAUUUCUUCCAAAGAUUGACUUUCAGGGCAUAUUUCCAACACAGAUAGCCGCAAAUCUUUGAACAUGCACAAUAUUGCAGAAAGAACACAACAAUUCGAAAGAAGCACAAGUACGAAAUCGAAUCAGAAAGUAGAGAAUCACAAUUAACAGAUGCAAGAGAGAGGAAGAAACACCUUGCAAGCGACAACAACGAACGCAGAAGUAACCAUCGGCUUCUACCAUGACUGUACACCAAAAUCCGCAAAUCUUAGGGUUUGAGCACCAACUUCGAUCGAACACCACUGACUUCAAUCGAAACACCACCGACGUCAAUCACCACUAACAACACAGCACGGAGCGACAAAAAAAGCAAGAGAUGAGCGGAAGCAACCAGGUCGUCAAUCGAUGACGGUGGCCAUGAUAGGCGAUGAUACCAUGUCAACUAUGAAGAAUUGUAGGAAGCAAUUGUAGAGUGAGAAAGUUAACAAACAGGAGAGAGAUACUGAAUAUUCUUUUUCUCAUUAAAAACCCGAUAAUUACACUUCAAUGUGGUAUAUAUAGUCUAUACCAGAGAACAACAAUUCUAACUAACUUUAUAAAACAAUCAAUUACAAUAUAAUACAUGUCACAUAUCCAACCAUUCUAUCAAUACAUCUGUCAUCCUAACAGCGACCUUAGGUUCAGAUGCAUUCACUGAAGUCAUUGUAGGUGCCAUUGGUGGAGGGAGAUUGAAAGAAGCUGAGAAUUCUAGUCUUUAAUUUGUAUGUCUAGAAGGAAAGUUAAUUGUUUGAGUGGUGUGGAGAAAUAUGGAAAAGGGAGUUGGUAUUUAUAGAGCAGGAUGGCAAGAUAAUAUAUGACCGACUUUAGUCGUGAGAAGUAUUUACAACGCAAGCACCCUUAUGGUCUUAACCCCAUAAGGUGGAGGUUUUUGAAUAAGUUGGCUAACGAUGACCUAAGUUUCAAAUUUGUUGUCCAGCUGCAACAAUAAAAUAUAUAUUAGUUUGUUGUUAACCACCAUGUAUAUGGAAAAUAUUAAUUCUUUAAAGACCAUGUAACUACAUUUAAAUUAUUUCUCUAAUAGAGAUGAGACACACUUGUUAGCCUUAUUAGGUUAUACAAUUAAGACACAAACGAAAGAGUGACUGACCUAAUUCCAAUGGCGGCCAUGGAAGUUGAAACCAAAAGUAGUAGAGCACGGCAACACCAGGAUCUUCUAUAAGCUACAACUACUCUAUGGGAAGCAUUGUAUUGUGUUAUCUAAGGCUUAUAGGGACCGGUGUUUAUAUAUAUAGGCUAAAAGAUAGGGUUUCCAUCCAUAAAGGAAAUCUAAACUUACUUUCUUAGCCUCUAAGUUAAGUAUCAUAAUUAUAAUCAAUUAGGGAUUCCAUCAAUCCUAUUUCCAAUAUAAGACACAUGAUAUAUGAUUAAUAUCUUUAAGAGAUCGAAUCAUAAUCAACAUUAUUUCUCCAAUAUGACAUUCCUAUUACAUGUAGUAGACCAGUUAAAGGUUGAUUUGUAUUGGAUAAAUCCAACAUUCUCCCACUUGGUCUACAAAAUGUAAUAUUCAUGUUUAUACUUGAGAUUGGAUACUAAUGUCUCUUUAGUGGCCAUGUAAUAGUGAUUACAUCUCGUCCUUAAUGCAGUUUCUGUCAAAUGCAUUUCUCAACAUGGAACUAACAAGGUUGUAGGGUUGACACAAUCUAGAACCUUCAUAAUCACACAUGCUAAGAUCCUCAUUCACAUGAAACACAAAUUAUGAUCAAGAGAUGAAACUUUAAAUAAACUUUAAGUUAACCAAAAUGUCUUACUUUAUAUCAUCUCAGGUCCAUCUUAUUGUAACACACAGGUUACACUUUUACACUUCUUCGAAGCCUUAAAUCUGCCAAUGCAGAUAUCCUUCAUCUAAUGAAACCACCAUAACCUGUAGGCGUGAAUACAUCUCAAAACAAUCUCACUUCACUUUCAUUAGACCAAUAACAAGCACACAGACAAUGUUUGAAGCCAACGGACACAACUAAAAGUACCAAAUAGGCACAUGUCCAAGUAAAAUACCCAGAAGCUUCGUAAAACAAACUAAUCCAACACUUAUAAGUAGAUGAAUUAACAUGUUUUUGACAUUGAUCUAUGCACUUUACCAGUUACUUUAAUGGUGAUUUCCAACACCUGCGAGCAGAUUGAAAUCCUCACAACUGACGCAUAGACCAUGCCAUGCCAUUUAGUAUGCAGUUUGAUAACAACUUGAUAUCCAACAUAUGUUUCAUCAGAUAAAUGACUAGCACACAAAAAAUGUGACUUAAUGAAUCUAGCUGAAGAUUAAACUGAAUACAUGGAUUCUAUAUAUACCUUAUAGGUCAUCUGCAAAUGUAAGGCAUUACUAACACAAAACUCAACCUCCCACUGAUCUGCAACAUCAUUACUUAAUUUGCUAGUCAAUACUUAAAUCAUAUUUUUGAAAAUAUGCCUUUGGGAAUAGCCUUACUUGGUCAAUGAAUGCAUAUUAACUCAAUGAAAGGUACAACUAAGCAUGGAAGCAUUCACUGCUGUUACACAAAAACAUGCAUCUAACAACCAUCUUAUAUGUAUUAAUAAGUCCACAUUUAUGCUAAGUCCUUGUGAGCCUCAAAACAAAUGAUCAACCAAGAAAUCCAAAUGAUUGCAAGUAAUAGAAAAAUGUACGCAUAUACCAAGUAUCCAUUCGUGCAACUUAAACAUAUUAUAGAUAUUCGAGUAACACAAAUUCAUGGAAGAUAGAAUAACGCUUUAAUAGAUUCAUGCAAGUCCACUUAAUGCUCACAAUUUUAGAACAACUCCCACUAAGUUUUCAGAGUUUAUACUUGCAAAUAAGUUAACGAGUGUAAAGCCCAAUUUUUUUCACUAAUUCUCCCACUUGGGUAAACACUCUUUCAAGUAUGUACCUAAAUAAAAUUGCCUUAUAUUUUAGACGUAAUAAAAUAGACAUUACAAUCAACAUAAAGUUGUCAAACAGAAUUUUCAGCAACAAGUUACACUUUAUUUAGAAUUAAUCAUAAUUAAUUUAUAAGCUUGAUUGAUACCAAAUUUAUACUGAUCAAAAUAGACAUACAAAUCUUCAUAAGACAAAAAUAUGGAGCUGUUUUGGGUCAAAGUAGUAGUCUAAAGUGACGUCUCAAAAAGAUCAACACAAUAUGUCAGUAAAAACUGUCUAUAUGAGCAUGGGUUACUAGUAAAUUCACCAUAAUUAACAUACAUGGCAGAAAAUUACGAAAAUUUGCAGACACAUAGUAGACAUCUAUAUGUUGAACAUAUCCAAAAUUCAGUUAACUUGGUGACCAUUAGACGUGUCAUUCAUCCAAUUUAAUUCAAGUCACGUAAUCUGCCAGAAACAAUUAUGUUCAUCUAUCAUGAAUUUAUGCAUCCAUAACAAAUUCAAUUUCAUAUCAUUUCAAUUUCAAUGUCCAAAAGAAACUUUAGUAGUCAAAUUUCAUCGUCUCAACCGACAUCAUAAUUCAAAUUGAAAAGAUUUACAAGCAUAAGAUUUAAACAAUGCGUACCUUAGCAAUCCUUGAUUAACCUUCAUGGGUCCAAUACUUUGCAUCAACAAGUCUCAUGAAGAGACACAAAAUACGUCAUGAUGCAACUGAUUUCUAUGCCUUAAAACCACAACCUAUUAAGGCCAAAAGCCUCACGCGCCCACGAUGAAUAGGGGGGGGGCUUUGGCCAAAGAACCUCCGAUGCCAAAGUUAGAAUUUUAGAGAGAAAAAGUGUUUAGAGUGUUUAGGAUUUUUUGUAAGAGAAUUGGAAUUGGCUUUUUGGUGAGAAAUGAGAGUAUAUUUAUAGGGAUAGGAGGUGGCUAGGGUUUUUUGGGUUUGAUUUAGGUUUAAUUAGCCAAUUUAUUUUGCUAUUAAACAUAAAAUGAAUGUUUUGGUGGUUUUUUGUAUAAUUGGCUAAUCAAUGUCACAAAAAAGGAAAAUUAUGGUGAAAAAAGAAGGAAAUGGCCGGCUCCCUUUGGAGAAGGGAUAACCGGCCUUUAGGGUGAUUUUUGGGCUUAAUUUGGUGAUGUAAUUAGCCUUUAAUAUAUUGAUUAUAUUAAUUGGUUGAGGAUGUUAUGGAAUGUUUGAAAUAAAUGGCUAAUUGAAUAAGGAAAAAAUGAGGUAAAAACAUAUAUGGAAUAAAAUAGGUUUUGAAUUGUUACCCAUUUUGGGUACUCCUGACUUGGUUGAUGGAUGAUUCUCCACUGCUCGGGUGUAGGAAACCCAGUAUGCCUCGAGGGUAUUUUUGUCCUCUUUUGUCCAAAAGUCCAUGUGUCGCCUAGUGAAUAUUUUUGGCUCCACAAAUGCCCCCACACCUGUUGGGCUGCUCGCAGAAAAGGGCAGCAGGUGUAGAGAUCUUCUUGCUUUAGGAAACUUAAGACUGCUUCCUAUUUUGAUGUAUAUUCUCUCUUUAAUAGGAAAUUAGAUCCUUCUAGGAAAGGGAAAUAAAUUUCUCUCAAAGCCUAUUUAAAUCCACCUUAAGUGGGUUAUUAAAUCAACUUUGGAGAGCGAUUUAUUCUACCCUACAAGAGAGAGAUGGCUUAGAGGAUAUUUGUUCCCCCUCCUCUAGCAAUCUUCUACAUCUUGCCCAUGCAAAGGACCGUAUUUCGUUGAUUUCUUCGUCUUCUUCGUGGAUGGUGCUACCGCGGGGCAGCCGUCGGGGUGGUGCGGCACGUCGGCUGGCAUGGGCCAGGAGUCGACUCGGUAUGGGCCGAUGAGGUAUUGUGGUAGGGACCACUGCUUUAAGCUGCUCGACUUGGCUAGAACCAAGGGCAGCUUGUGUGGCUGGGGCCUCGGAUUGUGGCACUGGGGCGCAGUGCUAGGCAAGUCAUAUGGCUUAUGUCCUUUUAGGCUUUUGGACAUGACGCGAGUUAGGCCGGUGAUUGAGAGAAAUGAAGAGGUUGCAGUCCUCAUGAGCUGCUAGAAUGUUGGGUUGAACUUCCCUGCUAGGUACCACGAAUGACAUUGGUUAUUUUAACUUUUUUCGUCAGGAGAAACGUGGGCUGCUCCCAAAAGAGGAGGUGAAUAGGAUCAAAGUGGAUGUACUGGCUCGUCCAAUCACCAUUGUGGAUCCCGCUGCAACUGAAGGUGGGAAAAUGGAUAUUCUCUGCUUGCUCAAGAGAUGCCGGCUGAGAAAAAACCAAAGACUUCUUUCGCUGCUCGAGCUGGUUCGCCGACUACUUCCAGGCUUGUGAUUGACUUGACUUUUUCCAAGGGGACAAAAAAUGAGGCUUCUAGAUCUGAGCAUGUGGCGCCUGCCAUGUCAAGAAUGGCUAGUACGAUUGCUGAUAGGAUUGUUCGGCAUAAAGGUCUUGUCAUGCCCUUAGUGCCGAAUUUUGUACCAAGACGUCUGUUGGGAGCUAAGUCCAGUUCACCUUUGGAGAGGCUUGCUAUUAUGAAAAGCGAUAAGGUGGACUCUACUGCUAAAGUGGCGUCAAGGCCCAUUCCUUAGCUGCUGAGACUGAUUCGCCUGUUGGGAAUGAGGAGACUGCUCGCGUAGGCAGCUGUGAGAAAUCCACUAAACCUGCUUCUGAGGAGGCUGCUGAGAUCUAUGUGCUUUUGAAACCAGAUCUCUUGAAAACAUGGAUGCUUGUGCCAAGUUUGUUGAUGACGUCAGAAAGGUUGUUUGCCCAAGCUCGUUUGCGAAGCAUACGACCCAAUAUAGAAGGACCGCUCUGCUUGUUAUGAUGCAAAUAUAGCAAGGCUGCUAAGGAGAUGGCAAAUACUAUGGCAGAUUCUAAGCUCGUUGCUUUGAAGGGGUCUAAUAUUUCUGCCCCCACUUCUCUCAGAUUCAAGAUCUUAAGUUUGCAGUUUCUGAGCUUCGUUUCGCUGCUUAUGCUAAGAAAUGAGUGGAUGAGCUGCAGCGCGUCCGUGUUAGUCUGCUUAAGAAGAAUGAGCAGCUGAAGGGUGAGAAGGAUGGGCUUGAGGUUUUAAGACCUUCUCUAUUUCUCCGGAAGACUUGCUUGCUUUUACUUUUAAGGCUUCCAUUGGUGAAGUAGUUGGAGAAGUUAGUGCCCAGGCUGGGGCAGCCGGGGGUGAAGCGCCGGAUGAUGCCGCUGCUAAGAGCGUUACGGCUGCUGAAGGUGUGGCGACCGAGUAGUCGUGGGAUGUCCAAGCUGCUGUAGUGUAAUAUUCUAAGUAGCCUUUAGGAUUUUCUUUGUUUUUCCUUAUAGCUCUUGUUUUGCUUGAACUCCUUCGGCCUUUGCUAGUUAUUUAUAAACAUGUUUUCCUUCGUUUUUCUUCAUCUUCGCUUCUUUUGUUCAUGCCCUAACCUUUAGACUUGAUAGACCAGUGGCAGGCAUGCUACUUUUUUAUAAGCAGACAAGCUCGCGUAGCCUAUGCAGCCGUAGAUGUUGGUGUAGAACUUUGCAAAGUUGUUAGCCAUAGGGUUGGCAGCCGGAUGCCUUACUUACAGAAGCAGAUAAGUCCGCGUAACCACUAGGCUGUUAACCUUGACUUUCUUCAAUUCCGUAGGUUGCGUAGCAAGUAUCACAACACUUUAGGACUUGGUGUAGGUUGUUCCGCGCUUGACAGAGGUGAAGCUUAUCGACUACGUAGCAUGUCGGCAGUGGAUAAAACUUCGUAUAUGCGCGCUAGCUUGUUUAACCUUUCACAAGAAUGUGCGGUUGUAUAAGUCUAGCGCUGCUUUACAGCUCGAAGGGCAAGCCGUAGGCAGUCUUCCGGAAUCCGUAGGCUACCUUAGUGCACUCGGUAGCAGCUUUAGGGUUCCAGGGCAGCCGUCUAUAGGGCGUACUACGUAAUGUGCCCCCUCCGUCUCUAGGGCCCGAUUCCCCACGGAUUAGGCCAAGAGACCCAAAAUCCUUCAGUUAGCUAAGCCUUGAAAAAGACCAUUGUGGCUACUUCUAGGAAUCCCGGCGCAAGCCAUCGUGCAUCUAGUUACACUAGGGCAGCCAGGCUCAUCCACGUCUGGAUAUUCGGAGUGUAAAGUUUAUCCUCCCAUCUUGGAGAGCUAACCCAUAUGGGUGUCGGGGAAUUGGUUUACCCUCUCGCACUGGAGAGCAUGGUUGGUCCCUCGGGGGGCACAAUUCUUGCGAUGAGUCCCUAAGAAGGGCGCAGUCUUCUUUUGAAAUGCAUAAGUGAUUAGUUGUUGUAAGCAUGCAGCCGAGCCAAGUUGUGAUUACUUCUAAAUUCCUCAUUGAAAAACAAGUGAAACGAACGAGAAUUUAGCUGUAAGGUAGGAAUUGCAUAACAACUGGAUAGUCCUCAGCUUGUGAGGUGGUGCCCGUCGAGCUUUUUGAGUCUUCGGGCUUUGAUGUAGUGGGAGGUCACACACAGUACUUCUUCAGAUUGUAGGCGCUCCACUACUUUUCGAUCAUUUUAUCGUUUCAUGGUGGCGAGGGUGUAAUUACUCUUGCCGCCUACUCUGCUGAUUUUGUACGGACCUUCUCUAUGGGCAAUGAUGAAGGCUUUUCUUAGGACUAGAUCUCUGGGCUGGAAUUGCUGCUGGUAACCUGCGAUGCGAGUGAAGUCUACUCGCACUUCUCCUCUGCCAGAUUUAAGCUUGUGGCCAUCUCAUUUCGGUUGCUCGUCUUUUGGUGGUGCGAUAUGCCCAUAGACAUCUAGGGAGUUCAUCUGGCCAUUUUCUUUUCUUAUUGGUGGAGGAUUUCUUGUGACAGUCGAGGAUCAUCUUGGUGGAUACUUUGGCCCGCCUAUUGCCUUAAGAAUAUCUUGGCGUAGACAUGUGCUGCUUGAUGCCAUAUUUUUGGAAGAACUUCGCCAAAUCUUUGCCCAUGAAUUACGGGCCGUUGUCGGUGACGAUGGAUUAAAGGAUGCCAUAUUGACAAAUGAUGUUCCUCUAUAUGAAACGCUCUAUGUCCGUCUGAAUCGUGGUCAUCAUGGACUUUGCUUCUACCUAUUUGGUGAAGUAGUCGGUUGCCACGAUCGUCAUGCCUUUGCCCCCAGUAGUCUGGCUGGUGAUUAGCUGGGAAUCGGAAUAAAUUGAAAGCUUUUCACCGCCAAGUCUUUUGUCAUUCGAAAGCCUGCUAGUAGGGCUUCAUACUCUGCUUCGUUGUUAGAUGCUUUGAAGCUUAGAGUGAUCGCCUACUCGAGCAUUAAAACGUCUGGGGUGGUAAGAACCACGGCUGCUCACGAGCUUUUGUAGUUGGAUGCGCUAUCGACAUGCAAACGCCAGAAAUCUCCAUUGAGGGAGCAGGUGUGGCUAAAGUGUGCUCAGCUGCCUUCGGGACGCCAUUGGGCCGUUCUGUUGCAUUGUCAAGGCUAGGCUUGAAGGCGCGGUAGGGAGCCGUGGAGCUGGGGCCAUGUUACAUGUAGCAGGAGAUGCUCAACUUCUGGUAUUAGGCCACUCUAGAGUUGAAUCUUCUGGGGCGACGAGGACAAAACUUGCUUCUGAGUGUUCCUUCUAGUGUUCGUCUACCAUUGACGUGUCUUUUGGGCCGAGUUGUUAUGUUCGUCAGAAAACUUUGCAUCAGCCAGGGUCUAUGCCUUUAUCGUCGCAGGUUUGGAUUCGGCGGAAUAAUGCGUCAUGAUGAUGACUGCGUGCAUUUGAAGGUAAAACUUAAGCUUUUGGGUUACAACAACUAUCGCCAAAGUUAGCUUUUGAAUUUUUAAUAGCAUCGAGAAGAGCUUUUGAACUGUAGAAUACAGGUAACUGUAGAAUAUAGGUAGUCAGGCCCCAGCUCUUCUCGCAUGAUGGUAGAGCUUAUUGCUACUUUAGAUACCGUCAACAUGCGAAUAAGUCCUCCGUUGCUACUAUGGAGGUGAUGUCGGGUACUUCUUCAAGUCCUUGAAUGUGCAUUGGCGAUCCUCAUCCCAGAGUGCAUGCUUCUCUGCCAAAGCAAAAGAGUCUGCCAAAGUUAGAUCUUCUUUCAUGAUCAAUUUUCCGAGUAGAGGGUGGUCUGCUGGAAGUCCUUUUUGGAAGGCUGCUCUAGCUAUCGAGUCGUUGCAUCCGACUAUUUUUGCCUUCUCUACUUUGAACCUCCUCACAUAGUCGCGAAGCGACUUCUUUGGGUUCUUCUUGACGUCGAACAAAUGGUCAGACUUCUUUUUGAUCGAGCGAUAUGAUGAAUAUUCUCUGGUGAAAACCAAAGAAAGUUCGUAGAAAUUUCGGAUGGAUUGUGGCGGCAGGGUGUAAAACCAAUCUUGCGCCUCGUCUUGUAGAGUGGUGGCGAAUAUCUUGCACAUAAGAUCAUCGUUGUUUGGAUAAAGGAUCAUUGCGCUUCGGUAGCGCUUCAAGUGUCUCUCCGGGUCUUCAUCCCCUUUGAAAGAUGUGGAAUGUGGCAUGCUGAAAUCGCGUGGAGGCUCUGCCUGCUCGAUCUCGUCCGUGAAGGGUGACCUUCUUAUGUUGGUCAUGUUCCGUCGUAGUGCCUCGUCGGUGACCUCGUUACGUUGGAAAUCAUGCAAUCGUUUGGUCAAAAGUCUUUCUACUUCAUCCUGAAUUUGCCUUUGUUGGGGUAGCGGAGCUCUCGGCUGCCCACAGCCAUGACUUGUUGGUCUAGGCUGCUCUUCCAUGUGUUUGGCUCGUCUAUGCCGCGGAUGCAGUGCAUAUGGUGCGUUCCUAGCAGGCCAACGAGUUCUUCGCAGGUUGCUGGUUGAACUUGAGCUGGAUUGAGUGACUGCUUUUCUCCGUCCGUCGGGCUGCCUACUCCGAUGUGAGGUGGAUGAUGCUCCUUGCGGGUUUAGCCGCAAAUGAACACUUCGCCUGGAAGGCUGCUCAUAUUGGCUAUUGGAGUGUGACCCUAACCAUGAAUGUAUGCUCGUUUGUGGGCCUAGUCGAGAGUGCACGCUCCUCCAUGCUCUAAGAUGGGAGUAUACGCUAUCUCGGGGGCCCAAUCAGGAGUGUAUACUGCCUGAACGCUCCGUUCGUUGCUGGUCGAGUGGCUGCUUACCGGGACGCUGCUGGAGAGGUUCUUUGUCUGCCCUUGUCCUACUUCGGAACAUCUCGUCUGGGGCACGUUGCAUCUCGGUGCGUUGCAAGAGCCGGUUCACCAAGGUCGUCUGCUGUGCGAGGACGCUUGUCAACUCUAUGACCUGUCGUGACAAGUGUUGUUCUCCAUUUGGGUUGGAAGAGCUUGGAAGGAAUGUGCCUCCUUGGGCAAUGGAAGAGUGGUAGACUCCGGGCACGAGAUUUGAGUUGGGAAAUGUCAAAUUCGUGAAAAAAUAUGGUGAGAAUGCCCCCGGCUCGAUGGUAGGUCCGGAUGGUUGAGAUAGUCUUGGGCCGACUUGGGCUGCUUGGAAAACCACUGGAGCAGGAUGGGCCGUGAGAGUGGGCUGCUCGACGGAAGCAGGCUGGACCACGGGAGUGGGCUGCUCGUCGGGAGCAGGCUCGGUCACGAGAGCAGGCUGCUUGGCAGGAGCAGGCUGGGCCACGGGAAUGGGCUACUCGACGGAAGCAGGCUGGGCCACGGGAGUGGGCUGCUGGACGGAAGCAGGCUGGACCACGGGAGUGGGCUGCUCGUCGGGAGCAGGUUGGGUCACGAGAGCAGGCUGCUUGGCGGGAGCAGGCUGGGCUGGGAGAGCAAGUUGCUUGGCGGGGGCAGGCUGUUUAGUAUGUGAUGCAUGCGAAUGCGAGGCUUGGGCCCAGGCCUAUGCAAACUUGGAUGGCACGACUUGGGCUGUGGCCUUGGUGCCGUAAGCCUUGGAUGACACUGCUCGAGCCGUGGUGAAGGCUCCAUGGACCUCUCCACGGGUGGCUACUGAGGUAGCCACCGUGGUGGUUCCCAUGGUGGAAACUCGUGGUGGUGGUGCUGCUCCACUUAUUGUCGCAUUUAGCCUCACGGAUCUCCGCAAUCCCAUUUCUUGAACAUUAGAAUUUUCACUUGUGGAAAUUUCUAAAUUUCUAGCCAUUAUAUUUUGCUUAUACGUUUUAUCAAAGAACCUUUGCAAGUAAAAAAAUUCUAAUAAUAAGAAUGUAUGAAAAAUUUUCAAAUGGACUAGAAAAUAAAGAAAAAACCUUUUUGUGCGAGAGUCUUCUACGAGUAUGGAUUUCAACUCUCAAUGAAAGCACCAAUUUGUGGAUGCAAAUUUUCUCCUCUUCGAUCUUGGACGAUUUUGCACCUACAAAACAACUAGCACCUUAGGUUAAGGCCAAAAGCCUCACGCGCCCACGAUGAAAUGGGGGGGGGGGCUUUGGCCGAAGAACCUCCGAUGCCAAAGUUAGAAUUUUAGAGAGAAAAAGUGUUUAGAGUGUUUAGGAUUUUUUGUAAGAGAAUUGGAAUUGGCUUUUUGGUGAGAAAUGAGAGUAUAUUUAUAGGGAUAGGAGGUGGCUAGGGUUUUUUGGGUUUGAUUUAGGUUUAAUUAGCCAAUUUAUUUUGCUAUUAAACAUAAAAUGAAUGUUUUGGUGGUUUUUUGUAUAAUUGGCUAAUCAAUGUCACAAAAAAGGAAAAUUAUGGUGAAAAAAGAAGGAAAUGGCCGGCUCCCUUUGGAGAAGGGAUAACCGGCCUUUAGGGUGAUUUUUAUGCUUAAUUUGGUGAUGUAAUUAGCCUUUAAUAUAUUGAUUAUAUUAAUUGGUUGAGGAUGUUAUGGAAUGUUUGAAAUAAAUGGCUAAUUGAAUAAGGAAAAAAUGAGGUAAAAACAUAUAUGGAAUGAAAUAGGUUUUGAAUUGUUACCCAUUUUGGGUACUCCUGACUUGGUUGAUGGAUGAUUCUCCACUGCUCGCGUGUAGGAAACCCAGUCUGCCUCGAGGGUAUUUUUGUCCUCUUUUGUCCAAAAGUCCACGUGUCGCCUAGUGAAUAUUUUUUGCUCCACACCAGGAACUUCUAUAAACUCCUAGCCGAAUACAACUACUAUAUGGGAAGCAUUGUGUUGUGUUAUCUAGGGCUUAUAGGGACUGGUGUUUAUAUAUAUAGGCUAAAAGCUAGGUUUCCAUCCAUAAAGGAAACCUAAACUUACUUUCUUAGCCUCUAAGUUAAGUAUCAUAAUUAUAGUCAAUUAAGGAUUCCAUCAAUCCUAUUUCCAAUAUAAGACACAUGAUAUAGGAUUAAUAUCUUUAAGAGAUCGAAUCACAAUCAACAUUAUUUCUCCAAUAUUACAUUCCUAUUAUAUGUAGUAGACCACUUAAAGGUUGAUUUAUAUUGGAUAAAUCCAACAACACUUGUAUUAAAGACCCUAUAUCUAUUCAAGAGAGGUUUAUUGUGGUCUUCAAAGAAAAAUGUCAUAGGGAUAUUUAGACCAUAUUUGUAAAUGAUAUGAUAUGUGAACAAUAAAAAUAAGUUCGUUAAUCAAACACUUAAGUAAUAAAAUAAUCAUUGACAUUGACAACCACAUCAUGUUUAUAUAUAUGGUCUCUUUAGCAUUACUCAAUCUACAAACUGUGGUCUUCUUAGCAUCACCCUCUUUGUAAUAGAAGUAGAGUCCACCAUAUGUAGUAGGUUGCACUUCUAUUAUAAAGAUGAGAUAAAUGUGGUCUCUAAAAUAUUAGCUCCCCAGCAUAUUUCUAUGCAAUAAUCAUAGUCCCACUAGAACAUAGGAAAACCAAAAUUUAACAAUAGGGAACUGCCUAUAGAUAUGUUAUAUAAUACUACUACAAAAUUUGACCAUUAAUUGGUGAACAUACUAAGUAAAUUUACAUGCUGUAAGUAGUUAAACUAAUAAAAUAGUGAAAAUAUGCUUUAUUUUGUUUUAUAUUCCUAAAGAUGGAGGGGAGAUGGGGAAAGUAGAUGCAUGAAUGUAUAGUUGAUGAGAAAAUUAGAAAAAUGUAGGAAAGCAUUUGGUAUGGGGUUUAAGGAAAUCCAGUGUCGCGUCCAGUUUGAGACUUUGGCUACGGCAGAUAAGCCACUGAAGGUAGCACUACAUCUUCAUGUGCCCCACCCAUUAACCAACCAAUGUGUUCCCUCGACGACGUGAAUAAUUCGUCUCACAACAAGCCGGUCACCACAGCCAAGUAAAAGAAUAUGAAACGAAAUAUGGCACAAACUAACAAACACAAUCGCGCAUCGUCAUCUGGACGCAUCUACAAUUCCAAAUCUAAAUUACCCACCAGUAGGGAACAGAUUCUUUAUGUGCCCAGUAAUAUUGGAAUCCCGUUUUAUAAAACCUAGUUAAUUGGGUGCAAUUAUUAACACUUUAAAAAUUGUUGUGCACUUUUUAUAAGGUUUUUUAUUUUUUUUAUUUUUUUUUAUUAUUAUUUUUUUUACAAAUAACAUUUUACAGUAUUCAUAUUAAAGGGAAAAGUUUAAACUUUGGACGAAAUUGGUUGAGAAGGAAGACCUAACUAUUAAGAGCAUCACUAAUGAAGGCCUUAUCCUCCUUUUCUUUUAGGGCUACUAUAAAUGUAGCACUAGUGAGAAAUUUCAUCCCAAUGAAACAAGAAAAUUGGUCUACAUCCACCACAUGGGCUAGUAUCUUCCUUGAAUAGUAAAAAAUUAGACUAUAUGAAACUUAGGAUGAGAAUGAUGCAAUCCAUAUCUAUAUGAAACCUCUCUUUUGUUUGGUGAACCAUAUAUAUGCCUAAAACCUUUUGAAUGUGAAUGUGUACGGAAAUUUGACUUUUACCUUUCGUUCAAAGGAAUUAUCCCUUCCAGAAUGUAACCCCACACAAGUCAAAGUGACAUCAUUUGCACCCAUUUCUCUAGUAGCAACGUCAUCAUACCUUUUAACUUUUUUUGUCCUGCUUUAAGUCUCUAUGUGGGUUGACUGGAAAAGGUAACGAAUCAGACAAAAUAACCGCGAAUACGCCAAUAGAAAAAGCAAGUCCAUUAGGAGAGAUUUUUUCAGUAUUGACAAGAACAUGGGAUGAUAUUCUACUAGUGCACCAAAUGCCAGUCAUGUGUGUGGGUUGACUUGCCUCCAACUCAAAAAAUUCAUCUUCACCAGUGGCAGGUUUAGAAAAUAUUAUUUAGGAGGGGGGAGGGGGUAGGGAGACGAGAGGAGGGUUUCAGUAAAAAGAGAGCACGCAGCGCAAAAAAUCUUUUAGACAUAAAUACGUGCAAAUUACCUUUUCAUCAAGUCUUGGAAGACUUGAAGUCAUUUGCAGAGGUAUAUUGCACACCUAUUAAUGUCUUAAUUGCAUGGGUAACUAUAUGUUCCAAGGCUGCUCCCAUAUGAAUGAUUAAUUAAGGAACACUUAUCGUUAACACACUAACAAAUUGAUUGAUAUCAUUGGAUUUCGUUAAUAUGUUUGUUCAAGAAUGAGAUGCUUUGUUCAUUCUUUGAGAUUACCAUUUCAUUUACUUUGCAUUUUUGGAUAGUCUUUUACUUCAUUCUUAUUUUCAUCCCACAAUUGUAAUCACAACCAACAAGCAAAUUAGAGGUAAACAAUUUUAGGACUAGACUGUAAACCAAAACUUUCGACCAACUAUAAUUAUAAAGAAGUAUAAAAUACUAAUAAUAGGAUUUGAAAGGUGCGGCAAAGCAACACAACUGCUGAGCAAAACAUCCACUAUGCUAUGCCCAAAUCUAAGCAUGCCUUGUAGCCCAGCAGUCCAAGCUCCUCUCUAAGGCAUUUUAUCAAGCAGUUGGAGGACAUAUAUGAAGGGCGACUCUAAUCUUAAAAAAGACAGCAUCCAAGUCAUCCAUGAAAAUUCAAUGGAGUUCGGAAGAUCAGCUGACCCCCUUGCCCCUAAGUUAGUUCGCCCCUGAUCUCCACCGGUUCAAAAUCAUUGAGACAAUUAAAGCAAGGGAAGCAGCCCAACUUGUUCAAGCUUGACCUUGCACGUACAGACAAUUGGAGCAAGGGUAGCAGCUCAUUUGGCUGCCCUGCCUGUUCAAGCAUAAACUUGCGCCUGCAGGCAAUUGAAGUUGAUGUCAGCAUGGAUCCACCACGUGCAACCCACUGAGGCAAAAGCCUCGCCUUUAGCCGUUAGAUUUCCAACAGUCUUCUUGUCUGGACAGUUGGAUUUCCAACAUUAAAAAAAUUGAAAAUUAUAUGUUGUGCCAUGUCUUGGAAAUCAACAAACAUGAUUAAUCCAAAGGUAAAACAAUCCAACAAAUUCUGAAAAAUUCCAAAAUAAAAACACAAAAUUUUGUUUAAGAACACAUUUAAACAAACUCACAAAAUUCAGCCAUCUUUUUCCUUCACUUUUUAUCUCUAAUUAUUAUGCUUGUUUGUAAUGCUAUUUUUUGCUUUGUAUUUAAAAUUAAAUUAUCGGAGUUAAUUAUGGAAUUUUAUUUUCAAAAUAUAAACUUGCUAAGUACACACUUACAAGGCAUACAAAAUGAAAAUAUAUUUGUCACAGCCCGUCCCGGAGGUACUUUUGGCGGGAAUGUGAAAGGACAAAAAUGCCCUUGUCAGGUAUCAAGGUAUGGGUGAUUACCUAUGCUUUGAUACACGUGAUUGCCAGCACACCUGGAUCCUCCGGAUCGGGGUGUGUCAAUAUUUGUGAAUAGUAAUCGCCCUUACCCUUCCUCUUCUCAAAUGAGUGUACUUGCACAAAUUUAAUUAUUGUUUAGAGAGAACAGUAAGGGUAAUUUCACUGUGCUUGUCCUUGACCUCCUAAAAUAGAUGGACAUGUUCUAACAUCACUCGACCUGCUUAUAUUGGUGUGUGUUCCUUUUAUUAGAGAGGUGGCACAAAUGUAGUCUAUCAAAUGUAAUCUCUCUUGCAUCAUUCUUUGUUAGAAAAUGUAGUAAAAUCUCGCUAUACCAUGACACUCUAGAUAAGGAUAACAAUGAUUUAUGUAGUAAUGUUUUAGAAGAUUUUAUGUUACCUAGUUUAGAGCUUCUUCUAUCCGGGUGUGUUGACUAUUCUCUCUGCUGAGGCAUGAUCCUUUAGAUUUCUAAUAAAUUGUUUUGCUGAUAAAAAGACGAUCUUUAUUGACAGCAGAUUCGUAAAAAUAUAUUGUCCUGGACAUUCAUACUUUGCAAUUUAGGCAAUCCAAGAUAUAAUAUAUUGGUCCAGGUUACAUUUUGAUUUGGGUGUUUUAGCCUUGAGGCAAUCCAAUUUUUUUAAUUUUUAUAAAUUAAGUUUCUUCCUGAAUUCUAAUAUACUCCAAUGUUUAGAUGAAAAGAUCCUCCAAGACUUAUAUUCACAAUUUUUACAAUUAACUUUGAAUUUGAAAAUUGGAAUGUGGUCAACAGAUUGAACUGGGACUUCAAUAGAUUGAUUUCGAUUAUUUAAGAAAUAAUUUAUUUUUUAGUAUCACUGUUCAAAAUUUUCCUUUUUAGAUUUUAUUUAUUUUUGUUUUUGGGUUUGCUAAUAAAGCUUUAAAUAUAAAAAAUUAUAUUUAAAGCUAACACAUGGCAAGCUAUGAUAUAUGUCUGCCACUACCAAUCAACUUAGGAUUGGUUUGGUAUUGCUGUGCUUUGAAAAAAAGCUGCUUCUGCUGUGCUGUGAGAAUAAGCGGCUGUAAAAUAAAGCUGUAGAGUGUUUGAUAAACUUUUUUGUAAAAAGGCUUUUGAAAAAAAAAAGCAGUAUUAUAAUGUUUGGUAAACUUUUAUGUAAAAUAGAUGUGAAAAAAACCGGUUUUUCAAAGCUGAGUUUUGCAGCUUCUUGUUUUUGGCUUGUUUUCACCCAAAACUGUGAAAAAAAAGCUGAAGCUGAAUGUUUACCAAACACAAAAAAGCUCCCAGCUUUUUUUGAUACCAGCUUUUUUCAGAAUCAUCUCAGUACCAAACCAGGCCUUAAUCUAGAGGCAAGUUAAGCUUCACACAAGUUUUUCUUGUUCUCCUCACCUUAAUAAUAAUAAUUUAAAAAAAAAGAAAAAAAAAACUAAUAUGCUCCAAUAUUGACGUAAUAUUUUUUAUCCAUAGAUUUUCCAUUAAAAGUGACUAAGUCAAAAAAUAAUUUUUGUAAUUACAUAUCUGUUAAGUAUAACUUCUUUGUAAUAAUAAAAAUAAUUUGAUCUUGCAAGUGACCUUUUACCACAGUAGUAAAAAAGAGUUAAGUCAUUGCAUGAUGGUGUGGAUUCGAAGUUCGUCGGCGGCUAAUCUAACAUCUAACCUAACAAAAUUUAUGGUUUGACAAAAAAAAAAUUUGGUCCUAAGAUCAAUAAGAUAUUUCACUGUCUUUCUUCGAGUGUGAAACUGUCAUACUAUUAUAAUUUUAAUACAUUAUAUUAAUGAGGUCUCCCAUCUAACAAUGUUAUGCGAUGCAGAAAUGAUACUAUAACCAUAUAUUUGCGUUAAUAAAGAUAAGACUCAUAUAUGUGAAUAAGUCUUAAUUUUAUUAGUGAAAUAGUACAUAAGAUGGUACGAAUAUUUAAUAACGGUAGAAUUACUCAUGUUGGCGUCAGGUUUCUAGUUCUAGAAAUUUUUUAAUAUUAGUAUCCCAGUGUAAUAAUGACACACGUAAGUAAAGAGGAAGAAGUUGAAACGGUAUAACAUGCUACUGUGAACAAGUCAACAAUAUACAGCUUCUAAAUCAUGUUGGGUCAAAUUUCUGCCACUCUCCACAUGUAACAAAUGCUUGAGUAUAGUAGUAUAAAAAGAAAAAGAAGAAAAAAAAAAAAACGAAUGUUACCCGAACUCCAUGCAUAACUGUCAUUGGAAUUAUAACUUUUUGUUAGCCGGCGUAGCUCAACCGCACCCUAUCAUUGACUGCUGAAAAGGCCACCAUAUAUUGCUUAAAAAAUAUAAAAAUUUGCUAAUUUGGUCCAUGAAUUCUUACGCAUGAAAAUUCAGUUUUUAAAUUCAUUAAAAAUUAUCAAAUUCAUCUUUAUUGUUGAUUCAAAUUAUUUUAUUCAUUUUUUCGUUAAUUUAAAUCAUGUGACUUGUAUUUGAUACAUUUUAAAAGGUAGAUUAACAUUUUUAAUGGGUUUAAGAACUUUUCCUUUUUCUACUCCAUCUCAAUGUAUAUUCUUCAUUUCUUGGCUCCAAUUAACAACUAAAUUCUCUUCCUUAACCAUAACAAUAGGCUAUGCUAUGUCAUGAACGAGAAAUAGUAUAUACUAGCAAAAAUGCCUGCGCGCUGCUGCGAAUGUUUAAAAUAUUUUGAUAAUAUGUACAUACAGAAAAUAGAAUUUAUUGAAGUUAGAUUUAUAUACCUAAGAUAGAGAUUGGCAGUGUGCAAUUCCUCACUGUUAUAAAGAUAGAGAUGCUAUGAAAGCUAUAUUCAUGUACAGAAGUUCAUAGUAUCAAAAUUGUUCAAAUACGAAAAAAAAACAUGUUCAUAUCAGAAGCUUGGCACCGCACAUCUGCUCAGUGUUUAUGAUUUUUCCUGGUCAAUCUUCUGGUCUUGCUUGUUUGGGAAUGACCAUCUUUUUCUUGGUCAUCUUGUUAUUUUUUGCUUUGUCCAGAAUUUUUCUCUUGCUAUAUAUUAAGAAUUGUAAUCAAUAAGAAUUCAAAAUAAAAAACUAAAAGUUUUCAAUCUAUUUAACCACUGAAUUGAUGGAGGAGCGAAAGAGAGAAACAAAAAAAAAGGGCCAUUAUUCAAUUAUAUGGAGAAUUACUUGAUACGUACAAAAGAUUUGAAAAUUAAACUAACAUUAAAAAAAGAAAAGAAAAAAGAGAUGAGAUGGAGUGGAAACCACAUACCAACAUCAAGCUUAAAAUUGUAGUGCUAUCUGCAAUUAGUCUUAUCAGGAGCUUCUACACUGGUUGAUGUCUCGGUCUUUUACUUAGCUGUAUGUACAUUGUAGACUUGGGUAGAUGAGAAGCAGAAGAAAAUAAAAAUAUAAGUUAAAGUUACAACUUAACUAUCUAUGUUGAUUCAUGUCCAACACAUAAUAAGAAUAAUAAGAAUAGCGAAUCAUUUUUCAUCUCGUGCACUGAUUUGUCAUUGUCACUCAAAUUCACAAAUUCAUUUACUCCAAAUUUCUUAGUUAUGACCAAGGAAAGAAUGUUUAAGCAAAAAUAUGUUUAUAUGUUUUCCCACCAAAUUACCUGUUAAACCUGUUUGUACCAUACUUGACCAAUCUCGAAACUACCGAGCACCAGUCAACGUUAUACCGUUAAGGACCCGGAAGAGUUUCCCUCCAACCAAGAGGCCAAUCACGGUGCGACACGUGUCGACAUCAGAAGCCAAUCAUAGCUCAACAUCGGAAGCCAAUCAUAACACGACACGUGUCAAUGUCAGAACAAAGCUUUUGUUGGCACCAUAAAUUGGUUUUGCUUCACACUGUCUUGAUCAAGAGUGUGUGAAGCUUUUGAGAAUUGUGGUUGCCCUCCAUUGAUGAAGCUCUUGUUGGCACCAUAAAUUGGUUUUGCUUCACACACUCUUGAUCAAGACAAUGUGAAGCAAAACCAAUUUAUGGUGCCAACAAAAGUUUCAUCAACGGAGGGCAACUACAAUUCUCAAACUCUUCACACACUCUUAAUUAAGACAGUGUGAAGCAAAAUCAAUUUAUGGUGCCAACAAAAGCUUCAUUAAUGGAGGACAACUACAAAUGCCAAAAGCUUCACACACUCUUGAUCAAGAUAGUGUGAAGCAAAAUCAAUUCAUGGUACCCAACAAAGUUUCAACUCCAAAGCUUCACCUACAAAGCUUCAACACAAAAGCUUCACCUACAAAGCUUCAACUCCAAAGCUUCACCUACAAAGCUUCAAUUCCAAAGCUUCACCUACAAAGCUUCAACUCCAAAGCUUCACCUACAAAAGCUUCAACUCAAAAGCUUCACCUACAAAAGCUUCAACUCCAAAGCUUCACCUACAAAAGCUUAAACUCUAAAGCUUCAACACAAAAACUUCACCUACAAAGCUUCAACACAAAAGCUUCACCUACAAAAGCUUCACCUACAAGGCUUCAACUCCAAAGUUUCACCUACAAAGCUUCAACUCCAAAGCUUCACCUACAAAGCUUCAACACCUAAGCUUCACCUACAAAGCUUCAACACAAAAGCUUCACCUACAAAAGCUUCAACAUAAAAGUCUCACCUACAAAAGCUUCACCUACAAAAGCUUCCACACAAAAGCUUCAUCUACAAAAGCUUCAACAUAAAAGCUUCACCUACAAAAGCAUCACACACUCUUGAUCAAGAUAGUGUGAAGCAAAAUCAAUUCAUGAUACCCAACAAAGCUUCAACCUCAAAGUUUCACGUACAAAGCUUCAACACCAAAGCUUCACCUGCAAAGCUUAAAAAAAUUAUAUACAUACAUACAUAUAUAUAUAUAUAUAUAUAUAUUUUUUUUUUUCGAAAAUUCAGAAAUAAAAAAAAAAAUCGGAAAUUCGAAAAAAAAGAAAAGAAAAUGAGGCCUUUUUCUUUAGGCCUAACAACUUUCAUAACAAAUAUAUAUGAAGGAGGAGUUUUGGGCUACCACUUAGAAAGGAAAAUGGUGAAGUUUUGUUACUUUGGAAACUUGGCUAGUAGCAAGACACCUCCUUCGUCAAAUCCCUCGACCGGAGACUUGGGGGACUCCUACCAUAUGUUACUGCAUUUUGAUACUCGGAAGUCUCAUGACCACUCAGUGACUUAGAUUUUUCAAGUCUCCAACCAAGAAGUUUUCCUCACUCGGAAAAUUAAUGGAGCACUACCUCAACCUACAUGCUUCACUCACAAAGCUUUAACAUACAAGCUUCAACAAAAGAAAAAAUUCAAAGAAAUUAGUGAAGAAGGCUUUGGUGUAUUUAACACAAUACGUUGAAAUGAAACAAAGCUUAUUUAUUGAUAUCUCUGAUAAGUUACAAAUAUGUACAUAUACAUGAAUCAAAAUAAACAAACAAGAGGGAGCCUUCACAAAGGUUGCUCAUGAGAAGUCUUAGCAGUCGGCAGAGCCCUAGAAAGAGAAGGAACCGGAGGGUGAUCAUUCGGAGCCUCAGUACUGGGCAGAACCCCAGAAGGAGGAGGUAUCAGAGGUUGAUCAUUUAGAGCUUCAUUACGCGGUACAGCCCCAGAAGAUGAAGGCAAUAAAUGCCUUUGGAACAAACCUAUAAACCUCUGAUGAUCAAGUAAAUUCUGACCAUUAGAUUCCUGCAACUGGUCAAGCUUCCUUUUCAUGUUUGUAGCAUAGUCAUGUGCGAGCCUGUUUAACUGUUUAUUCUCAUGCUUGAGCCUCUGAUCUCUUGUUUGAGACUUAUCACUUCAGCCGCCAAUGAUUCAACUUGACGGGUUCGAGCAAAUAGGCGUUGGGCCAUAUUAGACACAGAACUUGCACACUGAACACUGAGAGCCAGAGAAUCCUUAUCAGCCAACUCAUCAGACCGUUUGGAAAGUAGUCUGUUAUCUUUAGGAGUAAGAAAGUUCUUGGCCACCACCGCAGCGGACAUAUCAUUCUUCAUCACAGAGUCCCCAACGGUAAGAGGACCAGUAGGGGAUAAGAAGGAUGGACGCCAUAUGUUGUCUUGAGGAGGCAUGGCUGCCUCUUCACCAAAGUUCAAGUCAAAAUGACGAUCAGAUGGGCCAGACAUUUUCAGAAAUUAUGAAGGAGAAAUGAAGUCCAAUAAAUCUCUGAAGUACGAAAAUAAGGGGAAAAUUCCUACAAGCAAUAACUCUUUGAACGUACUUCUUGCACACAAUUGGUGCCCCUAUAAAAGAAAGGGCAACAUGGCCGUUUGUUCAAAAAUCGAAGAGGCACCAUUCUCCGGAUUUCGAGAAGCGGAUUUUUCUGAGUAAAAUAUGUCGACAAUCCCUACAUGCAACAUCAGCUUCUCGGGUACCACUGAUAACUUUGGCAAAGAUCUCUGACAAAGUUUAGACACAUAAAUUUUGAAGGUCCAGCUACCCUACCAUUACCCACAAGGGUAACGGAACAACAUCACUGCUUGAUAACUGGAAAGUCUUUAUGUGUGUCAACCUCAGUGCUCAUUGGCAUGGCAACUUGGCAAAAAUGCCCAACCUUUACUCACAUCGAGAAAACACUCAUAACAGGAUUACUUUCUCAAAAAUCGAAGAGGCACCGCUCCCCGAAUCUCGAGAGCCACGCUCCCACCAGGAUUACUUUCUUAAAAUUCGAAGAGGCACAGCUAUCUGAAUCUCGAGAGUCAGACUCCUACCAGGAUCGCUUUCUCAAAAAUCAAAGAGGCACCGUUCUCUAAAUCUGGAGAGCCAGAUCCCCAAUAGGAUUGCUUGUUCAAAAAUCGAAGAGGCAACACUCUCCAAAUCUCAAGAGCCAGAUCCCCAAUAGGAUUGCUUGUUCGAAAACCGAAGAGGCACCGUUCUCCGAACUUCAAGAGCCAGAUUUCCUUGGAUAAAAUUUGUCUGCAAUCUUCACACGUAACAUCAGCUUUCCAAAUACCACAGACCAUUUUUUCAAAGUGCUCUGACAAAGUUAAAACACGUGAAGCUUGCAGCUCCCACUACAUUGCUAUGACCAAGAAGGGUAAAUGAAUAGCAUUACUACUUGUUGUUGAGGGAACUCCUAUAUAUGUCUACCGCCACCCUCCACGAACAGGAAAACCUGCAAAAAUGCUCAACCAUUCCUCGUAUCUGAUAGGGCACUCCCAACGAAGCCUCUCGAAAUACUCAGCUUCCUUUCCCUCGAUAAUACCUCUGCAAACAAGCCACACCAGAGCAAGAGUAUCUCAUAUCAUCAGGGUUCAAAGUAAAAGUAUCCCAUAUCAUGCUUUUUCCCUAUCUUUUCCUUUGCCCUUGCUUUUACCUGCAAGACAAGGAGAAAGAAAGCAAUCAGUCGGCACCUGAAAUCAAACUUCCGAUCUAGAACUGAUUGCCCGGAACCUUUGCCUGGGUCCUCACCUAGCAUUACUCUCAAGUACUCAUCAUCAACUGUUGUCAAGGUCAUGAAUCCUUUCGGUAAAUACUUCAUAACAGUUGAUACGAUAUAGGCUCUUUACAUUGAAGCUGCCAAGCAUGGAUGAGUCGCUGAGAAGUAGUUCUCUGAAGGACCAUUCAAAUGAAAAGGUUGUGCACCACUUCUACGAUGUAAAAGAUUGAAGCAGAAGGUUCAACGAUGAGCUAGAACAGAUCACUAUAGCACGACGCCCUACCUGCAGAACCGCAUAAUCCAGACGGAAGAGUCUAAGUCAAAUCCAAGCUCGGCAUCGCUGCCUUAUCCGAAGAGCUCAAGAAACUUCAACAACCUUUCGCUGGCAACGUCGCCAAAGAGCAAAGCCUCGCCAUACCACAUCCACUACUUUGUCAACAACAAAACUAUCCCAUUUUAUCAAGGUCGAACGAACUCUUGAUUUGAUGGACUUGUUUUGACCCUCAAAUUCAUGAGUCAGCCUUAUACUCUGGAGGCAACUAGAAAACCCUCCAACCCAGUUCAAGAAUAAGCUUGUGGAAAGUUACUUCUUCAAAAGAAAAAGUUUCUCAUAUCAUCUAUUCUCCUUUUUCUUCUCUUUAUCCUUCAUGCUGCCUGCAAGAUAGGGAGAAUGAGAACAAUCAGCCAGAACUCGAAAUCAAACUUCUGAUCUAGGACUGAUUGCUUGGAGCUCUGAUUGCUUACCUUGUCUGUCACCUCUUUCGACAGAUCUCCUGGCUCGGCGACUUGGGGGACUCCUACUAAAUGGUUUGUAUCGCGCUUGACCAAGCCUAAAACUACAAGUAAGGUUCAAGUGAAAUUGAUACAUUACCUUGUGCAUCUCCACCGGUUAAAGAUACCACCCCUGGAUGGAGGAAGAGUACUUCCAGAGAAGAUGACACAUCUACCUAUGCGAUAGAUAAGGCAAGUGAAGAUGAUACCACACUUCAGUACUUAGAAGUUUUGUGAUUACUCAGCGGCUUGGAUCUUGCAAGUCCAUAACCGAGGAACUUCCCUCACUCGGGAACUUAGGGGAGUAUUGUUUGUACCAUACUUGACCAAUCCUGAAACUACAGAGCACCGACAACAUUAUACCGUCAAGGACCCAGAAGAGUUUCCCUCCAACCAGAAGGCCAAUCACAGUGCAACAUGUGUCGACAUUAGUAGCCAAUCAUAGCAUGACACGUGUAAACAUCGGAAGCCAAUCACAACACGACACGUGUCAAUGUCAGAACAAAGCUAAAAACUCUCGUCUAUAAAAGGAGAUCAUUCUCCCACAAUAUUGCCUAAUGUCAUUUGUAUUAAAUCAUUCGCUAGUACUCACUAAAGGAAGGCUUGAACCUAUGACUUGUGUAAACCCUUCACAAUUAAUGAGAACUCCUAUACUCCGUGGACGUAACCAAUCUGGGUGAACCACAUACAUCUUGUGUUUUCCUCCAUGUCUUUAUCCAUUUACAUACUUAUCCACACUAGUGACCAGAGCAAUCUAGCGAAGGUCACAAACUUAACAAUUUAUGUUGUACCAAAGUCCUCAUUGAUUUUGUGCAUCAACAAAACCAAAUCCAAACGUCAAAAAUAAAAAAUAAAUACCUUCGUCAAACCUCUUGGGCUUCAAGUCCACCGACUCCACCCCAAUACUCUGUGGCGCCUUAGAAAUUCUUCCACCUUUAGUAGCCUAGAUCAUGCAUGUAUCAGUAUAAAUACAGAAAAGAAAAUAAAUGCAAUUUAUUAGAACAAAGAAUUUGGGAUCAACAAAGUUUGUCCAAACUUACAGCGAGGCCAAUAAACAGCAACUGAGGACAAUUUUUCAUUUCGCUACAUUGAGAGGGGAACCCAAACCUAAUAUUAAAAAAACAAAAUAUUCAGUAUAAUGCAAACGAUUCAAUAUGUAGUAUCAAUUGAGGAUGCAUAAUUCAAGGCUUUAAAGCAUUGAGUACGACACCAAACUUGUUGGUAUGGCACAACUAAGGAUGCAAACUUUGUCCAACUGAGCAAAGGGCUUGAUUUUGGAAAGACGGCCAUAAUGAACAACAAUGUAUUCACUUGAAGUAAAUGUGCCUGGAAAACUCUACUCGUAGUUUACAAAUCUGUAAUUCUCAAAGCUUAAUCAUAUAAAAUCAUAUAUAUAUAUAUAUAUAUAUUAUGUAUGUUGUAGAUAUUAUUGCUGACCUUCGGCAGAAGUAGAGUUCAGUGUGAUAAACUGAGGUAUAUUUGACCUUUACCCUCAUUUCCAUGGCCUUAGGUGGAGCAACCUUCACCCUCUCCAUCACCAACAGCUUCCUGACUUCCCAUCAGUGUGAUAAACUGAGUAUUAAAUCUCUAUAAAGACAUGCAAAAUGAAGAACAAUGGACAUAGCAGGCAAAGAUGCUAAUUGGUGUUCAUAAAAAAGAUAUUUUAGUUUUAAUUACCUUGUAUUUGAGAAGAGGUUCAGAACUCUCUUCAAUUUCUUUUGGUUCUGGUUUGGCUUCAGGCCUAGCCUCCAUUGUCGCCAUCGACAGAAGACGAGCUCUUAGGAAUAGAAGUGGACAUGAAUGGAGCUUGAUAUGAUCUAAUUAUGAAAACAUAUACCAAUCAAACAUAAAAUUUAAGGUGCAUGGACGAAUUUCUCCUACGAAAUGAUCUAAAUAUGUUGAGAAGAAUAUACAUUUUUACAUAUUUUCUCGACAACCAAACAACAUAUUUUGUCACCGGUGUUUAGACAGAAACAAGUCGUCGAAAUUUGAAGACCAAAGCCCUAAUACCUUAACACAUAAGAUCGAUUCAAUUAAGUGUGAGAGAAUUUGUAGAAUUUUAUAUGUUAGUUUGAGGGUUUGAGUUUGUUUUCUUAUUUUAUGCAAAGAAAACUUCAAUCAAAUGCCAAAUAACUCACUAUCUUACCUAAUGACAAAUAAGUGAGAGAGCUUUUGGGUAAAAGGGUCAGAGAUGGUUUGAAGCUGGAAUUUGCUGAUGCUAGGGUGAGUCAAGAUGUUGUUGCAGUCUGGUUGUCAGCCGACGACCAAGAUUUCUUCAUGGGUUUUCCUUCCAAAUGGGUUUGUAGUGCGGCUAUGGUUGAGAUUUGUUGAGGAUGAAGCGGUUAGUGAGUGAGAGAGAAACUGCGAUUGUGAAAGAACGCAGAGGUGUGGAAAAUGAUGAUUAUGAAGGGAAUUGAGAGGCGAGAUUGAUCGCACUUGUUGGAAUCGAAGGCAAGAUCGUGACCGGGAUGCAGGGAAGCAUGUGAGGGGAAGUUAGGAGAGAAAAUGGAAACAAAAGGGCAAAACGGCAAUGAAAGACACGUAACGAUGAAAGACAUCUAGAACAAUCAAAGCCAAAGCAAAGAGGAUGAAAGACACGUAGAACCAAAAGGACAAAACAGUCAUAUUACUGUAGAAACUCAGCAUUAAAACGAAGAGGAAGAAAAAAAUAAAGGGCAAAUUCGUCAAAUCACUAUUAAUGAACAGUAACUGAAACUGAGUUUUAGUAUAUAUAAUUUGUAUGACGUUAGGAAAUUUGACAAAUGACCUAUACAACCAAAAAAAUACUAGAGAGCACAUAUUUAUCAAGAUUUUAAGAGACACUAGAUGCUAGUCAGUGACAGACUAAGACCUAGUGCCUAGGCGGCUAGGCGGGAGCUUAGGCAGACUAGGUGGAUUAAGUAAAUUUAUUAUAGCUCGUAUAAAUAAGUGUAUGUUUAUACUUAAAAAAUACAUAAUUGUAUUGUGAUACAUAAAUUAUAAAGUAUUAGAACAUAUUGAAAAUAUGGGGAACAAGCAUAUGAUAAAUGUUUAUCCAAGUAUUCAAUAAGUGUCUUACAAUUUAUUGAAAAAUAAAAAUAAAAUACAAAUUAAUAGUUAUCUAUUUUCUGUCUAGGUGAGAGUUGUGAUCUAGCCGGGUAUCUAGGCGGACUUAGGCGGGCGCCUAAGCAGAUCUAUGCGCCAUUUCUUAAUAUUCAAUGCCUAGAGAUUACUCGAGCUGUGAUCAGCCGCUUAGCACCUAUGCGGGGCCUAGUUGGAAAUUUUUAGAAUAGUAUACCAUUUGAUAUGAUAAGUUAUGAUAAAUAUAUAUAUAUAGAGAGAGAGAGAGAGAGAGAGAGAGAGAGAGAGAGUGAUCUAGUAUAUAGCACUAGGGGUGGAAAAAAAAUCCCGAAAAUCCCGAACCAAACCGAAAAAAUUCCAAUCCCAAACCAAAAAUUUCUCAAACCGAAUUUCCCAAAAUUUCGGUACGGGAUUCGGGGUUGGCUUCUUGAUAUUUCGGGAAUUCCAUACUGAUCCGAAAAUAUAUAAUAUUAAUUAUUAUAUAUAUUUAUACAUAUAUUAUUCUUUUAUAAUUGAUGCUAGUAGUUUCUAAUUCAUGCUUUGCAACCUGGAAUGCCAUACACCUUGCAUAUCAUUCAUGUUUUGUUUGAUAUUCAUUUGGAUUUUAUUAUUGCUGUUGCCAUGGCUGAUGAUUUUAGAAGGCUUGAUUCUUUUGUCUCUCAACAGAUUGCAAAAAGGGUUUAAUUAAUUUGAAUUUUGACUCUGAUAAAAAUAGUCAAGCAUGCCAGUGUUCGAUUAAAUGGUAGUGUGAAUGAAAUGACAUUCCUAGUUCAUGAAUGUGUUCUUAAAUUAAAUAUUUGAAGAACAAUUCAUAAUUUCAUAUUUCAAUUUGGGAUUCCCGAUUUGUCCCAAAAUCCAGAAAAAUUUCGGGAUUCCCAAAAAUUUGGUUUGUGAUUGGUCUUCAAAUUCUCGUCCCGAAAAAUUUUGGUUGCGAUUCAGGAUACUAGUUUCGGUAUGGUAUCCCAUACCGAACCACCCCUAUAUAGCACCAUAACUAAAGGACAUCCCAAUAUAGAUUCAAAAGCAAAGGACAGACUGAUUAGGGUACCAUAUAUUUUAGUGGUUUUUUUUAGAGAAGUGUUAUUGGCAUUUUAAAUCUCAUUCUACACUCCUCACAAAUGUAUUUUUCUUUCAUAAUAUAGAAAGUUUGGAGUGUAGAAUGAGAUUUUUGGAGUGCUAAUAACAAUUCCCUUAUUUUAAUUUAGGUAAAAUAUCUAAUCGUGUCAGUUUAUCAUAUAUCGUGUGUCUAGUUUUCGUUAUGUACUAUUUAUAUUCAAUUUUGAAGUAAAAGUUUAAAAUGAUUUCUAACCGCACGAUGUACGAUGAACGAACAUAAUUGAUUGAUUCUCCAGAUAUCCCCACAAAGAGGAUCCAAAGAGGAUCCUAUUCCGGUGGCACUGAUAAUUGUUUCUUUAUAAAUUUUCGCAUAUGAAGAAAUAGUUGUCGGUGCCACCAAUAUUCAACUUAAUUACAAUACUACUACCGCACACAAACUUUAACGUAAUCACGAUAUUGCCUUGUAAUUGAAAAAUGUUCGUUUUUAUUUUUGAACCAAUUGAAAAAUGUUCGUUAGGUGUUUUCCUUUUUAUCUUUAUCAAAAAGGUGUACAAAUAUGAUCGGCUAAAUAUGGUCUACCAAUUAUUUUUCUUUUCCUAGUAAAUGUGGAUGGGAUAAGACUUGCGUUCCCAAUGGGGAAUACACAUAUCCUACUUCUUUCAAAUAAAUUAUAUUCGACAUAUAAAUUUCAUAAUUUGAACCAUUCACUUUUUUAAUCUUCAUUUGAAGAUCAUUCUUAUAAAAAAUCAUCUAAAUCAGAGAUCUUUUAGUCAUCUAAAUCUAUGAAACAAAUCGACAAUAUGAGUACCAAAGAACCACUACAAGAAAAAUGAGCUUUGGGUACAAAACAAAGGGCACAAUUGAGAAUUUUGUGUCUGUUUGACCACCAAAAAGCUUAAACAGUUCCCAUUUCAUAGAGGACACCAUCUAUUGUGCCCAAUGUUAAAAAAGGAAGACACAAAAUAGUAAUGGGCACGGUUUCCGUGCCGAGUGGGGUCAGAUGACAUUUUUUUACUGAAGAUCGGCACAAAAAACAUUUUGUGUCUAUAAAAAUUAUUUGUCAGAGGCACUGUAUGUUCUCUCUCGUUUGUCUUUACCUCCUCUAGCACACCAAUAAUUAAAAUUUAUAAAAUUGUGGUAAAUAAUGGUAUGAAGCUAUUUAUUAUUGUGCAAUGUUUUAGCCUCAAAAUAAGUUAGCAAUAAUAUUGUUCAAAUUCGUUUUUCGCGAGAGCCGAAUCUCAUAUCUCUCACUUACAAGUAAAGAAGAAUACCACUACACCGUAGUAUUAAGUGGCGUGUUUUAGAUUUACAAUGGAUCAUUUCCAACUACAAUAAAUGUUUGUUAGAUUCGUAUCUUUUUUAAUUGCAUUUUAGAUUGGUAUCUUCCUGCAAGUUUGUUUUUUAUGCUUGGUGAUAUGGUUUUUGGUUUUAUAGUAAAUGUUUAUUUUUUUACUGCAUUAAAAGUCCUUCAUGCAAUGACACAUAACCAACAAUUGUGCCCUUAGGGUCGGUCUCCGUGCAAAAGCAAGUUGAUCUUCAGAUAGACAAAUAAGUGUAGAUUCCUUUUUAUGACACUAAUGAUAGAAAUUGUGUCCACUAAAUAUUAAUAAAUAAUAAAUCAGUCUACUUUUCAUUGGGUCUUCAGAUAGACAAUAUAUUUUAAUAAUUAUAAAAUCCUUUUUAUGACACUGAUGUUAUAAAUUGUGUCCAGUAAAUAUUAAUAAAUAAUAAAUCACUCUAUAGCAAAACAAUAUGUUGGCACAAUUAUGGAUUUGUGCCUGUAUUCUAGUAUAAAGCGUCCACACUCCUUUACUAAUUUGUCUAUGGAAAAUAGAAGGUCACUUCAUACACUUGUGUUUAUUUUGAAUAUGAUCAAGUUCUACAUCAUUGAGAAUGAGGGACAUGCGACGUAGCGGAGUUAGAAUUGGAACCGAAUCUCCAACAUCACAUUCGUCUAUUGCUUCAAACAUUACAACAGCAAAUUCCACAACGAAUCAUAUUUAUAAAUAUCAGUAAUCAUAUUUUUUUUAGCACAAAAAAUCGUCACUAUUUAUAUAUAUCAGUAAUCAUAUUUUUUUAUUAAUUUACAAACACAUGAAAAGAAUUUUCAUGCUCUUUGAUUUAGGAUUAUUUAAAUCAUUUAAUCUUAAAGACAUAAUGUUCGUGUCUUCCCUUAAAGUCUGGACAGUCAUAUUUAAGUAUUAGUUUUUAUCGAUCCCAUAACCCACUCGGUUUCAAAAGCAGCGUCACCCACACUCACUCAGCCUAUUCAAACUUUCCUCCCUCAGAUGCAUUCUCACCCGUCUUUCUCCAACCCCUUUUCUCUCACUACCUUCCCCAGAUCAAAUCGUGGAGGCUCUUAAGUUCCAUCAUCGCUAGAAAACCUUGGUAGGAACCCUCCGCAUACGAUCUCCACAAGAACGGAUCUCGGAGCAGCAGGGGGUUGGGAUCGGUAGAGAGUUUGGAAUCAGAAUCGGAGGAGGUAAUCACAGUUUUGGUAACUGCAAGGUCAUCGAGGGGCUGUUUCUAGGGUUGGAGUGGGAGGCAUUCGAACUUAUCUUCAUCCCAAUACACGAAGCUGGUGAAGGAAGGUUUGGGAAGAUGGAUGCAUAGUGAGUCCGAAUCGGGAAUCGGGUCUAGUAGGGAGAGAUCAGAAGGUGAGUCGAGUUGGGAGGUGGUGGUGAGGAAAAGGCAGGUGCAAGUCGGAAGAUGGAGUGAGGAGUAGUCGUCGUUGUCCUCAUUUAUUUCGUCACCGUAGCCUUCGAAUUGGGAGUCGGCGACUUGGAGGGAGGAGGGAAAGAAUGAGAGGUAAGAGAAGAGGAAGAAGAUGAUAAGUGUUUCAUCUUUAUCUCCUUUCAUUUUUAAAGUACGAUUGUAUGCUUGUAAACAUGUGUUGGUUGUUCAGGUGCCAUGGAUAUACAAUAUUAUUUCUUUUAGUAAUCGCGUGUUUUUAAGAGAAGCUGUUUUCUCUUAGGAUUUGAUGUUAUUUUGAAUUGUUUUGAUUAGUUCUGAAAGCUUUUAAAUAUCUCUGGUGUUGUAGAUCAGAUAUCCCUUCAUUUGUGGAGUUAUGCGAUCGAGGUCCUACAUGGUGUAUACAACUAGACAAUUUGUAAUCAAGUUUAAUUUUCCAUGGGUGCAAAAGUUCUUUGUAAAAGCAGACUUUAGUGUAAUUUAAUUGGCCAAUUUAAUCUCUCUUUCUAUUCUUUUUCAGCUUCGAAAAGUAAAUGAUGAACAUAAGACUGGAAUUCGAAAAACUGAACAUGAUCUUCAAGUUGCAGAGGUUUGUUGUCCGUUUAUUUGCUACCUGAAACUAUCAAUUGCUAUAUGGUAUUAAUUUUUUUGAUAUCUCAGGAAGAAAUGGUGAAGAGAAGUUUGGGAUUUCUUCGAUAUUUGAUGAUUUGAUUGGGGUAAGGAAAUGGUAAUGCUAUAAUUUUCUAAUGUCUGCUGUUGUUGGCAACGUUGUUGUUAUCACUUUAGGUUUAAUUCUUGUGUCUUUACCUCUUUUAGUGAGACUAGUCAAUUAGUAAAUUUAUCAAUUGCCUAAAGGUGGAUUCUGUUAUGGCCCCGUCUCUUAUUAAUCAUAUGCAAGCUUUUAAGCUUGAAUAACAGUAAAGCGUAUCAUGUUCUUGUUACCAUUUACAAGUACUUUAAAAUUAAGUUCACCAUACCGCCAAUAGUUAAAUCCUAUUGUGACCCAUGAUCAGGUCCAUGGAAGAUGGCUUCCACAUACAUUUGGAGUUCAUGUAGACUAUUUUUCAGGUAAAUCCUCGCAAAUUAGUUGGAUAACAAUGUCAGUCUAAUUUCAUGACAAAGUAUUUAUGUGCAAACGUACAUUGUGACUUUAUUGGAAUGCGCUUGGAAGACCAGCCUUCAAUCUGGAAAUUGAAAAGGUGUGUCUGUGAUAUUCCAAACUUUAUUCGUUAAACUUCUCCAAUAAAGAUGUUCACUUGCCAGGUGAAUAAACUGGAAUAGCCAAGUAUUCAUUUAUUUAUUUGUCCUCAGGCCUUAAAAAUGAAAGCUCGUGGUGAGGGUUGGGCUAGGAUCAUCGUCGAAAGAAUCAGGACGGUAUGUUAUCCCCAACUCUUAUUCAUAUAAUACAAAAUACAAAGUGAGACAUGAGUUGUGUUUUAUGGGAUUAAGUGGCAAAAUUUGAGUUUCAAAACUCGAGUUCUGAAGAGGAGCAUAAAGCAGCAAAAGCCUAUCUUACUAAUAAAUUCUGAAGUCAUUAGACUUAGCUUUGGUGUUUGACAUCUUCCUCUUUUCUGAACAAUUAGUGUACAGUCAACUUUUCUAUUUGAGAUAUUGAACCAAGUUGGUAACCUUUCUAAUUCUUCCUCUUUUAAUUUGAAGAACUGGAUCCCAAGGUUGAAGAAACAGUCUUUGGAAUUUAAGGCCUAUCUUGAACCAAACAUCUGAUUAGUCACAGCAAAAACUGUUGAUGUAUAUCGUUCAUCAAAGAGUUCUAUAUGACCAGUUGUUUUCAAGGCACAAAAUAUGGCAGAUCCUUACAUUCAGGUGAGCCCUUCAAGAGAACUUUUUAAAUAUAUGGAUUUGGUGGAUGGAAUUCUUUCUUAUGGCAUUUCUGUGUUAUGGCAGGAAGCUAAGAAAUAUACCGAGCCAUACAUUGAUCGGGUUGCAAUGGUGACAAAAACACAUUUAGAUAAAUUACAAGAAAGAAAAUGCCAAUGCAAUUCUCCUUGUUGCAAGCCAGGUGAGACGUAUGUACAUCUAUCCUCUCAAAACCUUGCACAUUUCUUUUCCUUUCUAAAGUUUACUUUCUCUGACCACUAUGAAAUAUGUUUGCCCUCCAACUCAUGAACUUCCCAUCCUUGGUGAAAAUGUGGCUUGGUCUGCGAUCUCUUGUAGGCCAAAAUGACAUUAUUUAGGAUAAUUAUCAACUUUUGUUGUUGUAAGUAGCAACUUACUACAAAAAGUAUCAACUUUUGUCUUGCUUAUCCACUUAUUGAUGUCCAGAAUUUCAAGGUACGGUGAUGUUCUUAUAGUGGAAAAAACUUAUAUUUCAAUUGCAUAUUGUUGGAGGUUCUAUUAUUAUGUAUUAAGAUUAUCUUGUUUUACAUUACUAUAAUCAUUAAAUUAUUGAGUUUACUAAUGUUGUUGUGUAGGAAGAUAGGGAAAAACUAUUUGAAGGAAUACUUAAACAGAAAUGGAAGAUCUUCUCUUGAUGAUCAUCUUCAUUAAUUCGUUUAUGGAGCAGCAGAGAUUCGAUGAGGUGCAAGGCUUGCUGGGGAAGAUGCAUCUGUCCAAAAAUGUCUGCUUUCAAGUUCUUUUUGCAUUAGAGAUGAAAUAUGUAACAUUACAAUAUAUGUUUGUGAGAUUGAGAAUGUAUUGUAGGCUUUCUACAUUUUAUGAAGAAAAAAACCUCAAUUUCAGUUUCAAUUUUUCAAAUUAUGAUUUUUUUUAAUAUUUAAUUCAUGCAGGCACAAUUACAUUUUUAGUGCCAACAUGACUGGAAAUGGUAGUCUGACAACUUUGUCAGAACAUAGGCACAAAACACCCUUUAUUUGUUCUGACAUCAUGAGCACAGAACUCAGCAUUGUGCCCUCUGAGCAAUGGUGACGCCCAUAGAGGGCACAUACACAAAGAUAGUAGCUGCACUGUUGCUAUUGGUCUAUGACCACAAUUGUUUGUGCUUUUUGGCCUCAAAGGGCACAAAUAAUUUAUUGUGCGCAGUGCUCAUUUUUUUUGUAGUGAACAUAAGGAAAACUAAUGUAAAAACUUCAAAACUUUGAAUCUUAACUAAAAGCCACCUAAUAACUUCAUUUAAUGAUUAUUAAAAAAAUAACUUUAUUUAAUGAUAAGAACUAAAAAUAAAAAAAAAUAAAAAAAGAAAAAAAAUAGCCAACUGAAAGCGCGUGCAAGAUUAAAAAAAAAAAAAACCGAAACCGGAGAGACUGCAAUACAGAAACUCCAAACACAAAUUAAAUUAUGCAAGAAUAUUUUGCAGCGCAAUGUUUGUACUAAUAGUUCAAAGGAGGUAAGGAAGAUAAUUGCCGCGUCUCAGCAGUGUUGAUAUACAUAUUUGUUAUCAUUUCCUAAAUUUUCUGAUGAACUGAUGGAUGUUGGUUUUAGUUAUUUGAUUGGCAGUGGUAAUUGUGAAGUGCUAUCAUCUUCUUGUGUUCAGAAAAAUCUAGAGAUCCGUCAUCGAAAGUGUCAUGCAUGUGGAACUCCGUUUGGUAUAGAAAGCUAAAAAUUGAAGAGAUUCAGAGAAAAUUUGAUGACAAUUGAAGACAAUUAGAAUAAAAGAUGUUUGAAAGGUGACAAAGUGCCGAGAAAAUUCAGGAAGAGUACAUAAAAGAAUGGUUGUUAGACUUUCUGGAGAGAUACCAUAUUUGGUUUAAGAUAUAGUCAGUGCAUGCCAACUUGUGUUCAGUUUCAAAAGUAUUGCCCGUGUUCAGUUUCAAAAAUAGUGUAGUACUCGUAUUUAGUUUUAGAGAUAAUUAGUGUUCAGUUUCUGAAAUAUUGCUUUUCUUAUUUUACUUUUUUUUUUUUUUUUUUUUUUUGGAAGAAAGGUAAAUCCAUUACCAAUACCACAUAAUUACAAUAAAGGAGCUCCAAACUACAAUAUACACACAUUCAAAAUAUGGACCACCAAAGAAGACUUUUGAGCCCAAACAAAACACCGAAACACCCAACAGCUUCCAACCAACGCCGCCAUUGGCAUGCCGCUUUCCACCCAACAGAAACCAACAUCCCAUGCAAACCUCUGAACAGCAGCCAUACACAGCCCCAAACAUGGAUGAAAAGAAGACUCCAAAAUCCAUCAGAGAGCACAUCAUCAUUCGCGACCACGCAACGAAAGAAACCCACUAGCAUUGGUGCCAUCAAAGACACCCUAAAGGAAGGAGGUGGUGUAAACACCCAAGCCGGAGCUCUACACACCUUCCGAGAGAUUAGCAAGAUCGCGUUGAAAUUGCAAGAAUUGCAAUGAGAAAAAACGGGUGACAAACCGAAAUGUUGGAUCAAUGAAUAAUGGAGCUGAUUGGAAAUGAUAUGGAGUGGAUUAGUGGAAAUCAGGUAGGUGGAAGGAAGGGGGGGGAUGAAAAAAGGGACUGGGCACAAUGAAAUCAUAUGCAGAAGGGAUUGGGGAAAAGAACGAUCGAACCAAAAGGCAAGGGAAAACAAAAGCUGUGGGAGAAGCAAAGAAAACAAAAGAAGAAAAAUGAGGAGAAGAUGACUGCCACCAACCUUAGCCAUAGCUAGGGCUGGAGACUAGAAGGAGGAUGAGGUCCUAUUGUCUUUAAUAUCUAUCAGAUAGGUCCUAUAUCAUGUUUAUGAUUUUAAUUACCAAUGAUCGACAUAAAUUUUACAACUUAAACAGCAUGAGAGGUUAAAAUAAUAAAAUUAAAAGUCAAGCAACUUACCUAAGAGGAGAUAAAGCAGAUGGUACACAGUUUCUCAAUGCUUUCCAACUAAACAUUAUAGUUCUCUCUACUGCCAACUGAAAAGAUAUAAGUUAAUAACACAAUUAGAAUUGAAACUUACAAGAGGUCAUGGUUAAAAUAGUUGGGAGAUAGAGAGAAAGAUACAACAAUUCGUGAUGUUGGUGGAAUGGAAAGAUACAUCAAUUCAUGACUUUAGACAAAUGGGUAAUUUUUGUGUAGGUUAAGUGGUUUAAGCACAAACCUAAUAUAGAUAAGUAAAUUAGAAAUAAAAUUGUGAGAAGAAUGAAUAUUGCAAAAGUAGCAGCCUCAUCUCCACAAAAGCUGCAGAAAAACAGUUUUAGCCAACCAAGAUUAAGCCUGAUUUUGAACACCCAUAACUAUACCAAAUUAUGCAAACAAACAUGAGAUUCAAAGCUGUUUUGAGUACAUUAAAAGCAUCUACAAUUUGUAAGAAACGGGGUUCUAAGUUGAAAGUUAUGCAAGAUACAAAAUAGAGCCUCGAAACCGGAAACCCAGUAUUUGCUGCUGUCUGGCAGCUUCAUGACUCAAGUUUGUACAUGGUUUUGACAUAUCAAAACUCAACGGAAUUAUGUGAAAUCAAAUGGGCUUUGAUCAUGGACAUGUUUAGUUUCAAAACACAUGAUAAUGGAUCAAAAGGAAUCCAUAAGGACAUAGAAAUCGAAAGCCAAAGUAGGCUACUUGAAACAUAGUUUUUCUUCGCAGAAAACAUAAGUUCCCUGCAACUUAGAACCCAAACUCUUCUAAUUAUAACUUCAGAAUACUUCCAUACAAUCCCAAAAUCAUGUCUAUAACUUUGAUUUCAAUCAUACUCACAAUUAACAAAAAUUGACUUUUUAAGCCAAACCCUAAAACAUGAUUUUUUGAUCAACACACCCGAUGUAUAAAAUUAAAAGUAAUAAGAAAUAUUGAUACAAAGAAGCUAUGGAAAUAAUGAAGAAAGCUGAGAAUUUUUACCCUUGUUGCAGGUCGACAAAAGGAACCAUCCUUUUGCUAUGAUUCUCUUUGCUGCUUCAAAUGUAGUCUUCUAUACUUCCCUUGACCUCUCUAAAAAAUCGGAUAUAGUUUUCUCUCCUCGUUAUCCUUCUUCUACCUCUUUUUCUUUCUUUUUCUUUUCCCUGUUCUCUUCCCCUCCUUAUUCAGGCCUCCUCAUUUUUCCACCCGCCCUCGCAUGUAGAGAUUCUCCCUUUUUCUUUAUUAUUAUUAUUAUUAUUAUUAUCCCCUUUUCCAUACAAUCAUAAAAAAAAGUCAACAUAGGUUCAAAAAUCGGACCGAACCAUUCAUACCGAUUCCAAUUUUCAUGUUAGUAGAAUUGCUUAGAACCGAAUCGGGCCAUGAAUAUAAAUAAUUAAUUAAAUUUAAUAGGUGUAUACGGGUGUCACUAAAUGAGUGGUGAAAACCAAACUGGUUUUACCUAAUAGGACUGCAUGUGAUCAUAUCUCAAAUAGGUCUUUCACUUGCACGGUUCACCUAUUGAGACAAUGCACUUAUUUGAAAAAAGGAGGUCGUUUUCUCUCCUAGAUUCCCAAAUUUAACAUUCAGGUUUCGAUUUCAUUUUUUUUAUUUUUUAUUUUGAUAGAGUGAUCUUAAGGUGUUUAGUUACAUCCUAUUUGUUUCUUUCCCUUUUCCUAGGACUUUUUUUUAAUCUCUUGAUAAGUCUCUCUUGGGCUUAAAUAUUGUAUUCAUACUAACAUUUUUACUGCAUAGUGGAUGAUUUGUAUGUGUGGAUGUACAUUUGUAUCAUGAAUGUUAUAUGACAUUUGAACUGUGUUUCUUUUUUUGUUUGCUUAGUGUCAGAAAUAUUUGCAUUUUGAUUUUGUAUUUGAAAUGAUAUGUUUUGUUUGUAACAUUGUUUAACCAUUUUAGAAGUGGUAUUUGAAUGCAAGCAUGCAAAAAACAAGAGAAUAAAAAAAAGUAAACUUUGAAUACCAUUUUGAUUUGGUAUUCAAAUGACUUAGUAUUGGGCACCGUAAACAGACAUGGACCGAACCGAAAUCAGUGUGGAUCAAACCAUAUGAUUUUAGUAACAAAUUUAAGUGGAACCACACUGAAUCAAAUCGUUAAUAUUUCUCGGUUCCGGUUCCGUUUUGAGGAUGGAACCACACUGAACCACACCAUGCUCACCCCUACCCACUUUCUCUCAUUCUCUGUCAUUGAGUCUCUCUUCUUUUUCUCAAAUGUAAUGUUAGGGAGACCAAAUUUUUUAUAUCAAAUUUGUAAACCAAAUGAUGUGGUUGUGGAUAAUUGGAUUAUUGAUUAAGUGUCCAAUGACGUGCUUGUUUCUUAUUAGUGACACAUAAUUUAUUUUACAAAUUUGAUUUAAAAUUUUGUUCUCUGUAACAUUUUCAUUCUCUGAGCCUCUCUCAAUGAGUCCGAUAAGUGAUGAGAAGGUCCCACUGUUUUACGCAUUAAUAUUACUGUGAUGAUAUGAGAAGGUCCCACUAAUUUACACAAGACAAAGAUCCGAACAGCAAGAAACAUUGGACAACAACUCUGCAAGCUGCUCUGAUAAAGAAUCAAAGCUCUUACAGGAGCAUAUAUUUUCUUCAAUUGUCCUUGACCCGCAGGUGAUCCAAGCAAGGCAUCAUGUAGGCAGCGGGGCUUGCCUGAAGUUCCAUGAAUUUCUCAUACGUCAUUCCAAUGUACUUCGCUUUUUCACCUUCCUUUUCUAGCAACUCCGGGAUCGGUACAGCGGGCGUGUCGAGUGCCGGUCCAUGUGGUACGGCGAUCGAUAUCCUAGUAGCUGUGUUGUUCACAGUUGCUCGAUGCCAUAUGCUCUUGUACUUGUCGUUUGUUAGAAUUUGCAUUUGAUCACCAACGUUAACAAUAAAAGCGCCCGGAGCGGCAUUUACCAAGACCCACUGAUCAUUGUGCUUGACUUCAAGGCCACACAUAUCAUUCUGAAUCAGGAGCGUCACCAGUCCAUGAUCUGUAUGAGGAGGAAUACCGAUUGCCAGGUCGGGCUGUGGGCAAGCCGGGUAGUAGUUUGCUGCCAGAAUUUGGCAGCCCCGAUCCCAGUUCAUGGCCUUGGUAAUGUAAUCGGCCUCCAGUCCCAAACUCUCCGAUAUUCCAUUCAAUAUUUCGGUUGCCACUGCACGGGUUCUUUUGCUGAACUCCAAUGAAACUUCACUGUACCCAGCAGGUUUGUAGAGUGAGUUGAAUUUGGGGUGUGCGAUGACCUUGAGAUAAUCCCUCCAGAGACGAACUUUGUCAAUUGCGACGUUGAAGCUGGUGCCGCACUUGAUUGGGUCCAACAGGUUCUUUGUAUGGAACUCCUUCUUCUCCUCUUCCGGCAGUUCAAAAAAUCUUCGGCACGCGUCGAUCAUUUCUUUCAUUAGGCUCUCUGGUACAUCAUGGUUGAUCACCUAAAAGGCAUCAAGCACAUGAAAAUAUUAAUUCAUGUUUCAUUUUUAAAGUUAAAAUUUGAAAACUUAUAACUAUUUCAAUUUUCAAUUUAUAUAUAUAUAUUUUUUUUAAAUAAAAAUUUGAAACGAAAUAGUUAUCAAACUAAUAAAAUAUUAGUUAAUUUUAUACAUGUUCAAGCAUACAUAAUUAAUAACAAGUGUGAACAUACCUGAAAGAAGCCCCAUUCUUGGCAAGCUUUUCCUAGCUUCUGGAUCAUUUGUGCCCGUUCAUCAGGGGAGGCAGAGGUGAGAAGAGCAAAAUCAAUGAUGGGGAUUGAGUGUUCAGGGUCGUUUGCAUCUCCCUUAUCGUUGGGAUCCAUGAUGUAGGCGUACUCGGAAGGUACAGAAGUGAGAGCAUGUGAGUCGGCUAAGGUUUUGAUGCUAGCUACCUUGGGUUCAGAUGCAUCCACUGAAGUCACGGUAGGUGCCAUUGGUGGAGGGAGAGAGAAAGAAGCUGAGAAUUCUGGUCUUUGAUUUGUAUGUCCUGAAGGAAGGACGUGAGGGAGAGGAAAGUUAAUUGUUUGAGUGUUGUGGAGAAAUAUGAAAAAAGGAGUUGCUAUUUUAUAGAGCAAGAUAACUUAUGACUAUAUCCCCACAAGCUGGUGGUUUUUGAAUAAGUUUGGCCAACGCUGACCUAGGUUUCAAAUCUGUUGUCCUGCAACAAUAAAAUAUAUAUUAAUUAGUUGUUAACCUACAUGUAUAUGCAAUAGAUGAAUUCUUGGAAGACCAUAUUAUGUAAAUCAGAUUUAAAUUAUUUCUCUAAUAGAGAUGAAAUAUACUUGUAUUGAAGACCCUAUAUCUAUUCGAUAGAUGAUUUAUUAUCGUCUACAAAGAAAAAUAUCAGAUGAACAUUUAAAUCAUGUGAUAUGUUACUAAUAGAAAUAAGUUUGUUUUAUUUUGUUUUAUAUUCCCAAGUAGAGGUUCCCAAGUGGAGGAGAGAUGGGAAAAGUAUUUGCAUGAAUGGAUAGUUGAUGAGAAAAUUAGAAAAAUGUAGGAAUGCAUUUGGCAUGGGGAUUAAGGAAAAUCCAAAUUCGCUUCCAGUUUGAGACUUUGACUACGGCAGACAAAGCCACUGAAGGGAGCACAACAAGCCGCCCACCACAGCCAAGUAAAAGAAUAUGACACGAAAUAUGGCACAAAAAAUCAAACACAAUCAUGCAACGGCAUCUGUACGUACGCGUCUACAAUUCCAAAUCUAAAUUACCCCUUGGCCUUUGGGAGUUUCUGCCGUUUGGAUGCCCACCAGUAGGUAACAGAUUCUUCAUGUCCCAAGCCUAAUAUUGCAAUCCCAUUUCAUGAAACCUCGUUAAUUGGGUACAAUUAUUAACACUUUAAAAAUUUUAUUAUGCUCUUUUUAUAAGUGUUUGUUUUACAAAUAAUAUUUUACAGUAUCCAUAUUAAAAGAAAAUGUGUGAACUUUGAACAAAAUUGGUUGAGGAGGAAGAUCUAACUAGGGGUGGGUUCGGUACGGUUACCGUACCAAAACUCUCGUACCAGUUACCGUACCAAAUUUUUGGUUUGGUAAAAUCUAGUACCAUACCAAACUUUCGGUAUACCGAAGUUCGGUAUUGCCAAAUGUUCGGUUGGCAUGGUAUGACAAUGGUAAUUGCCACUUUAUUUUGAGACAAAAUCUGUUUUUGCUUUGUUCAAUAUUUCAUAUUUUGUGCCUCUGUAAUAAGACAAAGAUAUAUAAGCCAAAUGCAUAGACGAAAGAAAAUUCUCAUAACAAGUGCCCAAAUGGAUUUCGGAUUUCCACAUUCAAAUGGAUUUACAGCCGCAUGAAAUGUUGAUGAAUUACUUGAAAAUUAUAAGCCUGAAACAAAGAAUGGAAACAUAAAGCAGUACUAUAGGUCUACAAGGACAAUGUGUAGCCUAAAUUCCUCACCUUAGCAAUACCGGUUGAUUAUUCAACAGAAGCAUAAAGCACCACUAUGGCACUACCACAAGACUCACCUCUUUAACUUAAACCUCACCUUAGCUGCUGAUAUCUUAUAAAUUGUAGCCUAAAUUAAUCUAUUAUUCAUCAUUCACAAUUCACACAUACAAUAAUUCAAAUGAUGCAUCAAGAUUCAUAAUGAAAAUUAAGCUUACAAUCCAAAUAGAAGUUACAAACCAAAACAAAUAGAAGUUAACAAUCCAAAUAGAAGUUAAAUUUUCAAACUAAAUGAAAAUCGAAACUAAACUUCAAAAGGUAAAAUUCAUUGAUCAAUUCUUCAAGUUUAAGAUGUUGAAGCUUUUGGAGGAGGCAUUGAACUUCUAGAAUAUUAUAAAUAUAUAUUAUAAUUUAUGAACUUCUUGAAGACAUCUGAUCGCCAUCGCAAUUCUCUGAAUCGGAGAGAAAGAGGAAGGUUCAGAUGAAGAGAGAGAGAGGGAGAAACAUAAAGAGAAAGGGUUGGGUUUGGAUUGUAAAUAUAUGCAAUUGCAGGGUGGAUCGGAGAGAGAGGAGUGGAUUGGAGAAGGGAUGGGUGAUGGGUUGGCAAGGGGUGGGUGUUGGGGGAUGGGAGAAGGGGGUGCUCGGGGAAGACAAAGGGGGGUUUUUGUUUUUUUUACUUUUCUUUAAUUAAUUUUUUUAUUAAUUGUUUAGCCAUGUAGCACAAAUGUGGCAGCCACGUGGUGUAAAUGUGGAAACCACUUCAGCUCUUAACGGACCAAUGGAUGGAAAACCCCAAAUGUAGGUAUUGGCAAACGGGUCAUGUUUAGCGUGUUCGUGGCAUUUUCAUGUAACACUUGUUAUCUUAACGGGUCAGGUCAAGUCGUGUCGUAUCACACCCAUUAUCUUAAUAGGUUCUUAACAAGUCGGGUCAUUUUACCUAGCAAGUAAAUGACUCGACCCGUUAUGACCUGUUAAGAUUUUUUUUUUCUUCUAAAUUUGACAUACCACAUUGCCACAUAAAAUAUUACUUCGAAAACUAAUUCGAAACGAAAAACCCCAAAUUGAAGAAACUAAACCAAUCUAAUUCGAAAAUUAAUUCACAGCAAAACUGUCAUGCCCCGACCCGUGAAUAAAGACUAUUCACCAGCUAGGGUGUGAGCCAUAUCUUAGCUAUAGAAAUAAAUUCUACAACCAAGAUAUGGUGGGAAAAUUAAAAUAAAAUUAUUUGGAGUUGAUUACACAAUACAUCCUAUAACACUAGUUAACAACUUUUGCAUACUAAAUGCUUGAGUUUACUACUUAAAUUUAUUGAAUACGCAACGGAAUAACUAUAGUGCACCAUUUAAUUCACAAUAAAAAGUACCAACCAAAUAAUAAUUAAAUUGUAACAAUUCUUUCAAAUGCAUAAAAUAUAUGCAAGUGAGAUGCAUGAAUGUACUCACUCCCUUCUAAUUCCGUCAACACAUACCUAAGACAUCCAAGCAUGCACGUCCCAUACCAUGCUUAUACCACUUGGCUCCAAAUACCUUAGAAUAUGAGUUAACUCAUGUUCAUCCCUUAAACCCAAUUUUUUCUAAUUAAAUUCUCAGUUUCCACUUUAUUAAACAAGCACUUCCCCUGACGCCUGACAUAUACAAGAUUUCAUUAUUUUAUAAUCAACCAAUUUGUAUACUCAAGCCCUGCACCCUACGCCUGACAUAUACAAGUUCAUUAUUUUAUAUUCAAGGCAAACUUCAGCCCUUAAAUAUCCUCACAACUCAAACAUUUUACACAAGUGAGCACUUGACACAACAUAACUCAUUUUCUUGCUUUGCAAUGCAUAUGUAUAUGUCAUGUGCACAUAGAUAUCAAUACUCACAUUUUAUCUAACAAGUUUGUAAGCUUCAACAUAAAUCAAAGUGAUUAGUAACAAGAGUAGUAUAAUCAUAAUAUUAAUAACAAAACAAUAAUCUUUAAUAUAAAUGAUAAGCAAUAUGUUACCAUUUCCUCAUUUUGUCGAUCCUCCUUUUCCAUUAUGUGUCUAUUUAAUAACUCAAUGUUUAAAUGGUUUGUUCAACUCAAAUUUAUUGCAAUUAGACAAAGGAACACGAAGAUUUAAGUGUGUUUGUACCAUACUUGACCAAUCCCGAAACUACCGAGCACCGGUCAACGUUAUACCGUCAAGGACCCAGAAGAGUUUCCCUCCAACCAGGAGGCCAAUCACAGCGCGACACGUGUUGACAUCAGAAGCCAAUCAUAGCGUGACACGUGUCAACAUCGGAAGCCAAUCACAACACGACACGUGUCAAUGUCAGAACAAAACUAGAAACUCUCUUCUAUAAAAGAAGAUCAUUCUCCCAGAAUAUUGCCUAAUGUCAUUUGUAUUAAUUCAUUCACUAGAACUCACUAAAGGAGAGCUUGAACCUAUGUACUUGUGUAAACCCUUCACAAUUAAUGAGAACUCCUCUACUCUGUGGACGUAGCCAAUCUGGGUGAACCACGUAAUCUUGUGUUUGCUUCCCUGUCCCUAUCCAUUUACAUACUUAUCCACACUAGUAAUCGGAGUAAUGUAGUGAAGGUCACAAACUUAACACUUUUUGUUGUACCAAAGUCCUUACUGAUUUUGUGCAUCAACAUUUGGCGCCGUCUGUGGGAACGACACUUAUUCUCACUAUCUUCAGCUUUGUUAAGCUGGUUUCCACCAUUCGUACACUUUAUUUUGACCAGGCAUCCCUUUCCAACAUCGGGAGCGAAGGAAGUCACAUCACACAGAAUGACACCCCUCUUGCACCUGGUGCGAAGCAACGAAAGAAGGAACAAAAGAAGUUUGUUUUUCAGGCUAAAGUUGAUGAGCUGGGGGCUCAGAACAACAAGAUAACGAUGAAGAAUGAGAUCCUCCAAUAGCAGUAUGAGAAGGUUUUCGAGUUGCUCCAUGAGGCUAGAUAUACUAAAACACACGAGCUCAUCACUCUUGUGGAAGUCAACCAUCAACUGGGUGCCCCCCAACACAGAGGGUUAUUUGCCCUCAACAUAGGUAUUCCUGUUGAGGCUCAUCGAAAUGGCGACCAACAUAAGACUUCUCUCAACCCAGCUGCUUCGACCCCGAAGCAGGAGGAGUGGAAGGAUCGAAAGUUGUCUUUCGCGACUGUCGAUACUUCCUAUAGCAACGUUGAGACAAUCUUAUCCAUGUAAGCUCAAAGAUCAAUGACCCAAGGGUUUUUGAAAGACUCGGUCCCUUCCCAUGUCCUAGGCCGACUACCAAUUUGGGGAAGAGGCAACAAGUCUUAGAGAAACACAAAGGUAUAGGGGACUCAGAGAUGUUUCGACAGACAUACCUUGGAAGUCAGUACGGCGAGUCAAGGGAAAAGUCACAUGCUCUUAAUCGAACAUUCCUACUUCAACGAGGAGAUGGAGAUUUACGAAAGAAAGCUCCAGUGGUACAUGACUCCACUCAGGACCCUCUUGUCCUAUAACUCCUUAAGAAAGUAAACAAGUUGAAAGCCGAACGACAAGCUGAGAUACCUAAUUGGAACCAACCUAGGCGUAGCCUUUCGUGAUCAUAUUGAAGCUUUGACACGUGAAGGAAAAAUUAAUCAAUUCCACCUUCACCCUCCAAAGGGUAACCGUAACCAACGCUAGGUGAAUGUGAUAUAUUCCAUAAGUGGCGACACACCCAUAUCUAAAUCUUCCAACAGAGCCAUGAAAAAUAGCGAACGAGCUUUAAGGUCUGGCUACCAAGUGUUUCAUAUGGAAAACAUUAGGGGAGGCUAGUAUCAAAAGCCUAAUUGGGAUCUAAUAUGUUUCUACCCUGAAGAAGAAAGAGGUAUCAUCUACCCUCACAACGACCCACUGAUCGUGGAAGCUCACAUAGCCAACUUUGAAGUAUAACGAAUCCUGGUAGACAUAGGGGCUUCGGUUAAUAUCAUGUUUGUUGAAGCUUUCAGGGCACUUAAUGUAGCUGAACACUUGCUUGAUUGCUCGAUUUCUCCUCUGAUAAGCUUCUCCGGUGAUAUCGUGCAACCUUUAGGGAGCAUACACUUACCUUUCACCAUUGGUACAGGCCCUUACACAGCUACCAUACCCCUAACUUCCUGGUGGUUGAUUGCCCAAUGGCAUAUGUAUUAAUGAUCUCAAGGCCAUGGUAUCCACAUGUAUGUUGUUGAUGAAAUUUCCAACCACCUAUGGCAAUGGUUACAUCAUAGGAGAUCAACUUAGUGCACGAUCAUGUUAUAACAUUUCGGUCAAGCAACAUCACUUUUAUGUGCCCAAGGAAACCCUUUCUAUACAUGACUAAGUCACAAAGACCAUCCCGGACGAAGCCAACUUGGAUCUUCACAAUGACAACAGUCAACCCGACGAUCCUCGAGACAACUCUUUCACUCAGCAAGCACAACCUGCUGAAGAGUUGGAAAAGGUUUUUAUCUCAAAAGAUUAUCCAGAUCGCAUGGUGAAGAUUGACACCACUUUGUCACCACCCAUUCGGUUGGCAUUGAUCUCUUUUUUGCAAAAGAACUCUAAGGUCUUCACCUGGUCAUAUGAGGACAUGCCAGGCAUCUCUUCCGAUAUCAUAUGUCAUCGCUUGAGUAUUGACCCCAAGACCAAGCCGGUGAGACAGAACCGAAGAUCUUAUGACGCUGAACAAUACGAAGCAAUGAAGGCAGAAGUUGAAAAACUCAAAGGCAUAGGCUUCGUCCGCAAAGUCAACUACCCAACAUGGGUAGCAAAUGCAAGAGCGACUUAUCAGAGACUAGUCAAUUCAAUGUUCGCCGAACAUAUUGGGAAGAACAUGGAAGUUUAUGUUAAUGAUAUGCUAGUCAAGAGCAAACAUGCUAACCAACACAUCACCAACCUAUCUGAAACUUUCACCAUUCUGAAGAGUUAUCGAAUGAGGUUGAACCCCAACAAAUGUGCCUUCGGCGUAAGCUCUGACAAAUUCUUAGGCUUCAUGAUAAGCCAACGAGGCAUUGAGGCUAAUCCCGAGAAGAUCAAAGCAAUCCUCGACAUGGAAGAACCAGUAACUUCAAAAGACAUCCAGAGCCUUAUUGGCAAGGUGGCAGCCUUAACUAGGUUCAUCUCUAAGGCCACAGACAGAUGUACUCCUUUCUUCAAAUCACUUAAGGGAAGUAAGAAGUACAUUACAUGGACUGAUGAAUGUACUGAGGCAUUCAAGAACCUCCAGGACUACAUGAGUAAAGCCCCUCUACUCUCCAAACCUAAGGUUGGUGACACUCUCAUUAUCUAUAUAUCGGUAUUGGCUUCAGCAGUAAGUUCCGUUCUCAUUCUAAAUUAUGGUAAUGUCGAACAGCCUGUCUACUACGCUAGCAAGGCCUUACAAGAUGCGGAGACACGAUACUCUAACAUUGAGAAAUUGGCUCUAGCAUUGGUCAUGUCUGCUCGAAAACUUCGCCCUUACUUCCAAGUACACUCCAUCAUCGUGCUUACCAAUCAUCAUCUUCAACAGAUACUCCAAAGUCCUGACACUUCAGGGAGAAUGAUCAAAUGGGCGAUAACAUUGGUUGAGUUUGACAUCUCUUACCAACUAAAGCCAGCUGAGAAGGGCCAAGUAAUGGCAGACUUCAUCGCCUACUUCACAUAUCCUGUUGACAUUGUUUCUACGCCUAAAGAAGUGGUUUCAUUACCCUCGGAAGCUUAGAAAAUAGAACCAACAGCCCCAGCAUGGAGUCUAUACGUUAAUGGCUCGUCUAACCAACAGGGUUGUGAAGCAGGACUAGUCCUUAUGACCCCUGACAAAGUGGCAAUGGAGUAUGCUCUUCGUUUCAAAUUCAAGGCAUCGAAUAAUGAGGCUGAAUAUGAAGCCCUUAUAGCAGGCUUACCUUUAGCCAAACACCUUGGGGUUAAAUGAAUUGAUAUCUUCAGUGACUCCCAAUUGGUCGUUAACCAGGUCACCAACAACUUUGACGCUAAGGAUAGCUCCAUGGCAGCAUAUCUGGCACAAACACAAUUGUUGCUCAAACACUUCCACUACCAGAUCAUCCAAAUUCCUCAAGCAGCAAACAGUCAUGCAAACGCUUUGGCUCGCCUCGCUUCAGCAGUGGAAGACAAAAUUAGGAGAAAAAUUCAGGUCGAAUUGUUGGCAGCACCAAGCAUCAUGGCCGCGGAAGUGUGCAACUUACAACAGGGGGAUAGUUGGAUUACCCCAAUUUAUAAAUUCCUUGCACAUGGUACCCUCCCAAACGAUAAAGUCCAAGCUAGGCAGAUUCGAUACAAGACUACCCGUUACUUGAUCAUUAAUGACAAACUCUACAAACGGGGUUUUAACCUACCAUACCUAAGAUGCCUUAUGCCUGCAGAGGCGGAAAUUGUACUUCGGGAAAUACAUGAUGGAGUCUGCGGAGAUCAUGCUGGUUCUCGAUCCCUAGCACACAAGGCUUUUCGCCAAGGAUAUUAUUGGCCAACACUCCACCAAGAUGCCAUCACAAUAUCUCGCUCAUGUGAUAAGUGUCAACGCUACACAAUUAUUCCUCACUCCCCUCCCGAGCUGCUAACUCCUAUAAUCAGCCCUUAGCCCUUCGCCCAAUGGGGACUUGAUUUGAUCGGCCUAAUACCUGCAGGGAAGGGUUCGCUAUGAAAUCGUUGCAGUUGACUACUUCACAAAGUGGGCUGAAGUAGAACCCUUGGCAAUCAUUACUGAGGUAAAAAUAGAAGACUUUGUAUGGAAGAACAUCCUUUGCAGAUUCGGCAUUCCCAAUGCGAUAGUCACUGACAACGGGCGACAAUUCAACAACAAUAUGUUCAGGAUGUUCUGCUCUAAGUUCAACAUCAACUUAUGUUUUGCCUCCCCAGCUCAUCCCUAGUCUAAUGGACAAGUCGAAGCUAUCAACAAAAUAAUCAAGCGAACUUUGAAAACCAGCUUAGAUAAGGCUAAAGGUUGUUGGCCAGAAUUUGUACCCCAAGUUCUUUGGUCAUACCGCACUUCGUAUCGGACAUCAGCAAGAGAAACCCCAUUCUCACUUGUCUUUGGUACAGAGGCAGUUGUCCUAGUUGAGCUUGAACAAGCAAUGUUCCGAGUUCAAAACUACGUGCAAAGUGAAAAUGACAAACAACUUACCCAAAACUUAGAUCUAGUCGAGGAACACAGAAACCAGGCUCACUUGAGGAAUGUCGCCUACAAGCAGUGCAUCUCCAACUACUAUGACUCAAGGGUUAAACCUUGCUCUUUCAAAGUAGGGGAUUGGGUAUUGAAGAAAAGAUUACUCUGCGACAGAGUCCCAAGUGAAGGAACACUUAGUCCAAACUGGGAUGGACCGUUUGAAGUUGUUGGCAUCAAUCGCCCUGGCUCCUACAAGUUUAGAAGCUCCGAUGGCAAGACCCUUGGCCAUCCAUGGAACGCUGAUCACUUGAAGUACUAUUACAAAUAAACUCACAUUUUACAAGUGUUAAGCUUCAACCGUUCGACAUCCUAUGUAACGAAGACUAUUUGGCAUGAAUUCAAUAAAGAGGUGAUUUAGACAACUCGGUAUUAAUCCUCUUACAUUCCUAGCAAUGAAACACUCGGGUUCAAAGCUUCAACAUGAAUGCUUCCAACAUGAAACAAAGUCUAAAUAUAUGUCAACAAGACUAUACAAAUAAACGAAUAGCUUCACAAUAUAUUCGUUCAAUCGUACAUUUCAACACAUUCAUACAUAAGCCAACUGUGCUUCGAAAGGGUUCAACAUACUUUAUGUCAUUUGACACUUACUACAAUGUGCCUCGACACCUUGCCCUUAUUCUCACCAACCAAGUGAUGAAAUGUGAAGAAGGAACUCAUCUUCAUGCCACCAACCAAGUGAUGUAAUGUACAACCCGUACUCUCCUUCAUGCCACCAACCAGGUGAUGAAAUUUACAACCCGUACUUUCCUUCAUGCCACUAACCAAGUGAUGAAAUGUACAACCCGUACUCUAAUAUCAUUUGGCAACUUGCCACUCAUGCCACCAACCAGGUGAAGAAAGAACUCAUCUUCAUGCCACCAACCAGGUGAUGAAAUGUACAACCCGUACUCUAAUAUCAUUUGGCAACUUGCCAUUCAUGCCACCAACCAGGUGAAGAAGGAACUCAUCUUCAUGCCACCAACCAGGUGAUGAAAUGUGAUGAAAGGUGAUGAAGGAACUCAAAGGUGAUGAAGGAACUCACCUUCGUACCACCAACCAAGUGAUGAAAGCAACUCACCAUUCAUUCCACCUACCAAAAGACGAGUGGUACAACUUGUACAUGUGAACUCCUAGCAUUCACAAAUAAUCAAAAACCCUCAAGCUUGACAACUCAAAUAGGGGAACACUUAUGCCCAACAAGAGUUAUAGUCACCAACAAAGUCUUAUUGCAAGCCAACAACAACAACUUCAGUGCAUGGCAUACGAAGAUCAAGCUAUUCAACCCUCUUGCAUCUGCUUCAGACAUUUCUCCUCUGUAACAAUGCAAACACUACAACUCGUAGAAAGCUUCACACACUCUUGAUCAAGACAGUGUGAAGCAAAACCAAUUUAUGGUGCCAACAAGAGCUUCAUCAAAGGAGUUCAACCACAAUUCUCAAAAGCUUCACACACUCUUGAUCAAGACAGUGUGAAGCAAAACCAAUUUAUGGUGUCAACAAAAGCUUCAUCAAUGAAGGGCAACUACAACUCGUAGAAAGCUUCACACACUCUUGAUCAAGACUAUUCGAAGCAAAUUCAAUUUAUAUGAUUCAUCCAAACCUUCGACUACUACAAGGUGUGGCUUGCAUCACAAUCUCUUACUCAACAGUGUGGAAGCAAAAUUUGUAUAUGUUAUCUCUCCCACAUUUUCAAAUUUCUAGUCCCCCCCCCCAAAAAAAAAGAAAUUGGGAAAUUCAACAAAUUUCUAGUUUUCCCAAAAAAAAAAAAAAAAAAAUGGGAAAUUCAACAAAGCUUCAUCAAUGGAGGACAACUACAAAUUCUCAAAAGCUUCACACUAUCUUGAUCAAGAUAGUGUGAAGCAAAAUCAAUUCAUGGUACCCAACAAAGCUUCACCUACAAAGCUUCAACACAAAAGCUUCACCAACAAAAGCUUCAACAAAUGGAGGGCAACUACAAAUUCUCAAAAGCUUCACACUAUCUUGAUCAAGAUAGUGUGAAGCAAGAUCAAUUCAUGGUACCCAACAAAAGCUUCAACUCCAAAGCUUCACCUAUAAAGCUUCAACUCCAAAGCUUCACCUACAAAAUCUUCAACACAAAGCUUCACCCACAAAAGCUUCACCUACAAAAGCUUCACCCACAAAAGCUUCACCUACAAAGCUUCAACACAAAAGCUUCACCUAUAAAAGCUUCACACUCUUGAUCAAGAUAGUGUGAAGCAAAAUCAAUUCAUAGUAUCCAACAAAGCUUAUAUAUAUAUAUAUAUAUAUAUAUAUAUAUAUAUAUAUAUAUAUAUAUAUAUAUAUUUUCAGAAAUUCGAAAAUUCGAAAAUUUCAAAAAAAAAAAAAAGCCUAGGCCUCAUUUUCUUUAGGCCUAACAACUUUCAUAACAAAUAUAUAUGAAGGAGGAGUUUUGGGCUACCACUUAGAAAGGAAAUGCCUCAUUCAUCAACUCCCUCGACUGAAGACUUGGGGGACUCCUACUAGAUGCUACUGCACCUUGAUACUCGGAAGUCUCACGACCACUCAAUAACUUGGAUUUUUCAAGUCUCCAACCAAAAAGUUUUCCUCACUCAGGAAAUUAAGGGAGCACUACCUCAACAUACAUGUUUCACUCACAAAGCUUCAAUAUACAAGCUUCAACAAAAGAAAAAAUUCAAAAAACUUAGUGAAGAAGACUAUGGUGUAUUUAACACAAUACGUUGAAAUGAAGCAAAACUUAUUUAUUGAUAUCUCCGAUAAGUUACACAUAUGUACAUAUACAUGAGUCAAAAUAAACAAACAAGAGGGAGCAUUCACAAAGGUUGCUCAGGAGAAGUCUCAGCAGUCAGCAGAGCCCUAGAAAAAUAAGGCACCAAAGGGUGAUCAUUCGGAGCCUCCGUACGGGACAGAACCCCAGAAGGAGAAGGCAUUAGAGGUUGAUCAUUUGAAGUUUCAUUACGAGAUACAGCCCCAGAAGACGAAAGCAAUAAAUGCCUUUAGAACAAACCCACAAACCUCUGAUGAUCAAGUAAAAUCUGACCAUCAGAUUCCUGCAUCUGGUCAAGCUUCCUCUUCAUGUUUGUAGCAUAGUCAUAUGCGAGCCUGUACAACUGUUUAUUCUCAUGCUUGAGCCCUAUAAUCUCCUAUUUGAGACUUAUCACUUCAGUAGCCAAUGAUUCAACUUGGCAGGUUUGAGAAAAUAGGCGUUGGGUCAUAUUAGACACAGAACCUGCACACUGAACACUAAGAGCCAGAUAAUCAUUAACAGCCAACUCAUUAGACCGUUUGGAAAGUAGUUUGUUAUCUUUGGAAGUGAGAAGGUUCCUGGCCACCACUGCAGCGGUCAUAUCAUUCUUCAUCACAGAGUUCCCAACAGUAAGAUGACCAAUAGGGGAUAAGAAGGAUGGGCGCCAUAUGUUGUCUUGAGGAGGCAUGGUUGCCUCUACACCAAAGUUCAAGUCAAAACAAUGAUCGGAUGGGCCAGACAUUUUCAGAAAUGAUGAAGGAGAAAUGAGGUCCAAUAAAUCUCUGAAGUAGGAAAAUAAGGGGAAAAUUCUUACAAGCAAUAACUCUCUGAACGUACUUCUUGCACACAAUUUGUGCCCCUAUAAAAGAAAGGGCAGCAGGGCCGUUUGUUCAAAAAUCGAAGAGGCACCACUCUUCAGAUUUUGAGAAGCAGAUUUUCCUGAGUAAAAUAUGUCGACAAUCCCCAUACGCAACAUCAGCUCUUACCACCAAGAUUACUUUCUCAAAAAUCAAAGAAGCAGCGCUAUCCGAAUCUACAAAGCCAGACCCUUACCAGGAUCGCUUUCUCAAAAAUCGAAGAGGCACCACUUUCUAAAUCUUGAGAGCGAGAUCCCCAAUGGGAUUGCUUGUUCAAAAAGAGAAAAGACAACGCUCUCUGAAUCUCCAGAGCCAGAUCCCAAUAGGAUUGCUUGUUUGAAAGUCGAAGAGGCAUCGCUCUUCAAACUUCGAGGGCCAGAUUUCCUUGGAUAAAAUUUGUCUGCAAUCUUCAGACGCAACAUUAGCUUUCUAGAUAGCACAGACCACUUUUUCAAAGUGCUCUAACAAAGUUAAAACACGUGAAGCUUGCAGCUCCUACUACAUUGCUAUGACCAAGAAGGGUAAAGAAAUAGCAUUACUACUUGUUGUUAGGGAAACUUCUAUAUAUGUCUACCUCCACCAUCCACAGACAGGCAGACCUGCAAAAAUGCUCAACCAUUCCUCAUAUCUGAUAGGGCACUCCCAAUGAAACCUCUCAAAAUACUCAGCUUCAUUUCCCCUGAUAAUACCUCUGCAAACAAGCCACACCAGAGCAAGAGUAUCUCAUAUCAUCAGGGUUAAAAGCAAGAGUAUCUCAUAUCAUGCUUUUUCCCUGUCUUUUCCUUUGCCCUUGCUCUUACCUGUAAGACAAGGAGAAAGAAAGUAAUCAGUCGGAAACUGAAAUCAAACUUCCGAUCUGGAACUGAUUGCCCGGAACCUUUACCUGGUUGCUCACCUGGCAUUGCUCUCGAGUACUCAUCAUCAACUGUUGUCAAGGUCACGAAUCCUUUCGGUAAAUACUUCAGAACGGUUGAUACGAUAUUGGCUCCUUACACUGAAGCUGCCAAGCAUGGAUGAGUCGCUGAGAAGUAGUGUUCUGAAUGACCAUUCAAAUGCAAAGGUUGCGCACCACUUCCGCGAUGUAAAAGAUCCAAGCUCGGCAUCGCUGCCCUAUCUGAAGAGCUCAUGAAACUUCAACAACCUUUGGCUAGCAACGUCGCCAAAGAGCAAAGCCUCGCCAUACCACAUCCACUACUUUGUCAACAACAAAAGUAUCCCAUAUCAUCAAGGUCAAACGAACUCUUGAUUUGAUGGACUUGUUUUGAGUCGGCCUUAUACUCUGGAGGAAACUAGAAAACCCUUCAGCUCAGUUUAAGAAUAAGCCUGUGGAAAGUUACUUCUUCAAAAACAAAAGUAUCUCAUAUCAUCUCUUCUCAUUUUUCUUCUCUUUAUCCUUCAUGCUACCUACAAGAUAAGGAGAAUGAGAACAAUCAGUCGGAACUCGAAAUCAAACUUCUGAUCUGGGACUGAUUGCUUGGAGCUCUGAUUGCUUACCUUGUCUGUCACCUCUUUUGGCAGAUCUCCUAGCUCGACGACUUGGGGGACUCCUACUACAUGGUUUGUAUUGCGCUUGACCAAGCCUGAAACUACAAGUAAGCUUCAAGUGAAAUUGAUACAUUACCUUGUGCAUCUCCAUCAGUUAAAGAUACCAACCCUGGAUGGAGGAAGAGUACUUUCAGAGAAGAUGCCACUUCUACCUAUGAGACAGAUAAGGCAAGUGAAGACGAUACCAUACUUUGGUACUUAGAAGUUUCGUGAUUACUCAGUGGCUUGGAUCUUGCAAGUCCCUAACCGAGGAGCUUGCCUCACUCGGGAACUUAGGGGAGCAUUGUUUGUACCAUACUUGACCAAUCCCGAAACUACCGAGCACCGGUCAACGUUAUACCGUCAAGGACCCAGAAGGGUUUCCCUCCAACCAGAAGGCCAAUCACAGCGCGACACGUGUCGACAUCAGAGCCAAUUAUAGCGCGACACGUGUUAACAUCGGAAGCCAAUCACAACACGACACAUGUCAAUGUUAGAACAAAGCUAGAAACUUUCUUCUAUAAAAGGAGAUCAUUCUCCCACAAUAUUGUCUAAUGUCAUUUGUACUAAAUCAUUCACUAGUACUCACUAAAAGAGAGCUUAAACCUAUGUACUUGUGUAAACCCUUCACAAUUAAUGAGAACUCCUCUACUCUUGGACGUAGCCAAUCUAGGUGAACCACGUACAUCUUGUGUUUGCUUCCCUGUCCCUAUCCAUUUACAUACUUAUCCACACUAGUGACCGAAGCAAUCUAGCGAAGGUCACAAACUUAACACGUUCUGUUGUACCAAAGUCCUCAUUGAUUUUGUGCAUGCAUAAAGUGGUUCACCAAUUUGGCUACGUCCAUUGUUGCUUAUGAAUUUGUGUUUUCACUAUGUAAGAAAGAUUUACAAAUUACAAUGAAAAUGGCCUAUAGCCUUUACAUAAGGUAAAAGAAAAUGAUGGUGGGAAGAGUGGUCUAUGAAGAAGAUGAGGUUUCGUUUCUUUUUCCCCGUGUGUUGUUGAUGAUGACAUGUGUUGUUCUCCGCCCGUUUCUCUCCUCCCUCUGCUUUUAUGGAUGAAGAAAUGGAAUCCUCCAUUAAGCCUUAAGGACACGUUUCACUUUGUUUUGCAACACUUGGACAUCUUGUAAUUGGAAGUAAUCAUUCCCAUGCAUGUGGACAAAUACUCAAAAGCCACGUUCAAAGUCUAAGGAUUAUGAAUCCCACCUCUCCAAUUUUGUGAGGGGAUGAAUCAUCACCAAACAUUUAACUCUUAGAUUCCUAAUGAUUACAAACUUGCCAACUCCCUCUUAUUUGGUAAAAAUAUUAAGCCAAACUCAUCAUAAUUCCCUUCUCCAAUUCAAACUAAAACUAUCUCUAAUUACAUAUGAACAUGAAAUAAUACUAGCUAGUUUUUGAAAUAAUUUGUAGCAAAAAGGAUUUUACAUUGAAACUAUUUUACAUAUCGAAAGUAGGUUCUUUCAUAAAAUAAUAUAAUAAAAUCAUUACGUAAAAAUAAUUAUCCACACACACACACACAUAUAUAUAUAACCAUUUUUUUUAAAUACGGGGUAUUACAAAAACCCUAUCUUUUGAAAGUAAUUUGAAAUAAUCAACAAUUACCUCGAUUAGGGCUCGAGUUUUGCUCGAUCCAGAGAGAGAAUCAGAGAGAAAAGUAGUAGAUCGACUAGUGGUGGGUUACUAGGUCGUAAGUGGUGAGAGUGGUGUAGUGGAGGGAGACUAGAGAGGAUGGUUGUGGACUCGUAGCUGGGUGGAGUUGAGGUUUGAGACUGAGAUUCGAGAGUUUAGUUCAAAAAGGAGAGAGUCGCUGCUUCAAUUCCAGCAUUCAAGAAUAAGAAAGGAGUCUGAUUUAGGGCUGAGAAAAACAUUGGAUAGUUGAGAUUUAAUCUCAGCCGAUUCAAGGGUCAUCAAUUUUCUAAAUUUAAUUUUUUUUUAAAUAUAUAUAUAUAGGAAAACUAAUGAAAAUGGUUUGAAAACUUUGAAUUUUUAUCAAAAUGACAAAAAUGUGUUGUAAGUGAGUAGUACCAUGAGUGACUUUUUAGAGUAAAAUUGUCAUUUUUCGUUAAAGUGAACAAUGCCGAGAGUGUUUCGUUCAAACUCCAUAUAUAUAUAUAUAUAAACUUUCAAUUCAGUUUAGGAUUAAAUCCUCUUUUUGUUAAUCAUAAUAUUUCUUUCUAGUGGUAUAAAAUUUUUAAAUUAAUAUUUUUCCUAUUAUGUAACGGGUUACCCACGUAUGUACCGACUCAUUAUUUUAACAGAUGCUUAUCGGGUUACCCGAUAACGACUCGAUUCGUUAUCGUGUCAACUUGAAAACUUAUUGAUUUCGUAUCAUGUCAAAAAUUGCUAGGCCUCGAGAAAUGUUAUAAAUAGAUAGUAAUUUUUGUUUUGUUUUAUUUUGUCUUGUUGCGUGUUACACUUGGCACCCACGUCCCACUUUUAUAUCUUAUUCCCCUCUCAUUUCUGUCUCACUUCAGUCAUCCCCCUCUCUAGUUUUGACUUUUCUUUUUGUCUCCCACUUUCUGUCAUUUUUUGUCAUCGAGUCUCUCUCCUUAGUCUCAUUCUCUCUCAACGAGUUCGAUGUGUGAUGAGAAGGCACCACUGUUUUACACAUUAAUAUUACUGUGAUGAUAUGUGUGCAAAGAAACGUUGGACAACAACUCUACAAGCUGCUCUGAUAGAGAAUCAAAGCUCUUACAUGAGCAUAUAUUAUUUUAUUAGAAAACUAGAUUAACAUCCUUUCACAAAAUUCAAUUUUAAAAAAAACCGAGUGUAAGAUCUAAUAUUUAAUUUUGAUCCUUUGACUUUAUAUUCAACUCAGCAACUUUCCAUAUAGGAGUUAAAUAGUCAAUUAAUUAAAAGAAUUAUUUUUGUUUGUUCCUAAAUCGCCCUUUUUCUAUGAUUUAGCUAAUAAAUAUUGACUAUUAGGCCUUUGAGCUUUCUUGUUUAUUUUGAAAUCAAUAAAAACAAAUAUUUUUACUAAAUGUCUAUACGGGUUGCACAAUCAGGUCUCAUUUAUGAAGAGGAACAUGUCCAACUCACAUACACACUUCUCCUUUAUAUUAUCUCUUAUCUCUCUCAAUUGUAUAUUCUCAUGAUUCGUAUGUUUCUUGCAUUAUGGAAAAGCUAAGGCUAGCAAAUCUAUUUUUUACUUAUGAAUUGUGUUUAUUCGUGUAUGAUAAUUUUUUGUCUAUGGAGAUUGACAAGUACAUAUUUUUAAAUCUAUGAUUUGUGUACUGAUAUGAAGAUACAUGGAGUAAAGUUUGCAUACCGAAAUUACGUACCUAUGUUUAUGCCCUUAUACUUCCGUACCUAUGUCUAUGCAUUUAUACUUCCGUACCUAUGUUUAUGCCCUUAUAUUCUGUACCUAUGCCUAUGCACUUGUACUUCCGUACCUAUGCCUAUGCACUUGUACUUCCGUACUUAUGCCUAUGCACUUAUACGCUUAUACUUCCGUACCUACGCCUAUGCACUUAUACUUCCGUACCUAUGCCUUUGCACUUAUACUUCCGUACCCAUGUAUAGCACUUUGUUAAUGUACUUAAAAUUUUUAUGGGUGUUCUUCUUUUUUCUUAUGGAGAUGGGAAUUGUGUGUAGUGAUGAUGUUUUGCUUUUCUUUUUUAAUGUAUUUUUGUCAUAUCUUUCACUAUUAUGUUCACAAUUAAUCAAUAUAAAAAAUUUCAUUUAUUUUCUUGCACCUAUUAGUACUUUCCAAAAAUUUUAAAAUUUUAGAAUUUUGAUUUAAGUGUAUAAAUGGGAGAUUUGAGUGUGAAAGUCAAUUUCCAAUUUUUAGCCUUAAUUAUUAAUUGAAUAGGUGGAUGGCAAGUUUGUAAAUAGUAUAUGUGAUAAAGGCAAUUAAAUAUGACAUGACGUUAAGAUUUUAAAAUAGGGACUUAAAUUGGAUAGAGAAAACCAUGCAGGUUAUAAUCUAAAAGUAAUCUUAUUUAGGUCCUAAAAUCUAAAAGCCCCUUAUUUUAUUCUACAGAAAGAAAACAGAUAAACGCUGGUAAGCCGGCCGCCAUGCAUUUUCUUCAAUUGUCCUUGACCCGCAGGUGAUCCAAGCAAGGCAUCAUGUAGGCAGCGGGGCUUGCCUGAAGUUCCAUGAAUUUCUCAUACGUCAUUCCAAUGUACUUCGCUUUUUCACCUUCCUUUUCUAGCAACUCCGGGAUCGGUACAGCAGGCGUGUCGAGUGCCGGUCCAUGUGGUACGGCGAUCGAUACCCUAGUAGCUGUGUUGUUCACAGUUGCUCGAUGCCAUAUGCUCUUGUACUUGUCGUUUGUUAGAAUUUGCAUUUGAUCACCAACGUUAACAAUAAAAGCACCCGGGGCGGCAUUCACCAAGACCCACUGAUCAUUGUGCUUGACUUCAAGGCCACACAUAUCAUUUUGAAUCAGGAGCGUCACCAGUCCAUGAUCUGUAUGAGGAGGAAUACCGAUUGCCAGGUCGGGCUGUGGGCAAGCCGGGUAGUAGUUCGCUGCCAGAAUUUGGCAGCCCCGAACCCAGUUCAUGGCCUUGGUAAUGUAAUCGGCCUCCAGUCCCAAACUCUCCGAUAUUCCAUUCAAUAUUUCGGUUGCCACUGCACGGGUUCUUUUGCUGAACUCCAAUGAAACUUCACUGUACCCAGCAGGUUUGUAGAGUGAGUUGAAUUUGGGGUGUGCGAUGACCUUGAGAUAAUCCCUCCAGAGACGAACUUUGUCAAUUGCGACGUUGAAGCUGGUGCCGCACUUGAUUGGGUCCAACAGGUUCUUUGUAUGGAACUCCUUCUUCUCCUCCUCCGGUAGCUCAAAAAAUCUUUGGCACGCGUCGAUCAUUUGUUUCAUCAGGCUCUCUGGUACACCAUGGUUGAUCACCUAAAAGACAUCAAGCACAUGAAAAUAUUAAUCCAUGUUUCAUUAUUAUUAGCAAUAACCAUUUCGUUUGUUUGCUUUUCAAUUUUCAUUUUUUAAGUUAAAAUCUGAAAGCUUGUAACUAUUUCAAUUUCCAAUUUAUAUAUAUUUUUUAAAUAAAAAGUUGAUACGAAAUAGUUAUGAAACUACUAUUCUAUUAGUUAAUUUUACACGUGUUCAAGCAUACAUAUUAAUAGUAAGUAUGAAUAUACCUGAAAGAAGCCCCAUUCUUGGCAAGCUUUUCCUAGCUUCUGGAUCAUUUGUGCCCGUUCAUCAGGGGAGGCAGAGGUGAGAAGGGCAAAGUCAAUGAUGGGGAUUGAGUGUUCAGGGUCGUUUGCAUCUCCCUUAUCGUUGGGAUCCAUGAUGUAGGCGUACUCGGAAGGUACAGAAGUGAGAGCAUCUGAGUCGGCUAAGGUUUUGAUGCUUGCUACCUUGGGUUCAGAUGCAUUCACUGAAGUCACUGUAGCUUCCAUUGGUGGAGGGAGACUGAAAGAAGCUGAAAAUUCUGGUCUUUAAUUUGUAUGUCCAGAAGGAAAGUUAAUUGUUUGAGUGGUGUGGAGAAAUAUGGAAAAGGGAGUUGGUAUUUAUAGAGAAGGAUGGCAGGAUAAUAUAUGACCGACUCUACACGUGAGAAGUAUUCACAACGCAAGUACUCCUACGGUCUUACCCCCAUAAGCUGGAGGUUUUUGAAUAAGUUGGCCAACGAUGACCUAAGUUUCAAAUUUGUUGUCCUGCAACAAUAAAAUAUAUAUUAGUUUGUUGUUAACCUCCAUGUAUAUGCGAUUUAUUGUCCUGCAACAAUAAAAUAUAUAUUAGUUUGUUGUUAACCUCCAUGUAUAUGUGAAAUAUUAAUUCUUUAAAGACCAUGUAACUACAUUUAAAUUAUUUCUCUAAUAGAGAUGAGACACACUUGUAUUAAGGACCUUAUAUCUAUUCAAGAGAUGAUUUAUUGUGGUCUACAAAGAAAAAUGUCAUAGGGAUAUUUUAGAACAUAUUUGUAAAUGAUAUGAUAUGUCAACAAUAAAAAUAAGUUCAUUAAUCAAACACUAAAGUAAUAGAAUAAGGGGUGUGAUAUCACACACCCCAUUUUACUUCUCAUACACCCUUUUAAUUUUCGGCCGUCGGAUCGGAUGAAUUGAAGAAAAUCAACGGAUAGAAAUUAACAAGGCGGUGUGGAUAGCAGACCCCUAGAAUAAUCAUUGACAUUGACAAGCACAUCAUUUUUAUAUAUAUGGUCUCUUUAGCAUUACUCAAUCUACAAAUUGUGGUCUUCUUAGCAUCACCCUCUUUGUAAUAGAAGUGGAGUCCACCAUAUGUACUAGGCUGCACUUCUAUUAUAAGGAUGAUAUAAAUGUGGUCUCCAAAAUAUUAGCUCCCCAGCAUAUUUCUAUGCAAUAAUCAGAGUCCCACUAGAACAUAGGAAAACCAAAAUUUGACAAUAGGGAACUGCCUAUGGAUAUGUUAUAUAAUACUACUACAAAAUUUGACCGUUAAAUGGUGAACAUACUAAGUAAAUUUACAUGUUGUAAGUAGUUAAACUAAUAAAAUAGUGAAAAUAUGCUUCAUUUUGUUUUAUAUUCCUAAAGAUGAAGGAGAGAUGGGAAGAGUGGAUGCAUGAAUGUAUAGUUGAUGAGAAAAUUAGAAAAAUGUAGGAAAGCAUUUGGCAUGGGGUUUAAGGAAAUCCAGUGUCGCGUCCAGUUUGAGACUUUGGCUACGGCAGAUAAGCCACUGAAGGUAGCACUACAUCUUCAUGUGCCCCACCCAUUAACCAACCAAUGUGUUCCCCCGACGACGUGAAUAAUCCGUCUCACAACAAGCCGGUCACCACAGCCAAGUAAAAGAAUAUGAAACGAAAUAUGGUUCAAACUAACAAACACACUAGCAAACACAAUCGCGCAUCGUCAUCUGGACGCAUCUACAAUUCCAAAUCUAAAUUACCCACCAGUAGGUAACAGAUUCUUUAUGUGCCAAGCCUAACAUUAGAAUUUCGUUUUAUUAAACCUCGUUAAUUGGGUGCAAUUAUUAACACUUUAAAAAUUGUUGUGUACUUUUUAUAAGGUUUUUUUGUUACAAAUAAUAUUUUACAAUAUUCAUAUUAAAGGGAAAAGUUUAAACUUUGGACGAAAUUGGUUGAGGAGGAAGACCUAACUAUUAAGAGCAUCUCUAAUGAAGGCUUUAUUCUCCUUUUCUUUUAGGGCUACUAUAAAUUUAGCAUUAGUGAGAAAUUUCAUCCCAAUGAUCUGGAAAAUGGGUCUACAUCUACCACAUGGACUAGUAUCUUCCUUGAACAACAAAAAAUUAUACUGCAUCUAGUUUCAAAAAGCAGGGAGACCCACAUCAAAUUGAGGGCGUAGUCUUGGUUUGUUUAUUUUUUUUUUAAUUUUUUUUUAGUUUAGAAAUUGGUAGGCUCCAUUUUUUUAUUCCAAAACACCAUUUUAAAGGUUUAUUUUUCAACCCUUUAUAAUUAAGGGUAUAUUUUUCAACUGUUUGUUUGAUUGAAAAACAUAAACAAACAAUGGCUAUUUUUGUAUGUGUUAUUGAUUAAAAAAAAUGUUGUGCUUUGUGAUGAAUCCGGAUCCUCUUUGUGAUGAUUCUGGGAAUUCGUGAAUCAUAUUUGUUCAUCAUGCAGUUAGAAAUCAUUUUAAUUUUUUUUUUAUUUAAAAUUGAACACAAACAAUACCUAACCAAAAUUGACUGCACGAUCUACGAUGAACAGACAUGAUUAACAGAUUCUCGAGAUCCUCACAAAAAAGAUCUGGAGAGGAUCUUGUCAGCUUUGUGAUAAGAUAAUCCAAUCAAUGGUUCAUAAAAAAUUAAAAAAAAAGUGAUGAAAUUUAACAUAGGUAGUUUAGAGACCUAAACCGAAAACAUAAACGAAUAAGAUAACUAAAGUGUGAUAAGAUAAUCCAACCAAUGGUUGUUAUGAAAUAAAAUCUUGUCUUGUUUGAUUUUGAAGAAUGUUCCGAUCAGAGAAAUAAACUAACGGAUGAGAUUGAGAUAAGAAAACCUGCAACGGUGCAUAAGUGAUGAAAUCUAACUUUAUCAAAAUUUUAUUUUUUUUUAGGUUGAAAAGUUCAUAAAUAAAAAUUAAAGACAACACUCCAAAAAUCAAAUCAACUUAAUAAAAGUUAAGACAAAAAUAAAUUUACCGCGUAAUCAAAUUACUACAUAAAUAAAUAUAUAGCUCCAUAUAGAACCCGAAAGGUAUAUAGCCCCUCAUUGGGAGAAAUUCUUUUUUAGAGCCCCAAAUAUUCGUUGGAGUGCUAAAUUGGGCUAUAUGCACCAUGUUUCCGGCCCUAUAUAGAGCCCUUCAUUUGGAUGCUAUAAAAGGCAAUCCACUACUCGUAAGCAGUGGCGAAGCCAUGUGAGGGCGAGGAGUGGCGGCUGUCACUCCCCUCGCCAGAAAAACAAGGCUGGAGCGCUGGCCAGCCCUUCCCCUCUUACUGCUGCUCUUCAUCUCCUCCGGUGCUGUCUCUGUCUGCAUCUGCUCUGCGCGCAGCAGAGCUGCAUUCAAUUUUUUUUUCAAAACACCCAAGCCAAAACGACGUCGUCAAAAACCGCCACUGAAAGUGAGAAUUCUGACCAAUUUUUUGAACCUGAUGCACUGAGCUGCGCUUCUGGGCUUUGAUAUCAAGGGAAGACGACAAUCCUAUUUUGUUUAGAACCCAACGGCGUCGUUUACAUUAUUAUAUGCUUUGGUUAUAAAACUCAAUAUUCCUUUAAUGAAACGGUGCAGUUUGGCUCCUUUAUUUUCAUUUUUACUUUUUAAUUCUAUUGAUGUGGUUUCUUUUCCAACUGCAGUACCCUUGCAUAAUUAAAAUUAUCUUCCCUCUCUCUCAUUUGUUUAAACUUUUAGACUUAAGAAAAACAAAAGGUUGUCACUUGAUACUACGGUCUGGUGAUAUUCAUUUUCACUUGAAAGUGAAAAGUUUUAGGUUCGAAUCUUGUACAUGGAGAAUUCGAUACCAAAUUAGAUUAUCCAUCAUGUGGCUUAGCCGAACUCCCCCUCCAUUAGGUUGUUCAUCGUGUGGCUUAGCAGAACUCUCAUUCCCUUUACUGUAAAAAUAUCGAUGUACUCAAAAAAAAAAACCAAAAGAUUGAUGUUUGUUAUUGUUCUUUUUUAAUUCUUGUUAUUAUUUCUAGUAUUUAAAAUUAUUUUAUCUUAUUUUCUUUUAAUUCUUGAGAAAUAAUGACUUCAGAACUUGUUUCAUAUGUACAAAAAGUUUUGUGGGGAAAGGUAUUAGUGUUCAUUUUAUGUGAGAAAUGUUUUUGUUUUUAUUGAAAGAAAUGUUUACAUAGAGAGAGAUGUACAACAAUUGUGUAAGAGUUUGGUUGUUUAUAUUGAAAGAUGAUCUUGCAUUUAUUGAUAAUGAGCUUAUUAUGUGACAUCAUGACAUGAAACCUUGCCGAUAACAAUUACAACUUGUUUGUAUCGAUAAAUUAUGAACAACAUUACUAUUGUUUACUAUCUAAAAGAAUUUCAUUGUCUAUUUUUUUUCUUCAGAAUCUACUAACGCUUUUAAAUUUGGCCCCUUCCCUUGAAAAUUCCUGGUUUCGCCACUACUCGUAAGUAUAUAUAUUUUUUCUAAAUAAAUAAAAGUUUAGAUUGGACAACAAAUUUUUCGAGAUGCUAAUAACAACAUCCAAUCAACUUUGAUAUUCAAUAGUCAAUCAUUAAUACAUGUUGGUGGGCUUGGUUUUCAAGAAUGUGACAUAUAUCCAAAUUCCAACUAUGCUGUGAUUCUCCAUUUUGUUAUUUUGAGUAAUGCUAAGAAGAUUAUACUUUUAUAUUGCAUUUAGUAUAUCAUCUCAUGUGGCAGAGAUAAUCAUAUAUUGAUUUAGCGUGUACACAUCAUUUGUCAUGGCACAAGAGCUUUUACAUAUUUUUCUUUCUCGAACAUUAAACUUAGAACGAGAAUGAUGCAAUCCAUAUCUAUAUGAAACCUCUCUUUUGUUUGGUGAACCAUGUAUAUGCCUAAAACCUUUUGAAUGUGAAUGUGUACGUAAAUCAACUAGAUUCUUGAAAUUUCAUUUUCCACAAUAUCUUAAAAUAAUAUUUUGGAGAGUAGGCUUUCGUGGUUUGAUAAACACAUGAAAAUACUAAAAAUUUGUAUAAAUUAAACGUAAAUUUGACUUUGACUUGUUCACCCAAAAAAAAAAAAAAAGAAAAAAAGAAACGGAAAUCUGACUUUUACCUUUCGUUCAAAGGAAUUAUCCCUUCCAGAAUGUAACCCACACAAGUCAAAGUGACACCAUUUGCACCCAUUUCUCUAAGUAGCAACGUCAUCCGACCUUUUAACUGUUGGAAAAUUUAAUAUUAAAUUUAUUAAUUGAAUGGAAAUUAGAAGUGGAACCUUUUGGUAGAAAGAUGUGUCUACUCAAAUGAAUAGUAGCAACUUUUGACUCUUCAUGAAUAGUUACAUAUUUUCCAAAGAGGUAUCUCAUAUUCUAUAAAUAGGGAAGCUCCCUAUAGUCACAAAAUAACUUUUCAUUGUUUCCAUAAUCAUACAUAGAGUGCACUAAAUAUUAGAGAGUUUCAUUGAGUCCAUAUGAGAGUUUUCAACACAAUCGUGGUUCAUGGAGCCUUGUGAUUUGGAGUGCUACUAUUACAAGGACGUGGUCGUUGUAUCUUGGGAGACAUGUGCCGAUCAACCAUGAGCACUGUAGUGGGACGUAAACUUGUCUUAAGGAUAAAAUGUCCAACACUUGCCUCGACCGUAUUUUCAAGGUUUUUCUAAUUCAUUAUGUCAUGUUCAUUUAGCAUUGGUUACUCAUGUGCAUGCAUUAAUUUUGAUAUAUAAUUAUGUGAUUUAAUAUAGCAAUUAGACCUAAUUAUUCCAACAUUAACUUUUAACUUCUGCUUUAAGUCUUUAUGUGGGUUGACUGAAAAGGCGCGAAUCAGACAAAAUGACCGCAAAUACGCCCAUAGAAAAAGCAACUUCACAAAGAGAUUUUUCAGUAUGACCGGAAUAUGGAAUGGUACUCCACUUGUACAUUAAAUUCCAGUCACGUGUGUGGUUGACUUGCCUCCAACUCAAAAAAAAUCAUCUUCACUAGUGGCAAAUCUAGAAAAUAUUAUUUGGGAGGAGGGAGGGGGAGGGGAAGCGGGAUGGGGUAGGGGAUCGAGAGAAGGGGUUAGUAAAAAGAGAGCACGCAGCGCACAAAAUCUUUUAAACAAAAAUAGCAUGCAAAUUACCAUUUCAUCAAGUCUUAGAAGACUUGAAGUCAUUUGCAGAGGCAUAUUGCACACCUGUUAAGGCCUCAAUUGCAUGGGUGACUACAUGUUCCAAGGCUGCUCUCAUAUGAAUGCUUAAUUAAGGAACACACUUAUCUUGAACACAUUAACAAAUUGAUUGAUAUCAUUGCAUCUCGUUAAUAUGUUUGUUCAAGAAUGAGAUGCUUUGUUCAUUCUUUGAGAUUACCAUUUCAUUUACUUUGUAUUUUUUGAUAGUCUUUUACUUCAUUCUUAUUUUCAUCCCACAAUUGUAAUCACAACCAACAAACAAGUCAGAGGUAAACAAUAUUAGGACUAGACUGUAAACCAAAACUUUUGACCAACUAUAAUUAGGGGUGGAUUUUUUUGCCAAAUUGUCAUGCCAACCGAAUUGCCAACCGUGCCAUACCGAUUUUGUGCCAAAUUUUUUGUACCAAUCGGUAAUGGUACGGUAUUAUACCGUACCGAAAUUUCAUGGUACGGUAUUGGUAAUGGAUACUAUUACCACGGUAUUACCGUACCAUACCGAAAAUACAAUAUAAUUUAUAAUUUAUAAUUUAUAUAAUACAUAAUUAUAUAACACAUAUUUAUAAUAUUCCAAUCAUUUGAAAAUAAAACCCUACUUAUAUUAGCAUUGUUGUUGGUGACUUUGAUCUCUUAGAAUUGUGGAAAUCAAACACAAAAGAGUUCCUAAUUCUUUCACAAAUAGCCAAAAUAUUUUUGUAACUCUCACUUCUAUUGUUGCUAGUGAAAAUGCAUUUAGUCUGGGGAUGAGGGUUGUGAACCCUUUUAGGGUAUCAUUGACUCCUAAAAUAAAGGAGGCACUAGUGUGUACUAGUGGUUGGCUUAGGGCAGGUGAAGUAAACUUCGACAAGGACCAACGGAAGAUAUGUUUCAAUUUUACAAGGAAAUAGAAGAAGAGAAAACAAGAAAGAUAUGCUUUAAUUUUUUUAGUAAAUUUGUUAUUAAAUGGUUUUCAACUUUAAUUCUUCUUGCUACUAAUUAAUAUGUUUUCUUUGUUUGUAAUGUAGGCUUGACACAAACUCAAUCUUCUACAAGUUCAAUGCCUCCUCCAAAAGCUUCAACAUCUCAAGCUUGAAUAACUGAUCAAUGAAUUCUCUUUUUUGAAGUUUACUUCCAAUUUUCAUUUGGUUUGAAACUUUAAUUUCUAUUUGGAUUGUUAACUUCUGGUUCGUAACUUCUAUUUGGAUUGUAAGCUUAAUUUUCAUGAUGAAUCUUGAUGCUUCAUUUGAAUUAUUAUGUAUGUGAAUUGUGAAUGAUGAAUAAUAGAUGAAUUUAAGCUAUAAUGUAUGAGAUAAAGGUACAAAAAAAAAAGUUUUGCCCUUGAAUUGGGUUAAAAAAACUAAAACAUAUUUUGUCUCAAAACAAAAUGGCAAUUACCAUUGCCAUACCAUGCCAACCAAACUUUUGACAAUACCGAACUUCGGUAUACCGAAAGUUUGGUACGGUAAUGGUAAUAGAUUUAACCAAACCGAAAGUUUGGUACGGUAAUUGGUACAAGAGUUUUGGUACGAUAACCGUACCGAACCCACCCCUAACUAUAAUUAUAAAGAAGUAUAAAAUACUAAUAAUAGGAGUUGAAAGGUGCUGCAAAUAGCACAACUGCUGCGCGCAAAACAUCCCAUGUGCUAUGCCUAAAUCUAAGCAUGCCCUGCAGCCGAGUAGUCCAAUCUCCUCUCUAAGGCAUUUUAUCAAGUAGUUAGAAGACAUAUAUGAAGGGCAACUCCAACCUUCAAAAUGACAGCACCCAAGUCAUCCAUGAAAAUUCAAUGGAGUUUGGAGGAUCAGCUAACCUCCUUUGCCCCUAAGUCGGUUCGCCCUUGAUCUCCACUGGUUCAAAAUCAUUGAGACAAUUAAAGCAAGUGUAGCAGCCCAGCUUGUUCAAGCUUGACCUUAUGCGUACAGACAAUUGGAGCAAAGGCAGCAGCCUAGGGCUGGCAUUUUGAACCUAAUGGGUCAACCCGUUAGUCACCCGUUAAAUAACGAGUCAUUUUGGGUCAACCUGUUAACACCCAUUAGGGAGGACUUUUGUGUAAUUUUAUAGUUGUAAUAGAAAACCUAGCUCUCUGUCUGUUUUCUCACAUUCAAAACCAGAUUGUACAUUCCUCUCCGGGGCUGAUGUUCUCUCCCUCAUCUUCUUCCUAAAAAAUGAAGGUUUCAUUGAGUUCUGCCACCCUUUCUCUGGUAAGUUCCAAUUCCCUUACACAUCUUCUUCCAUGGCGAUUACUUUUUGUUUCUGCAGAUUAUAUUUUUCAUCUAUUUUUCUCAGUUUUUGCUUGAGCUUCGAAUUAAUUUGGAAUUAGUUAAUUUGUGUUUGAUGAUUUAAAUUGCGAUUGUGCUUUUGUUGUGCAAAUGGUGCUUUCUGUGUGUGAUUGUGUUUUUAUUCUCUUUCUUCGCAAGUUAGAUAGAGAGAGAUCUUCCCACUUCUCCAUCCCGCACACACUCGAUUCAUACACACACACACACACACACACACACACACAUACAUACGAUAUUCUUCCAUCUAUCCGUUUCUAGUUCUACUAUGGGCUCGAUGGCGAUUGAGGAGGAGAAGCAGGCGGCGACCAAGGCUUUCGACGAAGAAGCCGCCCCUUCAGAUAUAUAUAUAUAUAUAUAUAUAUAUAUAUAUAUAUAUAUAUAUAUAUAUAUAUAUUGUUGAUGCACAAAACCGGAGGUCUUGGAACAACGUAAAUCUGACUGUGAAUCUGCAUGAAAUGUAAAUAACACAAGAUGUAUUGUGGUUCAUCCUAAGGUUUGGGCUACGUCCACACUGAUUAUGUAUUUAUCUGAAGGAGAGAGAGCUCUGAGAGUGAGAGCUUUGAGAGGGGGUGAGAGGGCCUAGGAAUUGGCCUCAGAAAUGGUCUCCCCUAAUUGUGAGGGUGAGGGGUCCUUUUAUAGAAUAAGGACUCCUCACUUAUUACAUAUUUGCCCCUUCCUUUAUCACAUAAUUGCAUUUAAGUCCCCCGAGUAUUUGUACGAGAUCUAAAUAUGAGGCCCUAAAUAUGGUAUAAACAGUAGUCCUCCAAGUCUUCAGUCAAAAGAGUCUUUUGGUUAGAGACUUGAAAUUCAAUCCAUAUGUGGGCCGAAGUAACUAGAUGUUGUAUUGAACUGAUGCUCGAUAUGAGGCGGUGCUCAAUCUGAAAUGUUGCUCAACUAGAAGUAGCACAUGCUGCUCGGCUGCUCGGCUUGUGGCUUAUGUUGCCUUGGUUGGCUCGGCUUGUGGCGUUGAAGGUGAGGGAGUCCCUUUUAUAGAAUAAGGCAUCGCUUCUCAAUAUAUAAGUGAUGGGCUAAGAGUUAAUGCUCGCGGUAAGGCGGUUACUCAACUAGCGGCGAUGCUCUCUAAUGAUGGUGAGGGAGUCCCUUUUAUAAAAUAAUGGCUCGCUCCUCAAUACAUGAAUAAUGUGCUAGAGUUGAUGCUCGCGACGAUACGGUAACUCAGCUGGCGGCGAUGCUCUCUAAUGAUGGUGAAGAAGUCCCUUUUAUAAAAUAAGGGCUCGUUCCUUAAUACAUGAAUAAUGUGCUAGAGUUGAUGCUCGCGGCUAGGCGUUUGCUCAGCUGGCGGUUAUGCUCUCUAAUGAUGGUGAGGGAGUCCCUUUUAUAAAAUAAGGGCUGGUUUCUCAAUACAUAAAUGAUGGGCUAGAGUUGAUGCUCUUUAAUGGUGGUGAUGGAGUCCCUUUUAUAGAAUAAGGGCUCGCUCCUUCACUACAUGGAUAAUGUGCUAGAGUUGAUGCACGCGGCGAAGCGGUUGCUUAGCUGGCGGCGAUACUCUCUAUUGAUGGUGAGGGAGUCCCUUUUAUAAAAUAAGGGCUUGCUCCUCAAUAAAUAAAUGAUGGGCUAGAGUUAAUGCUCUUUAAUGCUGGUGAGGGAGUCCCUUUUAUAGAAUAAGGGCUUGCUCCUCAAUACAUAAGUGAUGGGCUAAGUCCCCCAAGUAUUUUUUUUAUGAGGCCCAGUUGAGGCCCAAUAUAUGGUACAUAAUGUAGUCCCCCAAGUCUUCGGUCAAUAGAGUCUGUUGGCUGGAGACUUCAAAUUGAAUCCAUGUAUGAGCCGAAGUGGCGGUUGUUCGGAGGUGGUAUUUGUAUAUCCUGCACUGAAGCUUUGUAGGUGAAGUUUUGCAAGUGAAGCUUUGAAGCUAGAGCUCUAUAAAUGAAGCUUUCGAAGCUGGAGCUUUUGUAAAUGAAGCUUUUAAAGCUAGAACUCUGUAAAUGAAGCUUUUGAAGCUAGAGCUCUGUAAAUGAAGCUUUUGAAGCUAGUUAACAUGAGUGAUGCUCAUGAAUAUUUAUGUUGAUUAACAUGAGUGAUGCUCAUGGAUGUUGUCAUGAGUGAUGCUCAUGAAUGUUUAUGUUGAUUGACAUGAGUGAUGCUCAUGGAUGUUGUCAUGAGUGAUGCUCAUGAAUGUUUAUGUAUGAUUGUUAUGAGUGAUGCUCAAGAAUGUUUAUGUAUGAAUGACAUGAGUAAUGCUCAUGUAUAAUUUGGAGUACUAGAAGUACUUUUGAUCACUUGGUUGGUGGCAUGAAGGAGAGUACGGGUUGUACAUUUCAUCACCUGGUUGGUGGCAUGAAUGGCUAGUUGCCAGAUGAUAUUAGAGUACAGGUUGUACAUUUAAUCACCUAGUUGGUGGCAUGAAUGGCUAGUUGCCAAAUGAUAUUAGAGUACGGGUUGUACAUUUCAUCACCUGGUUGGUGGUAAUAACAGCAGGUUGCCGAAUAAUUUUGGAGUACAGGGCGUACUUUUGAUCACCUGGUUGGUGAUAAUAGAGGGCUUGGCUCUUUUGGGCAUAUGGGCUUUCGCCCUCCACAUAACAUUGCAGCCCAUUUAUUUUAGGCUUUGCCGUUUUUUUUUUAAUUACCCUUUAAUGGGGUUUAUACAGAUAUCUCCGAAAGAUCAGAAAAAUAAAUUACAUCAUACAAAAACCAAAAAAGUAAAUCACAUCAUUCUGGUGGGGUGUUUAUUCCUUGCUUUUGCAGUGUCCCCAUGUGCCUCCCUUUUGCUUUCUGUUUUUGCUUUUAUUUUUUCUGCUUUGCUUUUCUUUUACUUUCUCUUUUCCCUUUUGUAGAUGGCAGAUAAGGAAAUCAUGUGAAGUGUCUCUUUUUCCUUUCUGCUUUUGCCGACAACAUCAGUGGAGACUUAAAUUGCUAAUGGCUUUUACUUUCUCAGCUGGCUAGGGAAGUAAUAAUGGUGAGGCAAAAAUAAUAAAGAAAAAGAAAGAAUCUUAUCCUGUGCCAGACUGACAAAGUAAUAACGAUGUGCGUCGGAGACAGCUGGAGAACGUGAUUCUGGUCCUGAUUGAAGCCAUUUUGAACCUUCACAAGUGGACGGUGCCGCGUAACCCCAGCAACAGAAUCGAGAAAUGCAGCUAUUGAGUGGAACACAUGUCUUUGUAUCUCGAUAUCGACACACUGCCUCUUUUUUUUUAAUUUUUUUUUAUUUCUAAUCUCACAGUUAGCGCACUAGUUCCAGAUGCUCCAACGUUUUUUUCUGGAUCAUCCGUGAUAGGUGAUGCUGUGUGAAAAACUCCAUCAUAACCGUUAAUGGCUUCUUUGAGGCUCUCAUAAUCAAGGAGAUCAGCUCUGCACAAAGUCUCUCUGCAGCUCAUUCAAGCUCUCCCAAAUGAGCAUUCUUUGGGUCAUCGGGGUUUCUCAAGGUUCCUCUAACAGUACAGCCUUUACUCCCAAAGCUUUUACCCCCAAAGCAAAGUUCACCUCGUGGGAGCUAACCCUGAAUCCAGAUUCCAUAUGUGAUAUGUUCGUCAAAGGGAGAAGGCUAACAGAACCUAUAAUUGGUGGAGGUUUUUAUACCUAAAACCAUAGGAGAAUCUCCAGGCUUCAUGCCCAGAAAAUCAUGGGUGAUGGUGUGCUUCCCCUGUUGUUGCUCCUCUAGCUUUUGCUUAUACGGUUGCUGCUUAUCUCAUUGGAAUGAGUGAAUCAUCUCAGACCAAACUGAGGAGUUGAGUCAGACUCAGUGAGCCGAGUCAAGUAACAUGUCUCAGAGAGAUUGAACUCGGCGGCCCCGGCCUGUAACCACUGGUCGUCUCUCUCUUCCUCCAGCAAGUAAACCGCUGCUGGGUUCCUUUUGAAAGUCAGGGGACUUUUGCUGGGCCCUGCACGGGUUCUUUUGCUGAACUCUAAUGAAACUUCACUAUACCUAGCAGGUUUGUAGAGUGAGUUGAAUUUGGGGUGUGAGAUGACCUUGAGAUAAUCCCUCCAAAGACGAACUUUGUCAAUUGCGAUGUUGAAGUUGGUGCCGCACUUGAUUGGGUCCAACAGGUUCUUUGUAUGGAACUCCUUCUUCUCCUCCUCUGGUAGCUUAAAAAAUCUUUGGCACACAUCGAUCAUUUGUUUCAUCAGGCUCUCUGGCACACCAUGGUUGAUCACCUGAAAGAAGCCCCAUUCUUGCAGAUUCACGUAUAUCGUCAAUGUGGGUUUUUUGUUGGCCCACGAGUCACUAAGUUAACAUAGGCUAUGGAAAUGAUCUCAAAUGUAUAAUGGAGGGGAAGAUUGCGGAAGAUUCGAGAGAAAGAAAAAAAGGGUUUUUGGAAGGUUUUUUUUUUAACUGCACAGAGUCUGUGAAGCUUUUCUGGAAAAGAUUUGGGUUCUUGGUUUCUACAGAUUCAUGGUGGGGAUGA
rnacentral:lncRNA from 1 species